rnacentral:lncRNA from 1 species
CAACCUUAGAAACCACUAAAUUGGAACAUGAAAACAAAUGUUAUCUAAUUUCUGCAUAUGCUGUUUGAAUGGUUGUCAAACUGGCCAGUUCAGUUGGGUUUUCAUAUUAAAACAAAACGGUGUCAUUCUGGAUGGGGGAAAUUAAAUGGAAUAAACUCACUUUAGGGUUUCGCGUUGCGUUGUAGUUUCACUCAGAUUCGUUGCGUCUUCUCUGUGCGGAGGUGGUGCGUCAUCUCUGAACGAGUGCGGCGGUGGGGGCGAUCGAGCAGAGCAGGUCGCGCGGUGGUAGCGAUUGGACAGAGGACGUCGCGUGGUGGCGGUUCGUGCCGUAGUCGCGGAUUGUAGGUCUACGGUGGUCGCGGUGGUGCCGUUGGGUAGUGUGGAAUUAAGGUUGCAUUGUGAUUUAGUUUAUUAGAUUCUGUUUCUCUUAUUUACCAGUGUAGAAAAAGAAGAUCCAGAUAGUAGGUAAGAUUUGGGUAAAUCCAGAUAUAGUAGGUAAGAUUUGGGUAAAUGAUUUAUUUAUAGUGAUUAUUAUAAGUUGUUUAUAUGAUUAUAAGUGGUUAAUUAAAUUAUAGUAUAAUUUGAUUUAUAGAAUGGUAUAUUGGUAUAUUAAAAAAUAUUUUGAAUAUUUUUAUAUAACUGAUUUAUUUAAGAUAUUUUCAUGGUUUUAUUAUUAUUAUUAUUACUAGCGGGAACACAGACAUUGACGUGUAUCCGCAUUUUUUAUUUCUUUAAUAUUUUUUUUUAUUUUUCAAAAACAAUUUCUCUUAAUAACAUAAAAUGAGAAGUUAAAGAGUAGUGGAGAGAGAAGGUGGGAAGUAGGUACCUAUAUAGGAGAGAGAAAGUAGAAAGUAUGAUAUGUGGGUUAUGUGUAGUGGAGAAUCAUAAAAUUUAUUUUUUAAAUUAAUUUUAAUAAAAAAAAUAUCAGUUUAAAUCAGAAAAGUAACUAAUCAAUUUCGCCACUCUCUCUAUUCUCUCCACUCUCCAGUUAAAUAAUAACAAAUAAAAUAAAUUAAAAAAUUAUUUUAUUAAUUUUUGAAAUUAUAAAAUGUCCAAAUAACCAAAAUAAAUUAAUACAAUAAAUUAUUAAGUAAGGAUAAAAUGGAAAAAAAAUUAAGAACAGUUAAGAGGGGAAUAAGAAAUGACACCAUAAUACAAUAAUAAAAUUAAAUAUUAAUAUAAGGAUAAAAUAGAAAAAAAAUUAAGAGCAGUUAAGAGGGGAAUCCCCUUUAUAUAUAGGUAUAGAUUAUUAUUAUUAUUAUACUAUAUAUAAUGAGGAUUCUCUCCAUAACUGUUUCUUAUAUACAUUUAUGCUUCUAUAUAACUGUUUUUUAUAUAUUAUUUUUAGUUAUUUUGUAAUUUUGUAAAUAUUAAAACAGUUAUCAGGAUAAAGUUUCUUAACGUAAAACCAUUUUGAAUUUAGGUUUUUGAAAUAUAUCUUUAUUUCUUCAGUUUUCACUCACACUUUGUUUUCAAUUUGAAUUUAUAUUUGGAAUUUUUAUUAUCAUUUUUCUCUCCUCCUUCUUUAAUAUAAGAGUAAGAAGAAAUCCCACGUUAGUAUCUGUAAGUGAGUUUUCUUUUCUUGGUUGUUUAAUUGUUAAUGUUACUCAUUUUUAUUUUCAUUUUCGUCACAGGUACGGAGUUAUCUUGUUGAUGUGGGCAUCGACGGAGAGGAUGAAUGUGUUCUGAAUAUGACAUUCCGAGAGACGAAAGGGGUUAGAAAAUAAAUAUUUUCUUAAGGUUUGUUAUGGAGUUUCUUAUCUUAUUCUUUUUUUUUUCUUUUCAUUAUUAUAUUUCUCUUUUUUAGUUUUAUGUUAGUAACAACAAAUCAAAAUUAGUGAUUCACAAGAAUGAUGACUUAAUUUCUUUAAGGUACAAAGUUAACUUGAUAUCAUCCUUGAUGUGGACAAGGAAGGAUGAAUGCUUUCUGAACAUUCUUGUAGAGAAGAGGAAAGAAAUUGGAAAAUAAAUAUUUUUUUAAGGUUUGGUACAGAGUUUCUUAUCUUAUUAUUUUAUUUUUCUUUUCAUUAUUAUAUUUAUCUUUUUUAAUUUUAUUUUAAUAACAACAAAUCAAAAUUGGUUAUAUUUAUUGUGUUAUAAAUUUAAAUUUGUUUAAUAUAUUUUUUACUGUAACUUAAUUAUUAAAAUAGUAGGUUAAAACUCAUAAAUAAUGAGAAAAAUGUUUUUAUCUUCUUUUUACUUAGUGAUAUUUUAUAUUUAAAAGAUAUGAAUACACACAUUAAUAUACAAUAGCUAGUAACUAUAAAGUGGUUUUAUUAUUAUUAUAAUUAACUCAAACAUAAAAUAUAACUAUAAAGUGGUUUUAUUAUUAUUAUAAUUAACUCAAACAUAAAAUAUACAUAUUUUUUAUUUUUAUAUUAUUAUUAUCUGUAUUUAUAUUUAUUUAAAUGAAAUACAUAUAUGUGUAUUCAUAUUUUUUAACUAUCAAAUUAUAUAUAUAUUAAAAAAAAAAAUUCAAAUAAAAGAUUAAAUAAAAAUAAAGAUUGAUAUUGAGAAUAUUUUUUUCAUAUUAAAACAUAUAUUCAUAUUUUUUUCAUAUUAAAACAUAUAUUCAUAUAAACAAUAUUUAAAAGCUCAUCUUUUAGGCGUUACAAAGAUAAUAAUGCAUUAAUUAACACUUACUUUUAUUAAAAAAAACAUAACAUAAUAACUUUAAUCAAUUUAGCCUUUCGAAAUCUUAAGUUAUAACCAUAUCAAAAACUAGAAAUACGAUAACAAUGAUAACAAUGAAGCUCAAUAAGUUUUUCCUAAAGUAUGAAAAAUCAAAAUCCUAACCUUAGUUAUAAUUGAAUUGAAUUGCAAGACAUAACUUUUUCUUUGGUCACUUUCUUUUCUUGAUAUUGAUUUCCAACACAAGAUAAAAGAAGGAACCACCAACAUGAGAUUGGGAUCAAUCUUCGAUAGCUCGUGCUUCACCUCCAAGAGUUCUUUUUUGACAAAAAGAGAAAUGAAUUGUAUGUUCAAUGAACACAACAUUGAAGAGAAUGUCAAAUGAGCAAGACUAAAAGAGGUUUAAUUGACAAAUGAAUAAGACUUUUAUUGUAAUAUAAUAGAAGGGAGGGAUGAUUUACUUCAACAAGAAUCUAAGUUGUAUGAUGUAGGUAUUGACGACUAAGUUCUCAAAAAAGAUUUUGAAUGUCUUUAUUGGCUUGAUAACUAAGUUUUUAAAACGAUUUUGAAUGUGUUUGGUGACAUUUCUACUUGUGUAUAGUAAAAAAAUAUGUGAAAUAUUGUGAAUAAGAUAAUUUAGAUUUUUUAUUUAUUUCAAUCAUUUGGUUUUAAUUAAGUCAAGUAGUACUAUAUGUGAACUUUUUCGAUUUUCUUAUCUUUCACAAUUUUUUUUCCUCAUUAAUACUCUUUUGGAUUAAUUUUAAUUUUAAUUUUAUAUUAAUACUUUUUAAAAUCGAUCAAAAAAAUUAAUUAUUUAAAAAUACAAAAAUAAUACAAACUAUAUUUUACAACAAAUAUAUUUUUCUUUUAUUUUUAACUAAUAUUUCGGUAAAUAAAUAUUUUGUACACUGUAAUAAAAAGCAAUUAUAUCUAUGAAAGAUUUCAAAGAAAUCAUAUCCAUCAUUUUUAUAAUUGAAAGAGAAUAUAAUAUUUUUCGUAUUAUCAGUGUAUAAAAAUUAAACUAGUUUUAUUUAAUAAAAAAUGAACAUUAAUCAUAUAUAUAAACAUCUUUUCAAUUCAAUAAAAAAAAUGUAAUAUUAAUUUAUUUUCAAUUCAAUAGAUAAGAUAAAAAAAUCUGUUAUUAAUUACAUUUUUUCGGUGAAAAAUCGAUCGAUUUAUUGGUAAUAUGGUUAUGGUAGAUUGAUAAAUAAAAAUUACAAAUUAUUAAUAUUUUUAUUAUUUAUUUAUUAAUGCUUUUGUAAUUAUUAUUAUUUAUACAUAAUUUAUUACUCAUUUAUUAAAUAUUAUUUAUUUAUUACUUGUUAAUUAUUUAUUAAUUACUUAUUAACUAUUUACUACGUUUUUGUAUUACUAGCAGAAACACAAGGGCGCUAGGGCGCUGUAGCGUUUAUGUUAUCCGCAUCUUUUUAUAUUACUCAACUUUCAUGGUAAUAAAAAUUUAUUACAUACAUAUAAAAAUAAUUUUGGAUAAUUUGAAAUUGAAAAAUAAAAAAUAACAUGUAAAAAAAAUGAUAAUUUGAUUAAUCAACUUUUUUUCUCUCUUAUUGUUUGAGUUUCUCUUUUUCAAGCUUUUUAUUUUCUUCCAUUUGUGAUUUUUGAAUCAAAGAGUACGAUGAUGUCCAUGUUAAGGUAAAUAAAAAAAAUGAUAGUUUUACGAAAGAAUAUAGUUGUUUGAAAUGAAGUUAAGAGAAUGAUUCGAAAUGAAUGUUAUUUUAUUUGGUGUGGGAAUAGAGAUGGGGUGAGAGUAUGCUCUCUUUUUAUUUGGUGUGGGGAUAGAGGAAGAGUUGGGUUGGGAGUUAGCUUGCAUUACAUAACAUUAAUUUAAAAAUAAUUUAAAAAACUAAAAACACAAUUUAUUUAUUUUUUAAAUAUUUUUCUUAAAUAGUUCAUAUGAAAUGACAAAAUAGUUCAUUGUACUAAUAAGAUGAGAUAUAUUAAGUAAAGGUAAAAUCAGAAAAAAAUUAUGUAAAAAAAAACGGUUAUAACAAGAAAUCCUCUUUAUAUAGGUAUAAAUUAAUAAUUUUUUUUCCGUAAAAAUUAAAAUCAAGUCUUAUAAAUACACAUACAACUCAUAAUAACUAAAAAAACAUCUUAAUCAUCAUAUGAUUUUUAUUUUUUUUAUUAUAAUAUCAUUAUUAUUAUUAUUAUAAUAUCUAUAUUUUUAAAUAUCUUUAAAAGUUUGUUAUCUUUUCUUUUAAUUUAUUAUCUUUCUAUUAACAUAAUAGAACAUAAUUUCAUAUAAACUCGUGGUUAUUGUAAUAAAAUCUUUCUUCAAAACAAAAUAUAUACAUUUAUUAUUUGAUAUUUUUAUUAUUUAUUCAAUCUUUUAUUAUAAAUUAUAUAUUAUUAAUGUGUCAUAAAUAAUAAUAUUAAUUUUUUUAUGUAAUUUUUUAAAACUCAAAAGAUAACCAUAUAAAAUUAAGAAGAAUCGUUCAAGUUAAAUUAUGUUUUCUAUUUAAAUAAUAUAAAUUUAUUUAAAUUAUUAUUAUAAUUUAAUAAAUAUAUUAAUUAAUAUUUUUUUAAAUGAAUUAUAAUAUUAGAGAAUAUUUUUAUAAUAAAAUAAAUUAAAUGUGGAUAUACGUAAAUUCAAUAAAUUAAAAUAUUAUAUUAGAAAUUUAUAAUAAUAUUUAAAAAUGUAGAUACAUACAUGUUUAUAAUAAAAUAUAAAAUAUAAAAUAUAAAUUUAUAAUAAAAAAUAAAAUAAAAAUACAAAUAAGUUUAUAAUAAUUAUAAUUUUAUUAAAAUAAUAUAUGGCGAGAAUUUAUAAAUGUAUAAGUUUAUAAUAAAUUAAAAUAUUAUAUUACAAAUUUAUAAUAAUAUUAAAAAAAUGCAAAUAACAUACAAGUUUAUAAUAAAGAAAGGUAUAAGUUUAUAAUAAUAAAAAAAAUACAAUUAAGUUUAUAAUAACUAGCGGGAACAAAGGCGCUCACGCGCCUCUAUAUCCGCAUUUCUUAUUUUUUUCAUAUAUAUAUAUUUAUGUUUAAUAUUAAAAUUUGAAUAAAUAAUAUUAUUAUUUGCACAUUUAUCUUAACAAUAUAAAUUUAUAGUAUAUUAUAAAUAAUAAAUGACAUUAUCAUUAUUAUGUAAAAUUAUUAUACUUUGUGUGAAUUGACUUAACCAAUGCGAGUAAUUGAUCAUCAUUCUAAGUGUUUUAUUCUUUACAAAUUUUAUUUCCUAAGAAUGUCACACACAUUAACCACUUUUGCAAUUCAAAACUGUUUAUCUUCUCCCGUAUUUCCACUAAUAUUUUUCUUUCUCUCAAUUUUGAAGAGACAUUCUUCUUUCUAUGCAACUGUUUGAAAAGUAACCACUUUUCAAUUCAAAACCGUCUCUAACCUCUACUUCAAUUUAAAAUUGUUCCUCCACAUAUAUUACAUAUUUUAGAGAAAAUAAGAAAUGACAACAAUAUCCAUAAUAUAAUCAAAUAUUUAUAUAAGGAUAAAAUAUGGAAAGAAUUAAGAGUUGUUAAAUAGGAGAAUCCCUUUAUAUAUAGGUAUAUAUAUAUAUUUAAUUAAAUAUGUUAAAAAUAAUUAAAUAAUUAUAUUUUUUUAUCAUAAUAAAUCAAAUGUAAUAUUAUUUUAAUAAUGUGAUUCUUAAUGAGUAAAGAAAUUGAAGUUAUUAAUUUAUAAAAUAAACUAAACAUCUCUAUUGGAAAAAAUAAAAUGUAUAUAUUAAAGAAAUAGGAAAAGCAAAAUAAGAUAAAUAAAAGAGAUGAAAUAUAAAGAAAAUUAGCAAUACACAUCUAAAAAUUAGAGUUUUUGAAGCAUUGAGGAGACGGAAUACAUGGUGAGGUGACUGUGAUGAAAUGUGAAGAGGAACAAUAAUACACUGUUUCAGAAUCUCAAAAUUAGAAUUUUGAGGAGGCGGGAGGCAUAGUAGCAGCCAAGGAAGACUCUGUGCGCUUGCAUUUAGAUGUAGGAAGGGUAAACAAUGAAGGCGUUUGCUCACGCUGAGCAUCACAGUUUGGAACUUCUCGAUUUCUUCUUCUCUAUCUCCUAAUAUGGAGAAAACGCACCAAAAUUGAAUUUGUUGAAAGAAUACCAAAAUUGAAUUUGCGCGCACUUGGGACUCUGUAGAAAGAAUAUCAAAUAGCAUCAUACAAUAGUUUUUAAGAUGUUUCUAUAUUGUUCCUCUCUCAUAGUUUUCUUAUACAUAAUUUUUUUUGCCUAAAAAAAGUAAUCGUGCAUAAACCCACAUUUCACCCCUCUCUCUCUCUCCACUCUUCCCUCAUAAAACGUAUCAAUCUCUCCACUCUCCUGCCCAUUAAGUGAGAACAAAUAAAAUAAAAUUUUAAAAUUAAAAAAUGCUUAUUUAAUAAAGAAGAAUAUUAGUUUUAAAACAGAAAAGUAACCAAUUUCUCCACUCACCUGCCUAUGAGAACAAAUAAAAUAAAAUUUUAAAAUUAAAAAAUGCUUAUUUAAUAAAGAAGAAUAUUAGUUUAAAACAGAAAAGUAACUCAUUUCUCUCCACUUUCCUCUCAGUUAAGUAUUGAGAACAAAUAAAAUUAAAUUAAAAAACUGUUUUAUUAACUUCUAAAAUUAUAAAUGUCCAAAUAACCAAAAUAAAUUGAUAAAACAAAAUAUUAAGUAAGGAUAAAAUAGGAAAACAAUUUAGAGCAGUUAAAGUGGAGAAUCCAAAAUGUCCAAAUAACCAAAAUAAAUUGAUAAAACAAAAUAUUAAGCAAGGAUAAAGUAGGAAAACAAUUUAGAGCAGUUAAAGUGGGAAUAAGAAAUGACACAAUGACCAUAAUACAAUAAUAAAAUUAAAUAUUAAUAUAAGGAUAAAAUAGGAAAAAAAAUUAAGAGCAGUUAAGAGGGGAAUCCCUUUAUAUAUAGGUAUAGAUUACAAAAUUUAUUAUAUAUUUUUAUUCACAUGUUAAAAACGAAAACAUUAAUUAAAAGUUUGAUAAUUUUGUAAUCUUGUAACAAUAAAUUACAUGUUAAAAAUGAAACUACUAAUUUUAAAUCUAAAAUUUUUAUAAUCUUGUAGUCUUGUGAUAAUAAACUUUUUAAAUCGAAAAUAAAACAAAAAUUAGUAUUCACGGUCCUAUCUGAACUUACCUACUACCUAUAUUGUUAAGUAAUUUAUUUAUUAAAUUAUAAUGGGUAUAUUAUUUCUUUAAAAAAAUUAUAUAUAUAUAUAUAUAUUAAAAGUUAAAUUAUUAUAUAUACGUAACCAUUAUUUCUAAAACGAUAAAUUAUUUAAUUAUUUUAGAAUACAAAUAAAUUAUUCAAUUAUAUAAUUUAUUAAAUAAAAAAAGCAUUUUUUAUUAAAAGAUAAAUAAUCUAAAUAUUUUUCAUUUUUUUCUUUUUUGACAAAAAAUACUAUUAUUAUAAUAACUAUUGAAAUGAAAUUAUAAAAAUAUUUUUAUUAAGUGUAAUUAUAAAAAUAAACAAAAUUUCUAAUUUUAUUGUAUGUGAUUUCUUUACUGUGUAGGUAGUUUUUUUAUUGGAAAGAAUUAUUUCAAUUUUUUUAAAAAAAUUGAAAGGGUUAAAUUGUAAGAAAUUAGUUCCUUUUGUUUGUUUUUUUUUAAAUUUAAUUUUUUAAGUUGUUUAAAAUUCAAAACUUGAGUUUAAAAUAAAUAACUGUCUAAAUUUAUUACAUUUUUCUACCCUUUGUCAUGUUUUAAUGACUGCAACUUUUUAUUUUACAAUAUACAAUGCCAUCUAGUGGUAUAGGUAAGAUACAAUGUACAUGUAUUAAUUUCUCUGUACUAAAACCCUGAUGCGAUUGAUUCAAUAAUAAAGGUAAAUAGAAACCGAAUCGGAGUAAGGAGAAUGAUAACCAGUUAAAAUUUAAAAUACAUAAAAAUGAACAAUAUUAAUAAUGAUUCACUAUUUUAAUAAUAAAACAAAAAAACAAAAAUAUAUACUUGAUAAAAUAAAAUUUAGUUAUAUUUUUAUUCAACCAAAUUUGAAGUGGUUCUGAUUUCUGAAAUUAAAAAUAUUAAAUUUAAAUGAAUGGAAUCUCCAUCGCUCAAUAUCUUUAAAUAUCUAUCAUUUGAGAAUUUGAGACAUGAUCAAAUAUUAACUGUGAGGAAUUAUUCUAAUAAAAUAAUAAUUGUUCUACAGAGUCUAGAAAAUUAAUAUUUUUUAACACCUGAGGCCAUUAUCUCAAUUCUCAAAUUCUUUUCCCCCCCUUGUUAGUUCAUCUCUAUUCUCCCACACCCACACAACAGACAAACAACGCACGCAUGAAAAUAAUAAUAAUUAAUAUUUCUAAAAAAAAAGAAAAAAGAUAAAAGAGUUUUGUUGAAUAUAGUUUAUGAUUUUAUUUUCUUUGUUGUUUUGUUGAGUUAAUCAAAAGAGAGAGAAUAAAUAUAUUGGCUUUGUCUGUUUGUGUGGUGGAUCUGUGUUGUUACAUAAGAGGAAUUGGUUAGGUUGAUUUUGGUUUUUGGUUGGAAGAUGGAUUCUAAGGAUUUUCGAUCCAUAUUGGAGAGCGCGGGCAUCGACAUUUGGAUGUUGAUGGAUGUCGCCAUCGCAGUGGCGUCUGUCGACCACAGUGAUGAAUUGAGGCGUCGAAGAGACGGAAUCGUGGAGCGCCUCUAUGCCACGAGCUCCGUGUCAUCUCCGCCGUGUCCAAAUUGUGAUGUCGACGACGUUAGAGAAAUCGAGAUGAAAAGCAAUGUUAAUCCCUCCGUGGAGGAGGAAAAGGAAACUUGCGAAGUCUUGUUUGAUGAUGAACAAAAGAAGAUUCUAGAGAUUAAAGAGCAACUUGAAGAUCCUCACCAGGUCUUUUUACUUUCAUUUCUCAAUUUAGGAGUUUCUCUUAGCUUACUCGUCUCUCUAAUUAUGAAUCUUGAUUUCUUUCGUAGUCCAUAGAUUCGUUGUUGGAGCUGUUGCAGAAUCUAGCAGACAUGGAUAUCACAUUCCAAGCCUUGGAAGUAACUUAUUUUAUUACAUUCAGUUUGUUAAUUGUUUCUGUUUUUCAUUUUUGUAUCUUUUAAUUUCAUGUAAAAUUGAUUCUGUAGGAGACUGACAUUGGGAGGCAUGUGAAUCGGUUGAGAAAGCAUUCGUCUAAUGACGUUAAGAAAUUGGUGAAGUUGCUCGUCAGGUUUUGAAUCUAACUAUUUUCUGUUUGUUUUUUAGAAUGUGAAUAAUGAGUGUUAAUCGAAACAUUUUAAUGGAUGAAUUUUGCUGAACAUUUGUUUUGUUACUUUUACGUGUUUAUGCAGGAAAUGGAAGGAGAUUAUAGAUGAAUGGAUGAAGUUGAAGACGCCAGGAGAAGCGACUACUACUGUCGUGGGUAAUCUUUGUUUGAGAAAAUUAAUUAGUUUUUCAAAUGAAAAUGUGUUAUGAAGGACUUUGGUUUUAUUAAGUUGAAAAUGUUGAAAUUCGUUUAUUUAUAUAUCUCGUUGGCAUGUCAGCUGACGAGGACUCGCCACAAGAGAAAAUCCUGCAAAAUGGGCAUCGUCAGGUUAUAGAAAUCUUUUAACGAUUCAGUGUUUUUCCAUGAAAAGAAGAUGAAGUUUUUCUUUCUUAACAAAUUGUCUUUCUAAUAUUCUGUUCCUUCCAUAGAUUCCCGAUUUUGCAGACUCGCCAAAUGCACUCAGUGAGUACAAUAUUAGAUUUCAAGCUUCAUUUGUAUCUCGUUUGGAUUUGUUUGACAUAGUAACAUGUUUCCUACUCAUACAGAUGAGAGUUUUGGGUCAGAGCACAACAACAUUGAACCACAACAACGAAAACCAAAAGCAAUUCCUCGCAAAGAAUCUCCCCCACAACCAUCGGCAUCAGUUACUACUCCUACUCUUGCACCUCAACUUAUUGAUAAGAAUUUAUAACCUUUCUGGAGUCUCUGAUCUGAUCUUCUAAAUGUGGCUACUAAAUUGUGGAGGUUGUUGUUUCAAAAUCACGAAACAAGUUUAAAACCAAACUACAAUAAUAAAAGCUCCAUUAUGCAGUACCUGUGCAAGAUCAUAGUGUGAGUAGUCCUGACUUGUUGAAUGAUUGCAGAGACAAAGAGAGAGCAAUUUUGAGUUGGAUAAACUUGCUUCAGCAAGAAAGCGACUUAUAGAGAACUACAAAGAGGUUGCAAAUGGUGAAUUUUUUACUUCUAUUUAAUUUUCAUUUUCUUGCUAUCUACGUAUUGUUUCUUCCGUCAUUUAGUUUCAAAGCAUGCUAAAAGGUUAUAUACUGACUAUUAUCUUGUGUGUCUGCUGUGUGUCUAGCCAAAAAGCAAAGAACGAUCCAGGUGAUGGAUCUCCAUGAGCUGCCAAAACCCAAGAAUGCCUUCUUCGGAAAAAACAAAGGUGGCACCAGUCAGAGAAAACACUGGUGAAAUGGCAUUUUGUGGGUGGGUGAUGCGCCAUUGUCCAAAAAUUGAUUUCAGCACAAAAAGAUAACAAUCAUUCAGCUAUACCUUCAUUUAAUACAUUUUUUAUGUUAUCAAGUAAAACGGAAAAGAGCAAAUUUUGAACAAUCUAAGAAAAACAUUUUAUAUAUUGAACUAAUAUAGUCUUUGUUCAAGACAUUAUUACACUUCAAAUAUUCUUAUGCCUCUUGAUCUUGUGGAACUGGGAAAGGCAGUUAUGCUACACAUGUAUAAACUGUUGAGUAAGAGAAAAAUUAUGAAGACGACAUUUAUGUUCAUUGAUAGAUACAUUUAAAUAAGGUUGCGUGAUUUUGUAAGAUCAUUUUACCGUAUGACCAAUAAAAUUUAAGAAGAAUUGAUUGGAAACCCAUUUUCUGUUGGUUAAAGGAUUCUGCUUCCUACAAAAAUGACAUCACUUUUAGUAAUAUUGAUACUGUAUAAUACUUUUAGUAGAGUAUGAAUUUCUUAUAUACUUUUUGCAAUAUUUUUAGUUUAUAAAAAAUAAAGGGUAAUAUAAUGUUUUUCUCAUUUAUAUUAAAUUGCUAGAAUACAAAUUCAUAUUUAAAAACUAUUCCAAUUGAAGAUAUAAAUUAAUCUGAUAUAUGCCCAAAAUGAUCUAUACCUAUAGAACCUUUAGUUAAAUGCAUCAUCCAACCAUCAACAUUUACAUAAAAUUAUUUUUAAAUACAUAUAAUUUCAUUCAAUUUAAAUUCUAUACUAAUUUCAAUGACGUUACCGAUCCAAAAUAGAUGUAAAAGUAAUUUAUUUAUUUUUUUAACAUAAAUAAUAAAAGCAAAAUUAUUAGAACACAAGAAUUUAGUUGAAAAUAUCGAAUUUUUUAAUAUUUAUUAUUAAUAAAAAUUUAAUUAAAAAUAUUCAAAUUCAUCGUGUAAUUGAAACUUAAUUAAGCUAAUUUUUCAGUAAAUAAAAAAGCAAAAUUAUACUAAAAAUGUUAGCUUAAGAAUCUCUAAAAAUAAUUAGUUAAAAUUUAAUGUUUAAUGAUCAAUCAGAUCCUCAAUUGUAUUGUACCUUUAAACAAGCAAUUUGAUAUUAAAUUAAAAAUUUAAAGACGAAUUUACAGUUUUGUACACACUUAAGUUAAAUUAUCUUCCAAAAUCUAAAUUCUCUCUUAAAGAGAAAAACUAUCAUUUACUCUUAUUAUACAAAAUUUAAGUAUAGUUAGGUACACAUAUGGUUCCUCAGUUUAAAUUCGUACUAUAAAAUUUUUGUUUCUAUUGUUUGCAUUUUAAACAAUUUUACGAAUUUAAAGGGUGCAGAAAGAAACACCCUAAAACCUAAUUAACCCAGUGCGAGUUUGCAUUCAAAAUUUAACAAAAAAUAAACACUCAGCCGUGUGAUUUGCGAAUUAUGUGAGUGUUCCGCAGAAUUUUACCCAGAUAUAAAUAAUAACAUUUCUAUCCAAAUUACUAAAAAAUAAAAAUAAUUUCAAAUAAUAAAUUAACAAAAAAUCUAUUCUAUAACUUUUUAAUCAACUCUUAUAAUUUAUAACAUUAAAAAUACCACUUAUCUUUUUCUUUCAUUUCGUCCAAUUUUAUUGAUCCAAACAUAAACUAAGAGGAAGUGAAAGUGAAAUGAGAGAUUGACUCUUCUAUAUUGCUUUAGUUCUUCACGUUAAUUUUUGUUUUUACAUUUGACUAUUUCUGUGAAAUUAUAAAAAUUAUCUUAAAUUGGUAUUUGUUAAAUAAUAAAAAUAAUUAAUAUUUUAAUUUUUUUUAUAUAUUAUUAAAUUGAAUUAAGUUUAAAAUUCACUUCUUAAUAUAAAUAAAAAAAAUCACUAAAUAAAAAAAAUCAUUUUAUUUUAAAUAUCACUAUGUAACUUGAAAUCUCAAACAACAACAAUAAUUUGUUAUCGCAUGAAAAAUAUAUUAUUAAAAAAAAUAAAAAAAUAUGGAGUUUUGUAUUUUAAUAUGGACCCAUAUUUUUAUUUAAUAAAUAUGUUUACUCCUAUUAUUUAAACUAGUUUUAGUGAUAUUCCUUCGCAUUUUCUGAAUUGAAAUCGUUUUUUUAUAUAAACAUAUAAUUUUUUUAUCAUUCUAAAUCAUCGAUAGAAUUUAAACUAGAAUAAGUUUACUUUUUUUCAGGUAAUAAGUGGUAUCUAAAGCCCUUUGUUUGGUUACUUUUCGUACCCCAUUGGAUUGGUCCACUAAAAAAGUAUUAAAGUGUUCCUAAAAGUCACAACUCCGUAGUUAAUCAAAAGUUGACAGUAGUGCCUUAUAUCAUUUCCAUUUCAAGAAUUUAUCACAUUAAAUUUUAACAUUUUAUUAAUGUUUCACUUUAUCAUAUUAUUUUAAAGAUUUUUUUUAUAUUUUUAUUUUAAUAAGGAUUUUAUAACAAUUAUACUAUAAUAAAUUACAAUAAAUUUUUAUUUGGUUGAUAGUAGAAAUAGAUAUUUUUAAGAUAUAAUUUCUUUUUUCUUUUUCUUAUGACGAAAAAUAUUAAAUUUUAUAUUGCAUAAGUACAAUUAAAUAGUGUUGUAAAACUUUUGUAUUAAAAUUAUUAUCUGGAUAUGACCAUUGUAAUAGAGAUGUUUUUGUUAAGAUAUAGAAGUGUUCAAUUACUUUCAAAUCCAAUAGUAUAUAUUCUUUUAAAAUUUUGUCAUUUAAGAUACUUUUAUCCUUAAUACGUGAUAAGUUUUAUCAAAUUUAUACUUUUGAAUAUCCACAAUUUUUUUUAUAAGUUAUAAAAAAAUAUUAUAAUUUAAUAUUAGAAAAUUCGUUAAAACUUUGACUGAGCGUUAUAAUUAUUUUCUUAUAAAAAUAGUCUUUUAAGUUUUUUUUUAAACCCUUAUCUUUUGAGAAGUUAUUUCAACCUGAGAAGAAGUAACAGUAUUAUUAGUAUGGAGAAUUUGGUCGGCAGAGAUAAAGUUUUGGUCUUUUGGACCACAUUUGGUAACAUCUCUUAUUUCUUUUUGGUCAAAUUCAAAAACAAUAAAAGUGACUUUGUGUUAAAAAAGGGUUACAUCUAAGAUAAAAUUAUCAGCAACCCUAGACCUGCAAUUUGCAUAUUCAACACAUGUUCCUUUUUGGUUUCCUACAAUCAUUUUCUCACGGACAACAUAAAAUAUAUACACAAUUCACAAAUAAUAAAGUCCUUUAUAUAUAUAUAAUAUUUUUUUUUCAAAAUGUUACUUCUUUAAUAUUAUUCUCUAAAAAAAAUCAUUAAAUAAAAACUAAUUUUAAAGAAAAAAAAUUAAUGAUUUUCUAAAAUAUUGAGAUUUUAUUCUCUUAAUACAUUUUUUACUUGGUUAGUAUUUUCGAUGAAAUUUCUUGUUCAUAAAAGUAAUAUUUUUUUAUGUAAAAUAAUAUUUAUUUAAACUAGCACUUUUAAAGACUUUUAACUUUAAAUAUUUUUUAUAUCAGCAAUAAAAUAAAUAAAUAAAUAAAUAGGAACCACUUCAGGGUGAUCUAACCCUUAUACAUAAUACCUGACAAUAACUCCUAUUAGAACGUCUGCCUAACCGCUUGUCAAAUGGGCUAUCAGACCAAUAUUACCCAACAUUACAUAAUCAACCUCAUACAAUCCAACCCUAAAUCUUAAAUCUUAAAUCCUAAACUUUAAAUAUACUAGAUAUGUAUAACAUAAAUAUGUUAAUUAAAUAUAUAAUUAUUUGUUUUUAACAUUUAAAUAAAACUUAACUAAAGAACGUCUAAUUUGUAUAGAUAGACAUAAUUAUUCAUCACUUUCAUGACAAUGGAAAUAUUAAGUGAUGUUUAUUUUCUAUCUAUAUUAGAAGAAAAUAUAUGUCAGUAGUUUUUCAGAAAUACAAAUUACCUGCAAAUCAAGGAGGAGGUGUGAGAGUGUGAGGAACACUACAAGAAAAUCAUGAAAUAUAAAUUAAUUUUUAGAGAAAAAAAUAAUUAGUUGUUAUAGUGACUAAAUUAUAGACUAACAAAAUUUUAGUUUCUAUUAUUGUUAAAUGGUUUCUAAAUUAAUAUCUAAUUAGCUAUCAAGUUUUAAUUAUUUAUUCAUAUGAGAAGACAAAAUGCAAACAAUAAUUACUAUAAAAGCAAUCCUAAGAUGUUUUGAAAUGAAACACACACGUGGAACAAUAUGUUGAAAUUCUAAAUUGUUGUAUAAUGGAAAUACCCUUCACAUUUACACAUUCCAAUAGGGGGAAUCUUAGGAAAAUAAAUAUGUGGGAAACUAUGAUAUAGAAAAUUAAAAAUAGACUUAGCACUUUGGAAGGGUAACUUUUGCAUGUAGGGUUUACUUAAUUAAAUUUGUACUUAUUGCCCUCCCAAUCUUUUUCCUACCCUUCUUUAUAGCCCCACAAAAGAUAAUAAAGAAAAUUAAUAAAACUCAAAGAAGCUUUUUGUGGGGAAAGGGAAAGAGGAAAAGAAAAUAGUUUGGGUUAGUUAGCCAAAAAUAUNNNNNNNNNNNNNNNNNNNNNNNNNNNNNNNNNNNNNNNNNNNNNNNNNNNNNNNNNNNNNNNNNNNNNNNNNNNNNNNNNNNNNNNNNNNNNNNNNNNNAUAUAUAUAUAUUGGAUUGAAAAUAUGGGAGGUGGAGAGUAAUAAAUGAAUCCAAUCAUUCAAAAAAUCAAUACAAUUGUUUGAGAAUGGUUCAUGUGGGAAGUAACUUUGAUGGAAGAUUUUACGAAAAUGAUAAAAACAGAAACACCAAAAUUACAUAAGGCUAAUAAAUGGGAUGGAAAAGGAGAUAAAAAUGAUAAGUAUAUAAUAAAAUCUGUAUAUAAAAUAUUACAAAAUAACAUAUCGAGUGAGAUGGAUUAGUUUUUCCGAGUGAUAUAAAAAAUAUUUGCAAUUCUUAAUGUAAAACACUUCAUUUGUUUCAAGGAUAAGAUUCAAUAACAUUGCAAUUAAGGAAAAUCUAAUUUUCUAUUUACAAUUUUUUUAAAUAAAUUUUUUAUUCAUUAUCGGUUAAUUUGAAAACUCUUUUAUUUCUAUAAUAUAUAUAAAAAAAAUGGUUCUUACUAAAAGAUAAAAUCGUAAGAUGCCUUUUUAUGAUUAUAAUGAUAUUUACUAUUUUAUAUUAAAUUAAUUAUUUUUUGUUACAAUAUAUAUUGAUAUAUUAAAAACAAUUUUUUUAUACACAAAGAACCUUAUUUAUUAUUUUUAUUUCGACAUGUCAAAAACAGCUUGACUUCAACCUACUGUCUCGUGUAGAUUAUCAAUAUUACUUGAAGAAUAAUUAAAGGAUGAAGAGAAAGUUGAAACUAAUGAGAAGCAACUCAAGGAGGUUUAUGAAGGAAAAACAGCAGAGCUUUAUUUAGUGAUUGAAAUAUGUUUUUUUUUUUUAAAUUACCUAUAGCUAUUUCAUUCAUAUAUACAUAAGAUAUAUAAUUGUUAGUUGUGAGGUCUAUUUUUUUUAUAAGAAUUGAGUUAUUUUAUAAAGGGUUAAUAUUUAUUUAUUAUUUUUUAUAAAGUGAUUUAUUUUAUUUAUUGUUUUUUUAUAAAAAAAAUAUUAAUUUUCUGUAAUUCCCUUAUUUACUAAUUGCUGAAAAUUACUCUAAAUAAUUUAAAUUCAUUUUAAUAAAUUCUAUUUAACUGUAUCUUUAAAUAUCGAUCAAAAAAUCUUUUAAAUUAUUACUUUUUUACUUUAAUCAUAAAGUAUAUUUAAUAUUACAAGAAAACUAAUUAUUAAAUAAAAACUAAAUUUAGAAACUAAAAUUUAUUAUUUAUUAAAUUAUAGAUAAAUUUAUAAAUUAAAAAAAUUAUUAUAUUUAAAGUAGUUUCUAUUAUUAAUAAAUAAAAUAAAAUAACUUUUAAGUUGAUAUUAGUUACCAAUAUUUUAGCUGCUUACUACUUUAUAUUCUAAAUUAGUCUAUAUUAUUUUUUUAGAAACUAAUUUAAAAUUUAAAAUAUUAGUAGCUAAUUUAGAUACCAAUUUAAAAACUAUUUUAUAAAAUUUUAUUAAUAAUAAAAACAUAUCAAUAUGUUUUAAUCUUUAAAUUAGUAACUAUAAUCAUUAUAAUUAUUUUUUAUCGUUAUUAUUUAAUGAUUUUUUUAGUGAGAUUAAUAUUCAUCGUCGGAUAUUUUUUUUUAUAGUUUAUCACGUAUCAUUAUUUUGAUUUUGAGUCAGUAGUCUCACAUAUUGAAGACAUGAAAGUGAACUUUAAAAGAAAAUAAGAUAUCAAAUUAAAAUUAAAAAAGUUAAAACAAAGGAUAAAUAGAGUUUCCCUACGAAAUAUAGAUGCAUUUUACCAUUGCAUUAUUGACAACUGUGUUCAAUAAUAGACGUUAUCAAUUUGUGUUGUUUCUCCAAUUGUUAAUGUUUCAGUAUCUUAAUCGGGAAUGAGUUUAUUUUCAAAUUCAUGCAAAAACCCUCUUAAUAUAGUAUUUGGAGUGUGGCUUUUAGAUUAUGGAGGACCAUACAUAGUUACACAUGAAUAACGUGUAUAAUGAAAAGACAUAUAUGAAGCAAAGUUGUAGAUUUUUAAUUAAUUUGAAAAGGAAGAGGAGUGUGGAAGUGCAAAAACUUUGCCUUAAACAAUAGGUUAGUGGACUUAGUUUGUCGAGUGAAGUGCUAAAUUGGGUUGAAAGAAUUGGUUUUAAAAUAAUCAUGUUCAUUCUAGUUGCAAUCAUGUUGUGUUUUUAUAUUUUUUAUGUUAAAGUGCGAUAAGCUUACUUAAUAAUUGGACUCCUCUUUGUUGCAUGUACCUUUGCUGUUUUUAAGUGUGUGUUGAUAUGGAUAGUAGGACCAUGAAAACAACAAAUUUAAGAGAUUACAUAAAGACUUCACUUAGCUAUAAGAAACCACUCUCAUAGUGCUUUGGGAAAGCUCUUUUGAGAAGAUGGGUAUGUUAAAAGAAAAUAUACGAAACUAUUGUGUAAAACACAUGGAAUACUUAAUCAACAAGAUAUUCAAAUUAUAGGAGAAUUUACAAGAGAAUAACAAGUUUUACUCUUAUUCUAAAGAUUAGAUGACAAAAAAAUAACACUUUAGUUCCUUUCUUCUUUUUAUGUUUCUGUAUGUAACAUUUAAUGUAAUUUUUCUUUUGUUGGUUGAUAAAAUAAAAACAAAUGUUCUCGUUGGAUGGAUUAAACCAGAUACACCAAAUAGAAAAUUGUAAUGGAUUUCUAAACAAAUUAAUAAUUUUUAAGUAUAGUUUCACUAUAUAUUAAUAGUUUCAUCAAAUAAUUCUAAAAUUUAAGUCAUGUAAAUGAAAUGAAAUUUUUAAUAUAAUAAUAUAAUAUAUAUAUAUAUAGAUAUAUUAUUUAUAUAUAGAGAGAGAAUCAUAAUAAUAUUUUUUUUUUUAAAAAAACAAGUAGAUUAAUAAGGUUACUAUUAAGAAGUAAAUUUUAAAUUUAACUCAACCUUAUAAAACCAAUUAGUUGAUAUGAGAUUUUUAACACACCUCACUCACACCGAAACCUGUCAACUCGUGCAUAGAGACUAUAUAAUGAAUGAUCCGAUAGCGGGUGACUUGUGAUAAACCUAACAAACUCUCGCUAAGAUAAACUUUAAAUGACUUUGUUAUCAUAUUGAGAAAUAAACUUUAAGUCUAUCUCAAUCUUAUAAAACUGUUCAUCAUAAAAUGAAGUUUGUAUCUACUUAUAUACUAUAAAUUUUUAUCUCUCGUCGAUGUGAGAUUUCUAACAAUUAUAAAAGAAAUCCAAUUCAAUAUAAAUAAUAAUUUCUAUAAUAUUAAGCCUCUUCAUUAGGCUAAACCAGAAAUUAACAAGACAGACGGUGGUCUAUGUAUAUGAAUAUGUUUAAAAAAGGGUUCUCAAUUAUGUUCUUAAGUAACUACUAUCAUUGCUCACGUGCUCAAUGUGCUCUUAUAUGUAGCUUUAUUUUUUAUUUUUCUAAGAACGUGAAUUAAUGGCUUGUAAUUAACAAUUUGUUUGAUGAGUAUUAAAUUGGCUUUAACCUCUCAGUAUCUAAAGUUUGUUUCAAAGAUCUUCCAUAAUUGUAAUAUAUAAAUAAAGGUUUUUGACAUGUACCAUAAUUCGCUUAAAGCGAGCGUGAUAUGAAUAAAGGGAGUGAUGAGGAAUCCUAAGCUUUCUUUUCUUCUUGUUCUAAUAAUUUCAGAUGAAAGAGACAUACUGAGGAAUGAAACAAGUUUUGUUUAUUUGACUGAGGGAGGGAACUCCAUCUUUUUCUUCUGAAAUAAAAUUAUUCAUGCUUAAAAUUUAAGGCUACUUUAGAUGUUGUUUUCCAAUUAAAAUAAGAUAAUAACUUUUAAAGUAGAAAUUCUAAUUCGAAUUGAAAAAUAAUAUUGAACUACCUAAACUUGAUUUCUAAACACCAACAUCUAACUAGUUAAAGUAGAGUUUAGACUUCUAAAAUAAAAUUUGUUGUAUUUUUGAAAAGGAAAAUUGUGAUUAAAAAAAUUUAAAAUACUUACUAAAAGUUAAAAAAAAAAUUAAGUUUUCAUCAUACAUUAAUCAUUGAAAAAAUUAAUAAAUAUUUCAUAUAUAUAUCUAAAAAAUAAUUUACAUACCAAUUGUUUUUUUAGUUUAUAAAUAAUUUUUAAUUUAAUCAAAUAGUAACUAAUUACACUACAAAAAAAUGUUUAUUAGCAAGGGUCAAAAAGGGACAUUAACCAUAAUAAAUGGACACAAAAGUAUAGUUAUCAAUAAAAUUUGGAAGCUAAUAUGCUCGAUAUAAAAAUAGUGAAGGGUGUGUGAGAUACAAGUGGUGUCACACAAAAUUAUAUUUUAUAUUGUUUAUUUAAAGAAGUGUGGGCUUAACUUACAUGUUGGCCACAUAAUUUUUAAACAAAAGUGGACUUAGCCUACAUGUUGCCCACACAAAAUUAUAUUUUAUAUUGUUUAUUCAAAAAAAGUGAACUUAGUCAAGAUUGACCACACAAUUUUUAAACAAGCGUGUACUUAACCUUCAUAAUUUUAUUACAUAUUUAAAUUUAAUUUAAAUAUAUAUAUAUAUAUAUAUAUAUAAUGUUUGCGUGGGCUUAAUCUACAAAAUUUUAAAUUUUUAUUAUUAUUUAUUAUUUAUAGUUUCAGUUGUGACCAUUUGACCCACGUAAUUUUCUUUUCUUUUUUUUAGUUUAUAUCCAUAUAACCCACGCUUAUCCACUCUUUAUUUUUUUAUUUUUUUAAUAAUAAAGGCUUAGUGGACACUAUUUAGGUUCCUAGCAUCAACCUUCACUUUCUUUUGCAGCUAAUUUUACUUUUUGUGUAGUGUUAUUUGAGUAUCUAAAAUUAAUUUUUAUUUGAUAAUUUUCUUAUAUAAUGUGUAUAUGUGAAAUAAAUAUCAUAAAUAUUUAUGGGUAUUUGAAAUUUGGUAUCUUGGAUUGAUAGAUAAAAUAGCUAACCUGCCAACGGUUAGAAUCUAUGCAAGGAUCUAACCAAAAAUAUGUAUAUGAAAUUUACAUAUUGAUAUAAAUUUAGGAAUUUUUGGAAAUAUCUUGUAACAGAUAAAAAAAUAUGAAAAAAUAAAUUUAAGAAAACAUACACAAAAGAAUAAUUUUGUGAUAAUAGAAGACUCAGAUUAUAAAAAAGAAAAAAAAAAUAUUACAAUGAUUCCUUCUUCUCUCUUUCCUCUUGCUUCCUUAAUAUACACUAAUCUCUGGACCACUAAAAAUCAACUAAUUUAAAUUAGUUUUUUUUUUCCUUUUAAGUGCCUUAUUAUACUAGUAUUUGGAUAAUUCAAAAUCAAUCAACUUAAAAAUUAGUUAUUUUGGAUCGAACGAGUCUACUUCUUUCUUCUAUUAUUUAUUUUAUUAUAUAUAUUUUUUUCAUUGUUCCAGUUUUGUCUUUAAUUAACUACCCUCUCCCCAACCACAUUUGUUAUUAAAAUGAAUAUGUAUAUGGAAUUUACAUAUAUGAAAUAUAGAUUUAAGGAAAUUGGAAAAUAUCCCUUCCACAGAAUAGAAAUGGUCCUGUAAGAAGCGUUUAUGCUCCGUUUAAAAUUGUCUCAUUGUGAAAGAUGAAUUAAUUUAUAGUAAAUCUGAUGUAUAUCUGCAUGGAAAGCAACUAGGCACUUAUGACGCAUCACCAUCUCUUUGCUUUUCUUAUAAGUCCAAAAGCUACUUCACAUAGAGAAUCUAACUUACCAUCUUUAAUGAUACUUUUUUUUAAUUAUAUUUAAAGACCAAUUUAACAUUACAUUAUUUUUAAGGAUAAAUUUAAAAUUAAAUUAUAAUUAUUUUUAACUAUAAUGUUCAAAUUUUUUUAUCAAUAAAAAUAAAUAAAUUAAAAACGACACUUCAAAAAUAUUCAAAACCUUAUACAUAUAUAAACACCUACCUAAUUUACUAUACUGUUGAAGUGUGGAUGUAUUACACCUUGAGUUACUAUUUCACAACUUUUGUUCUUUCCAAAAAACUUGGUACUGAUUUAUACAAUCAAGAAUUAAAAUGGUAGUUAACAGAAUAAUGUUUCUAAUACUUACUUGUUCAAAAUAAUAUAAAAAGAUAAAAUAAAAUAUAUUUUACAAGUUGAAUUGUUAAGUUUUUUUUUUUUUCAAAUUUUGACUGAUGUUAGACUAAAAAAUUCUUCCAGUUGACACAGACAAUUAAUCUAAGUUAAAGUUGUACCGAAAUUUCUCCAUUCAAUAUUAGAAAAAAAAAAUUUAAUGUCAAAAUCCCUGUAAAUAUAAAUAAAAAAAUAAUGUCAAAUUAACGACGUCUUUAACAUCAGUUAAGUUGACAAGUCCUAAUAUGAUAUUACUAGUGGAUGUUUUAAUCAAAGCAAAAUCAACAACACAUGACUAAGACAAAGAGAGAAACUAUGAAAAUGAAAUAUAUAGAUUUGGGACCAAAAAAAAGUAUUAAUUUUUUUUAAUUUUUUUUAAGUAAAAUUUAAAAUGAUUUAAUUUUAGUUAAUCAAUUUAUUUAAAGAUUAAAUAUUUUAAACUUUCUAUAAAAGUAAAUUAUUCUCUAAAUAUUUUUCAUUCAACCAAAUUAUUGUCAAAUUUAUAUAUGCAAGACCAAGAUUAAGGAAAUACAAAUUUAACACGUGUAAUAACUUGGUGGUCUUGUGUUAUGGUUCAAGAAGCAUACUAACAAUAUUAGUCACCCAAUUAAAAAGUAAUAUUGUUUAAGUGGACAGAUUUGUAAGUUAGUGCAAGAAUUAGGUCAAUAUAUAUAUAUAUAUAUAUAUAUAUAUAUAUAUAUAUAAUUAAGAGAAAAAAAAUAUCAUUAAAAAAUAAAUAAAAUAAAUUAGAUUAUUUAAGAGACGAUCGAACCUUAUAUAAAAAAAAUGUUUUAACCAUAUGGCUUUAUAUUCACUUUCACAGCAAUUAACUGAUGUGGAGUUGUAAACAGUAGAACUUUCAGUUAUGUUCCUUCUGUAUUUAUAAUUAAAAUAUCUAUUUGAGAUAUAUUUUAAAGAGUUAUAUUCGACGAAAAUGUUUUUAAGGAUUUUUUUAAUCAAAACAUUUUCUGAAAUUUAAUAGUUAUCAUAUAUUUUAUUUUCUUAACUGGUUACCCCUUUUAAUUGUUUUUCAUCUGAUUUUUAAAUUGAACUUUGAUUUUUUUUUUUUAAAUGAUCGAAUAGCUUUAUAUAACCUUACCGUCAUUAUCAUAAAUUUUAAAAAAAAAAUUAUCCGCGAAGUAAAAAAUAAAUAAAAAUUUAUCCAUCCAUAAAGAAAAGUCUAUUUGUUAUAAAGUUAAAGUUGUCCAAUGAUUGUGAUCAGUAACAUAAACAAGAUAAAAUCACAGAAUUAAAAAUCAUAAACUCAAAAUAGUCCCAGGUGAAUGUGAAAUGGUAGUCAUGAUUGAGUUUGGGUACAUGAAGUAACUACUCUUUUUUAUUAUUACUGUCUUCUUCCUAAAUAGGAGUUUGGGUACAUGAGUGGUUGUAAUAACUUUUUUUAUUAUUUGUCUUCUUCUAAAUGAUUUCAUAUAUAUGUAUAUGCUCUUUUGUCCACACUUUUUUAAAAUUGAGUGAUUGAUAUUUUGGAAUUUUUUUCUUUUGUUCAAUUGUCGGUAUAGUUUUUUAUUAUUUUUAAAUUUGUUUUUGUAUAUUUUUUUUUAUUUUGAUUGGUGUCUUAGUCUUUUGAUUUGUAUGUAUUUGAUCAAGAAAUUUUGAAAUUCUAGAUUUUUUGUUCUUUUAUAAGGUUAUGAUGAGGUGUUAGGUUGUUUCCGUAGUAUCUUUAUUUCGAUUUGUUAAUUUGUAUUUUAGUUGUUCAAUUAGGAUAUUUGUGGUAAACUUUUGGAAAAGUAUUGUAUGUUAAGUUUUGUAUAAAGGUGUUUGACCACCUCUAAAAUGGUUCAUAUUUAUUUUUUUUAAAGAAAUAUGUUGUUUUGUUUUGUAGAAACAUUUCCUAAAUUUUAUUCAUGGAUGUUUUAUGUUUAGAAAAUAUGGAUCCACAAUUAUUUUUUUAAUAGUUUCUAUUAAUUACUUUAUUUUUCUUACUAUAAUUUCUUGCAAUGGUUUACUACAAAAAAAUUAUUAAAUAAAAAUUAAUUUUAAAAACUUAAAUAAUUAAUUACUAUAUUGAUUAAAUUAGAGACUAUUUUAUAAACUAAAUUUAUUUUACCAUAUAAAGUAGUUUCUAUUAUUAAUAAAAAAUUAUAAAAUAAUUUCUAAAUUUAUAUAUAAUAGCGAACUACCAAAGAUUAAGUUACUAAUAUUUUAAAUUAUAAAAUUAGUCUAAUUAAUUUAGAAUAUAAAUUACUUAGUAAUUAAAUUAUUAUAUGUAAUUUAGAUAUAAAUUUAGAUAUUAUUUUAUACAUUUUUAUUAAUAAUAAAAACUAUUUUAUAUACUAAUAAUUUUUUAUUUUUAGAAUAAUAUUUAAUUUAAUUAAUAUAGUAACUAUUUUUUCUAUUUAUUUAAUAAUUUGUUUGUAAUGGAUGUUGAUAUAUUUCAUAAUUGGAAAGAGAUGAAUUCUAUGUUGUUUAAAUAAGAGUAAUGCAUUAAUACCUAUAAACACCAUUGAAAACAUGUAUCACCUCAUUUAGGAUCGUGAAUGUUAAUGUAUAUAUAUAUUUUUUUUAAAUAAGAGUUUUUCAAGAUAAUAUUUAGUUUACAAUAUUCAAACUUACAUUUUUCAAAAAGCUACACCGUAUCAGAAAAAGAACCCAAUACGUUAUCCAAUCUAUAAAUUGUUUGUGUUGCAACACACAUACUAGCCAUUGCUGGGACUGCACCUUUUUAUACCCUCUCUAUUGAUCUGUUAGAAAAACCUGUGAACAAUUCGCCUUUAAGAAAGUUGAGAAAGAAAAAUGUGAAAAAAAGUGUAAAUUAUGAUUUGAUUUAGGUAAGAAAGUGAAAAGAAAAAAAGAGUAUAAAGAGUGAGUCCAAACUUACUUCAUUCUUGUCAAGAAAAUUCAGAGAAAGUGAGUACAGUAUAGCUUUUGUUUUACGUUCGUGCCCUUGGGAGAGACAAGAAGAAAUUGACACUGAAGAAUUACAUGGGGUUAAACUUGAUCCACUUUCAUCCAAUUCUAACCCAUGUUAAUCUAUAACCUUACCAGUUUAAGAGUGAUACCAUUUAUUUUAUUUCAUCAAAUAGUAUUAUGAAGAAGUGAGUGAAAAACAAGAAAAUGUGACACUAAAUAGAUUUUUGCUGAUACUACAAGGUGUAACGGUACACAGUGCACUACGAAAUAAAUGCAUGAAGUUGUGCAGCGAAAUAGUAGAGAGAAAGGUGGUCCCAGACGAGUAAAGAAGCUUAUGAUAUUCACCACACACGUCCCAUAAUAGAAAGACUAAAGCCAAUCUGUGUGCUUCUCACUACUUUGGAGCAAUAUCUCAAUUGCCCAUAAAAGGCCAAGCUUCUGCACAAACAUCUGUGUCAUCAACUGUGAAGCAUUUUCAUUCUCACCACUUCCGUUUCGGAACCUAAAUUAGGUCACAGAUCAUAUCAAAAAUCACCAUGAAAGGAAACAAGCCUUAUCUAGUUGUGAUCCUCAUACAAGCCAUCUACGCUGCUAUGUUUCUGCUCUCAAAAGCAGCAUUUGACCAUGGCAUGAACAACUUCAUCUUUGUCUUCUAUAGACAGACCGCAGCCACCAUAUUCCUCAUCCCUUUUGCUUUCUUCUUUGAAUGGUAUGCACAACACUACUUACAUGACCAUAUAUGUAUCUAACCAGCCAAGUUCAAUCUCUUUUUCUCAAUUUAAUGAUGCGAUUUUUUAUUUUGAAACCAGGAAAACUGCACCCCCUUUGUCAUUCGUGGCCUUCUGCAAGAUCUUUUUUCUUUCUUUCCUGGGGUAUCUCCAAAUAUUCAAUAUUUCAAUUCAUCACAUAUGAAAUUGAUGCUAUAAUGAUUAGAUCCUAUCAAAGUUGAAGAGUACUGAUACAUAUAUAAAGCUAGCUAGGUUUAAGCUUUACGUUAUUAUAUAUUCAAUUGAAAUAUGAUUCACGUGAUGUUAUUGCUUGAUUUUUUUUGGACAUAAAUUUCAGGAUCACUGCCAGCUUGGACAUAUAUGGUAUUGCCCUUAUUUACACUUCUGCUACUUUGGCUGCUUCUAUCACAAACUGUCUCCCAGCCAUCACCUUCUUCUUAGCGUUACUGUUCAGGUAGAAUAUUUAUUACUCAAGGAGUUAUAGUUGCUUUCGCUGAUUAUGGUAAUGUUUUCAGUAGGAUCUAGCUCAUCAUAUAUUACUAUUUAUUUUGUAUUUCAUUCACUUCAACUAAAGUUAGUUUUCCCACCAAGCUCAACCUUAAAUUUGACUUUAAGUCUCUCAGAAAACCGCACUUUAUCAAAAUGGGUGAGCUUUUUAUUGUCAAAAUCCUAAGAAACCUGAUAAUAUCCGAUCACAAGUGGAGAUUUUGCUGGUGAUAUAAGAUUCACGGGUUCUUUAUGAUCAACACACUUGAAGCACCUAAAAACAACAGUCAUUGUUUGUUUAAAUCUUUCUUCUUAUCACAUAUCAGUUAGUAUAAUUACAUUUUUCCUUUCUUGUCCUUCUUCUUAGCUACAAUUUCUAAGCAUUCCUAAGUGUAGAUAUGUCAAAACAAGCGUGAGAUAUAGGACUGGAUGGUGAUUAAAAUAGUAUGGGCGCUCGUGAAAAAGAAAAGUUUAGCCAAAACGUGGAGAGAACACUUGUACUCCCUCUGAUUAAAAAUAUCUUGGUUGUCUACUAAAAAGAAAUCCACAGCAAAAUGCAUUAUUAUGUGCCCACUUCUCAGGAAUAAUAAAGGGAAGGAAACAGCUAGGGGUUAUGAGUUAUACAUGUCGGAUGACGAAAGCUUCAAGGACAAAUUGUACUGCAUUUUUCAUUGAAUGCAUAGAUAGGCCCUUUUUUCUUUUUUGUUUAUGAACAAGAAGUUUGCUAGUCUUAUUUCUACAAGAAAAACCUAUGUUGUGCUUGGUAAUUCAUAAUUAACAACAUUUAAUAGGAGAUAAAUGGGUAAUAUAAGUUGUUUUUAUAAUAUUGAGUUAGAUUUAAAGUUAUUUUUAAUAUAUUAUCAGAAUUAUUUUAAAUUUAUUUUAAUCGAUAAUUUAUUGGAUUUAUAAGAUCACAGUGUUAUAUUGACUUAAAAUUCUCCUUCAUAAUAAACUAACUCAUUUAUUAUUUAUUUAUUUUAUUUCUUACAUCCUUUUCAUUUUUAUCUUGGUAUGUACCAAAAACAAAAUUAAUACAACUGUUAAUUGCUCUGACAAGUUCUUAGGCGUUUCCAACUAGGAAAGUGAAAUGCACUCAGCUUUUGGAAUGUCUUGUUCAUGUAAGUGGGUAACUUUCAGAUUGGACCUGUUAGUUGCAGCAACAAGGUCCAUUUGUGCUCAGGUUUUGUAGCCACAAUCCUUCAAUGCAUAGCUGUCCAAUUAUGUGCCUUUUUGUUCUCGAGGGAAACGACACUUUCACAAAAGAAAAGACCAUGUUAUACAUGAACACGUGCUUUUAUAUACAUAUCUAGUCCAUGCAAUACAGAGUAUAUAUAUCAUAAAGUGGCUGAGGGUGAACCAUGGAAAAAUGGUUCAAUUUCACUAAGCAUCUCUCACAUAAGAGUUUGGUUUGUUUCAGGAUAGAAGUUUUGAAAGUAAACAGUGCCCCUGGUGUUGCUAAGUUGGUUGGAGUAGUGGCAUGCUUAACUGGAGCAGCAAUCCUUGCUUUCUAUAAAGGUCCUCAUUUGGAACUUUUAAGCCAUUUUAACCUUUUAGGGUACCAUAAAAGCCAAGAACACCUGGGUCAUGCUGCAUCUCCUUCAUGGAUAAAGGGCUGCUUCCUCAUGCUCCUCUCCAGCACCUUUUGGGGAAUGUGGCUUGUGCUACAGGUAAUUUUUCUUCCCUCACCUUGUUAACAAUUCAUAUCCUCAAUUAAUAGUCUUCUUAUCAAUAUUCUUGUUGGUAAUUUGAGCAGACUUUUGUCAUAAAAGGCUACCCUUCAAAGCUGCUCUUCACAACUCUUCAGUGUUUCUUAAGCUCCAUUCAGUCUUUGGGCAUUGCCUUGGCAGUAGAAAGAGACAUUGAGCAAUGGAAAUUGGGGUGGAAUGUCAGACUCCUUGCUGUUGUGUACUGUGUAAUCCUCUAAUCUUCACAUAAUUAAAUUGAUGACAUGUUAUUAUUUCUAUGUAAUAUUAGCAAAUUUAGUAAAAUCUCUCUAUAAAUAUAAUUAUUUAGUAUAUACUAAGGCAUGUUUAGUUUGUUGUUUCUGAACUGAAGACUAAUUUUGGAAUUAAUUUAUUGUGGUAGGGAAUUAUGGUGACUGGUGUAACAUAUUACUUACAAGCAUGGGUUAUAGAGAAGAAAGGACCUGUGUUUCUGGCCAUGGCAACACCACUGGCACUCAUAAUGACCAUCAUCUCCUCCUCAUUUAUCUUGGGCGAGAUAAUAACUUUGGGAAGGUUAUAUAUUCAUCAUCAAUCACCACCCUCAUCCCAACUUUUACUACCUUUUUAUAUUUCUCUUUUCUUUUCCCAUGUGUUUCACACAUUUACUAAAAUCAUAGUUUCACACUCCAAUACAUGCUCAAAAUAACGAAGAAUCAAAGAAAGGGAAAAUAUCUAACCACUGACUAUUAGAGGUUAAUUAGGUGUUUAAUUUUGUUUCUUUUUAAUUGCAUUUAGGUAUUAAUUAAUUAAGUGUGUGGUUGGUGUUGAUGUUUGAACAGCCUUUUAGGUAGCAUCGUUUUGGUUAUUGGACUGUACUGCGUGCUGUGGGGAAAGAGUAGAGAGCAAAUGCCAAAAGCUUCCCCAGAUUUGGAGGAGGCAUCGAGUUAGAGUUUAUGACAGGUGUAUACAGUUACAGGAGCAGUAACAGUUUCUUCAAUAUCCUUUCUCUCCCAUGCCUGUUAUGAGAAUCAUAAAACAAGUAUUGAGUAAAGGAUGUGAGAAAGAGUAUUUUACCGUAUAUAAUAUUUGAAUAGUAAAUUAUAUGGUAGUGUUAACUUGUGAGAAAAAUGUAUGGUUGUAAAGGCAUAUAUUACCUGUAUAUAGUAAGGUAUGAAAUUUUUAUUUCACUUCUAUUAGACCACCUUGUUUCUAUCCUUUUAAAUAUAAUUAAAUAUUUUUUUUAUAAAAAAUGAAAAACACAAUUAAUAAAAUAUAUUUUUUUAUCAGUAAUAAGAAUAUAUAUACACAAGAACCACUUCAGACGUGAUUCAACCCUUAAUUCAACUCUUAUACAAAAAUAUAUGAACAACCUGACUGCAUAACAUCUUUGAAACAUUUAAGAAACAAGCCGUUCCCGACAAAACCUGACAAUUAGUAAAAUAUAAUAGAUACAUAUUUAUUUUUCAAUAUAAUUAAUGUCAAAUAUAAAAAAAAUUACAAUUAUAUAAAUUUCAAAUCAGAAUAUUAAAUAAUAAUGAAUAAAAAUUAAAUAAUUAUAAAAAAACAUAUAAUAAAAUUAGUGUUCCAAAUAUAAGUUCAAAAAUAAAAAAUAAAUUUUAUUAAGUAACCUAAUAAAUUAUAAAUAUUUCAAAAAUUUAAACUAGAGAUAUAUUAUAAAGUGGACUUUAAGCAUAACUCAAUCCCAUAAAACUGGCUCAUGGGGUGAGGUUUGCACCCAUCUCCAACACACCCCUCACACCGAGACUGCCAACUCGUGCGUGGGACUAUAUAUUAUGUGUGGUCCGAUAGCGGCCCGAUAGCGGGUGACACGAUAAGCUCAACACAAACACUCGCUAGGAUAGACUCGAAAUGACUCUGAUACCAUAUUACAAAGUGAACUUUAAACCUAACUCAACAUAAAACCGGCUCAUGGGGUGAGGUAACAAAGAUAUGUAUAACAACCUAACUAACAUUAGGACGACGAUACACAUAAACUAGAGAUAUGUAUAACAACCUAACUAACAUUAGGAACACAAUACAUAUGUAUGUAUUUAUUUUUCAAAUCUUUAUAUUCAAUUUAAACAUUUAAAUGCUAUCUAUAUACUAUAUAUUACUAAAAAAUAAUUAAAUAAAAAUUAAUUUUAGAAAUAAAAUAAUUAAUUGACUAAAUUAAUAUUAUUUUAGACAUUAAACAAAAUAUUGGUAUCUAAAUUAACUUUUAUUAUUGAUAAAUCAUUUUUAAAUUGAUAUCUAAUUAGUUAUCAAAAUUUUAACUAUCGAUUAUUUGAAUUUUAAAGUUGGUUUUCAUAGUUAAUUAGUUACCGAUUUAGAAACUGUUUAUUAUUAAUAGAAACUAAUAAUUUUUUUAAUCUCUAAAAUAAUAUUUAAUUUAAUUAAUAUAACAACUAAUUAUUAUUUUUUUAAAAAUUUAGUUUUUUCUCUUAGUGUAGAAAUUUUAUGUUUCUGUUUAUACUCAUGAAGCUCUUCAACCUGAGGUGCACUCUAAGCACCUAAUCCUCCACUUCCUGAAACUUCAGAUACGUCUUUAAGAAUCUACAAGACAAAAGUGCAUUAUAAUAUACUUUGUUGUUGCUGUUCUUUUAUAUGGACAUCUUUUGUACUCUUUCAUAUUGGUAUAAUAAAAAUAAUUUUCUUACUUUAAGUUCUGUCAUGGCUUAUUCCUUCCUCUUUCUUCUUUCUUUUUGAUUUUUUAUUCCAUGCCAUCAUCUUUAAGGAUUUUCUCAACCCUUGCUUCUUGAUCUCUUUGAACAAUCCAAGGUCACCAGAUUUUUAGAGUCCUUCCAUGCAUAUGGCUUUGAGUGUCAAGAAUAAAUUUCAUUUUGUACAUAAAUCAAUUUCAAAGUCUUGAUGUUAAUUUUGACUUAGCUUCAUAUUGAACUUGUAUUCUUAAUUUUGUUUCCUAAGAACUUGUAUGAGACAAUCCCUGUAUGGAAGAUUCAUUGAAAUACUUAUAUUUGACCAUUUCUUCAUCAAAUAUAUGUUUGACUGAAAAUAGAGUUAAUCAAUUCAUAUCUAACUUUAGAAUACCAAACUUGACUCCUAUUCACAAUCUAUUGAUGUAUAAACACUACACAAGAGUUAGUUCUCUUGUUUUUUAUAAAUUCUACGCUUCAACUAAUGCAUUAUUUGUUGAUGUCAAUUGAGAAAUUUAUGAUAAUUAAACCAUCUAUUAUAAGUUUAUGAUAAUUGUUUAUAAUAAUUAUAGACAAUUGUUUGGAAACUCUAUAAUCUCAUAGAAAUCCAACAAUCAACACACUGUUUAUCUAAUGGGUUACUUGGUUUGUUUAUCUUUCAGUAGAUUUUGGUAUCAAAAUAGAACCAAUUUUUCUUUUUGUAAUAAUCAAAUUACAAUACAUAUUGUUUUACUCAACCUUAUCUAAUCAACAUUUAAUUAAAUUGUGAUCUCAUCAAGAAAAAGUUGUUCAAACUCAUGUUAGUGAAAUAUAGUGAUACAUCACUAAAAAAAAAUCAUUUAAUUUAAUAGUAAUUAAUUUAGAAAAAAAAUAUUAGUCACUAUAUUCACUAAUUUAGAUACUAUUCUAUAAAUUAAAAAUUAUUGGUAUUGAAAUAAUUUUUAUUAUUAAUAAAAUUUAUAAAAUAGUUUCUAGAUUAGUAUCAAAACAUUACUUGCUGAUAAAACAAAAGUAUCAAAACAUUACACUACAAGAAAAUCAUUAAAUAUAAAUUAGUUUUAGAGGUCAAAAUAAUUAGUUACUAUAUUGACUAUAUUACAGACCACUCUAUAUAAACUAAAAAAAUUAUUGGUAUCUAACCAUUUGCUACAAAAUUUUAGUUACUAACUACUUUAUAUUAUAAAUUAGUCUUUAAUAGUCUUUUAAAGACUAAUUUAGAAAAAUAGUAGUGACUAAAACUUUGGUAACUAAUUUAGAAACCAUUUUAUAAUUUUUUAUUAAUAAUAGAAACUACAUUAGAUACCAAUAAUUUUAUUAGUCUCUUAAAUAGUAUCUAAUUUAGUCAAUAUAACGACUAAUUAUUUUUUAUAUUUAAAUUUGUUUUGCUAUAUAUUGAAUGAUUCUAAUGUAGUGUUAGCUACCAAAGUUUUAGCUACUCACUAUUUUAUAUUCUAAAUUAGUUUAUAAUUUUAAAUUAAAUAUUGAUUUAGAAUAUAAAGUAGUUAAUAACUAAACAUUGAUAGUUAAUAAUAAAUAUCAAUUUAAAAACUAUUUUAUAAAUUUUUAUUAAUGAUAAAAACUAUUUUAAAUACAAAUAUAUUUUUUUAGUUUAUGAAAUAAAUAAUAAAUAAUUAUUUUUUCUCUACAAAAUUAGUUUAUAUUAAAUUAUUUUCUUAUAGUGAAAAGAUUUUUUAUUUUUUUAUAAUUAUAUUUUGUUGCACCUUUAUUUUUUUUUCUAUUUACCUAUAUAUAUUUAUAUUGGUUCCAUUAUAUCACUUUGAUAUAUUAAUUAUGUGAUAUACAAAAGUGAUCAGGCUAGUAAAAAUAUUAUAAAUAACAAAGAUUUAUAUAUAUUAAGAAUAAAUGUAAAAUUUCAAAAAAGAACUCUUAUAGUUUAUUUUUUUUUAUGUAUAUGGGUAUGAAGGUGGGUGGUAAUCAUCGGAGAGUGAGGUUUUGGGAUAAUGUAAUUGCUAAGAUUCGAUAAAGAUUGAACAGAUGGAAAGGAAAGUUCUUAUCUAUGGCUAACGGAGUUUGUUUGUUGAGGCAAGUUAUCUCUCCUAAUCCCCUUUUUUAUAUGUCUUUUUUCAAGAUGUCAACGUUUGUGGUCCUGUCUAUUAAGAAAAUACAAAGGAAUUUUAGGAAGGAUGGUAAGAAAAUUGAUUGGGUGGCGUGGGAGAACGUGUGCAUUCCCAAAAAGGAAGGCAGUUUGGAAAUAAAGAGGAAGGAGGUUUGGAAAUAAAGGAUAUAAGGCUUUUUAAUGAUGUGCUUUUAGGAAAAUUCAUUUGGCAUUUACCGUCAAUAGAGGGUGGAUUGUGGAAGGAGACCAUUUAGUUUAAAUAUGGCGACUGGAGAGAAUUACGAGGGAUUACUAGUAACUCUAAGGAUUUUGCCUAGUGGAAGGACCUGAAGAAAGUUUGGGCGUCGGAGGAGUGGGGGGUAGAUUUGAGCAUAAUGUUGCAUGGAGGCUUGGUCAUGGGAAGCGUAUUAAGUUUUGGGAAGACAAGUGGAUCAAUAGUGAGGCUUUAAAUGUAAGAUUCUCAAGACUUUACUCUAUUACUAAGGAUAAAAGUGUAGUUGCGUCUCAAGUUGGGGUUUGGGUCAAUAACAAGUGGUCUUGGAAGGCGAAAUGGAGGCGUGCCCUAUUUGUGUGGGAAAUGGAUGAGGAAUCUCACCUCUUGUCUUUAUUGGAGGACAAAGUUUUGUCAAUAGGGUCUAUGGAUCAUUGGGUUUGGAAGUCGGAUGAAGAUUUUUGUUACACAGUUAGUUCGGCUUAUAGAUGUUUAAGGAUGUUUGACGAUGGCACAUAUGGACCUUUUAUGAGGUGUUUUGGAGCCUUAAGGCGUUACCAUCAUCAAUGACUACUGCUUUGAGAGUUUUGGUUGAUAGGUUACCAACACGUGUGAACUUGGAGAAAAGAAGGAUUGCGUUGGAAAGCAAUUUGUGUGUCUUAUGUGAGGAAGAGGAGGAAUCUGGAAGUCAUGUUUUUUUCAAAUGUAAAGUAGCAUGGAAGGUGUGGUGUAUGUGCAGUAAGUGGGUUGGGGAGGUUAUAGUAUACCAUUGGGACGUUAGGUCCCACUUCGUGCAAUUUUAUCUAGUAUGGGCUUCACAGAGGAUAAAUAGUUAUUGAGGGUGUGUGUGGAUUGCCGUGGUUGGGGAAAUUUGGAAAUAGAGGAACCUUGUCAUCUUUGAGAAUGAUAGAGUGGACUAUUCUAAGAUUUUUACUUUGGCCCAACUCAAGGUGUGGUCAUGGGUCACGAGUAAAGUAAAGGGCGUUUCGUUUACUUAUGCCCAAUGGUAUAUGGAUCCUAAGACUUGUUUGAAGACAAUUAAAAAGUAAGGGCGCAAUUGGGUGGUUUCUAUGGGAGGAAAAUCCUAAAGGUACGGUAAGUAUGUGUGCUUUCUUUUUGUUUUGCUUCUUAACUUGUAUUUGUCGUCUUACGUUCUUGGUUUGGGUGCUACUAACGUUGGUCUUAAACCAACAAGGGGUUUGCUGUUUAUUGCAGGUUUUGGAGAUGGAUCCCGAGGUAAUGAAGGAAAUAAGUUUUGUUCUUUACAUUCUAUUGUUUUGGUUUUUCUUUGACUUCAUUUGGGUGUAAGGAAUUUAUAGGUUUUGUGUUAGGUGUGUUUGUGGUUAUGUUGGAUUGCUUGUAUAUGUUUUUGAGACUGGUAGUUUUUGUUCCUUUGCGUAAUAUUAUGGCUAUUAUUAGGAUUAGAACUUAAAAGGUGUUGCGUUGGAGUAGUUUCUUUGUUUUUUGGUUUACUAAUGUAUGGGAGCCUUGAGUAUCUUAUAUAAGGGUUGGAACACCCUUGAAAUAUUCCAUUUUAUUUUAUUUAUUCAUUGUUGAGAGAAAAAAAAGUUUAUUUUUUUAUUUAAUAGUUUUCUCUUUAUUAUGUAUUUUUUAAUUUAUUUUUAUUAUUUUUUAAAGUCUCGAUUUGAUUAUAGUUUUAUUAAAAAAUAGUUAAUAUACUAUAUUUUUUAUUAAAAUGAUAUUAGUAAUGUUGACGUGAGGAUGUGGCACAAUAACUAAAAAACAUAGUAAAUGAUAGUGAAAUUUAGACAUCAAUAUGGCAAAGGCUACCGAGGAGGAGAACUUUAUUGAUGAGUGCACUUUAGUUUAAAUUUUUACAGUUAACAAUUAACCAUCACAAUUUGACCUCAGAUUCAAUUCACUCUUAUUCAAGAUUAGUGCAUAGUGCUACUCAUUCUAAUAUCCAAGUCACAAUAUUUUACCUAUCCUUCAUUACUUAAUUUGUAUAUUUAUUAAGUUUAUCAUAUAUGAUGUAUAGAGUAAUAUACUAAACCCCUAGAUUUAUAAACCAAAAAUUACAAGUUUGUUCAGCUUGAUACAUGUAACAUUCCCACUUGCAGUUCAUAACAAAAUUACAAUUUACAUUGUUGGACUUGACCUACCAAUACAGAUAAGAAAUGAUAGAAUAGAAAAAAAAAAGUGAAUUGACAAGAACAAAAAUUGGUUCUGCAAGCUAUAUAUGAAAAAAAAAAAGAACACAAGGAAAAUGUAGUUGGAAAAUCUCACACAAUGAUUAAAGAACAAUCUGGAACUCUGCAAUGUUUCUAAUUGUUGAUGAUUCUCAUUCAGAUUUCAGGUUUCAGUGAUUGACAGUGCCACCAUCAGCAACCUUUGUUACCUUCUCCACAGACUUCGCAUCACUUGGAACAACUUCAAUUACUUUCUCCUCAGGAAGAGCUACGGCUGUGCCUAUGCUCUCUUUAAACGGAGUCUCGCGUGUUUCAGCUUCUGAAGCCUUCUUCUCUGAUUUCCCACUUGGCUUUUCUGCUUGCGGUGGUUCAAUAAGCUCCACUUUGUGUUUGAUGGGUUCAUUGCUUUGUGGUUUCUCUGAAGAUGUCUCUUUAGUCUUCACAUGUUCUCCCUUCACUAGCUCGCUGCUUUGAUUCUUUUUCUCCGAAGCUUUCCCGGCUUCUGGUUCUGGUUUCACUGUUUCCUUAGCAGGUUCAUUUAUAUGAGUUUUCUCAGAAUGUUUCUCAGCUUGUUGUGACUCUGGUUUCACUGUUUCCUUGGCUGGUACACUUAUACCAGUUCGCUCUGAAGGUUUCUCAGCUUGUGAUUCUAGUUUCACUGUUUCCUUGGCUGGUUGACUUAUACCAGUUCGUUCUGAAGGUUUCUCAGCUUGUGAUUCUAGUUUCACUGUUUCCUUGGCUGGUUCACUUAUACCAGUUCUUUCUGAAGGUUUCUCGGUUUGUGAUCCUAGUUUCAUUGUCUCCUUUGCUGAUUCACUUAUACCAGAACGCUCUGAAGGUUUCUCAGCUUGUGAUCCUAGUUUCACUGUCUCCUUUGCUGAUUCACUUAUACUAGUUCCCUUUGAAGGUUGCUCCGCUUCUGAUUCUAAUUUCACUGUUUUCUUGGGUGGUUCACUUAUACUAGUUACCUCUGAAGGUUUCUCCGCUUCUGAUUUUAGUUUCACUGUUUCCUUGGCCGGUACACUUAUAAUAGUUACCUCUGAAGGUUUCUCAGCUUGUGAUUCUAGUUUCACUGUUUCCUUGGCUGGCUCACUUAUAAUAGUUACCUCCGAAGGUUUCUCAGCUUCUGAUUCUAGUUUCACUGUUUUCUUGGUUGGUUCACUUAUACCAGUUACCCCUGAAGGUUUCUCAGCUUCUGAUUCUAGUUUUCCUGUUUCCUUAGCUGGUUCACUUAUAAUAGUUACCUCUGAAGGUUUCUCAGAUUUUGCCUCUAGUUUCUCUGUCUCCUUAUCUGCUUCAUUGUUAAGAAUUCCUUCAGAAGGUUUCUCAGUUUGUGAUGUUUCUUUCUUCACAGUCUCAAAAUUUUGUUUUGAGGAUUCAUUGCUUUUACUUUCCUCGGACAGCUUCUCCUCUGGUUUUAGAGAUUCUGGGUUAACUGUUGGCUCGUUGCUUUUAGGAUCCUCAGCAGGUUUCUUGCCGUCUAACACUUCUUUCACAGUCUCCUCCACUGUGGUUUUCUCAUUUUCUGUGGAAACCUUAGAAUUUUCAUUCUGCAACACACACAAAGUUAUAAACCAGAAAAGAUAAGAAAGUGGUAAGGAAUAGAAGUAGUCUCUUUAGAAUGGUGAUAACGAUCAAGUAGGAACUGAUGCAGAAAUUUUUUAUAUUCCUUCUUUUCUUCAGCUUUUUUUAUUUUUUGCAAAUCAAAACAUAAGUUAGGAACUUGCUUGAUAGAAAGAUUAUAAAACAAAAUUUAUUUAUGAUGUUAAAUUUGAAGUAAUAAAUUCAAAAGUUCUUACUGAAUUUUUGUCUAAGAUUGGUAAUAGUUUCUUUUAGUAAUGCAUUAUAGUAAUUGGUUCUGAUAAUUAUGCUUGAAUUCAGGAAGUUGUGUUGGGUAACUGAAAUGAUAAUGGGGCAGAGCCGAAGGAUAUAUGAAGAUGUGCUUCAAAAUUUUACCUUUAUUUAUUGAAACAGUAUGUAUUCAAAAUUUGAACAAUGCAUUAAUUAAAUUUACUAACAAUAAUAAUACAUAAACAAAGCAUGGUUCAGAGCAUGAAUAAUUUUAUUUCAUUUCGCAUCAACACUUCAACCAAGUUUCACGUGAUCAUUUUUAACCGAUAUAAAACAAAAAUACUCAAAACAAAUUAAAGAGAGAGGAAUGUCACAUUUACAGAAAACAAAAUACAUAUUUUAGUUUUCUCUAAGUUUGUGACAGUGAAUGCCACAAAUCUAUUUUUAUAUUUUGUGUGUGAAAAUUUUGGUGCAGAAACUUUUCAUAGUUUAGUGUCACACUUUGUUUGGUUCUAGAUUCUGUAAACUGCAAAUGAAAAAAACCAAGGCCAGGGCAUGAUUACUUUAGGGAAGAAAGUGAAAGAAAAGAUAAAAAAAAAAAGUUAAGUGUAUGAAGUAAUAUAUAUUAUUUUUAAUAAAAUAUAUACAAAAAUAAGAUAUUUUGAUGAUAAAAUUUAGAUACUUUUAGUAGUAUUAUAAUAUGUGUUAUUCUUCAAUCAAAUUUAAAAUGUUCUCUCGAUAGUUUGCUUAAUAAACAUGUAUUAAAAAAACAUACAUAUUAUUGAAACGAAACUCAAUUUUGUUUUCAAAACAGUAAAAACAACACCUUGAUCUGCUGUAAUCAAGUUUUGUCAUAUAUAAAUCACAUUUGCUCUCAUUUUCUUUCCAUUUUGAAAACAACACUCAAAAUAUGCUCAUUUUUUUUUAAUUUUUUUUUCUCCCCAGUCAUUAUCUAACCAAAUGAAGGAAGAAAAAAUGAUUUUAUUGGCUUUUCAUCCUCUCUGAUUCCAAUUUCAAGUCUAUCAAACAAAUUCUAAUAUCUUGUUUGAGCUUAAAGAGAAUGGAAAGAAGAUCUGGGAAAAAAAUGAAAACCAAAAAAAAAAAUUUCUUCCAAUCCGUUUGAUAACAAACAGAAAUCAAGUAGUAAGAAAGAACUUAUAUAUAACAUGAUUUAUAGUGUCAAUAUUUCAAUAAUAUUUAAAUGAUAAAAUUAAUAAAUAUUUUAUAAAGGUUUAUUAUUUUAAAAAUAUUUCACAUUCCACACUUUACUUUUCAUCCUUUUUUUUCUCUUCCUAAAAAAUCAACUUACUUUCAUUCCAACUUUUUUCUUUUCCAAGACAAAAACAUAGUAUUGGCCAUUGGGCCUUGAUUAAAUAAAUCCCCAACGAGUUUGGGAAUUUCAAGACAUCAAAUUUAGGGCGCAAAACACGCUAAAAUUGGCUUAGGAAAACCCUUAUUUUUAAUGUGGUACAAAACAAAAACAACUUAAAGAUCCAUGGUUUACAUCAAGCAUUAUUUGUACGACAUCCACACCGUCAAUCAUGCACAUAUAUAUAUGAACAUGAUAACAUUUCUAGGUCCAUUUGUUUGUCCAGGCUCCACUUCUGUAACAGUCAAACUUUUGACUUCUAUUAUUUUGUUCUUCUCCAAAAAAGGGAAGACAGAUAAAUUCAUUAUAAGAUUUCAAAAUUAAAAAAAAAAAGUUUUGUAUUUUAUUACUUGUUUUAUUCUUAAUUAUAAAAACAUCACUUUAUUUAUUGUUUCGAAAAUUAUAAAAAAAAUAGUAGUAAAAUAUUUGUUUUAUUUCUUAUAUAUAACGAAUAAGAAACAAAGUAAAAUCGGAUAGCAUUAACAAAUACAAAACAUAUUUUCUCAAUCCUGAUUUUUAUUAUAGCAAUCAAAUACCCUCAUAAUGUGUACUUCAAAACCCUGUCCUAGCAUUUUGUUUGCAAUCAUUGAUGUUUUUGACACACUGAUUAAUUACAGUAAUGAAAACAUGAGAAGGAUGAUGGCGGUAAACGUGAUCAUUGGAUCCAAACACGUUUCUUUGUCAUGUAUUCGAAGAAUAAUUAAUUUUUAAAAGUUUACUCUUAAUACGCGUACUUAAAUUAAUUUUAAUCUUUACAGUCCCAACUAAAACACGUAUUAAUUAAUUUAAAAUUCAGUGCGAUGAUUUUUUAUUCAGGAUUUGUUAUGUUAUUAUUUUUUUUUCACACAAAUAUUAAAGUGUUGGAAUUCAACUUGGAAAGUUUGUUGAAAGAAUAAGAAGUGGAGUAGGUGAUGAAAAAAAAAUUAGAAAGGUUAAUAUAUAAAAAUGGUUAGGAAGAUAGUUUUAAAUGUUUGUAGAUGCGCAUGAUUGGGGUAGCUACCAACCAGCUACCCCUAAAAAAAAAUUCCAUUAAACCGGAACAACGGUGAUUUUGUUGGGUAAAGGUGAAAAGUGGACCAAGAAUGAGUACGAUAAAGUUGCAGUGAAUGAGUUAAAGGUGUAAGUAAGUGACCAUUUUCUUUUUUUUUCUUCUGACGGAACGGAAUGACAUAGCAAAAUCUGAUUACCCAGCAACCCAGAAAAGGAGAAAACAGCCAAAACCAAUUAUUCUACCACACUCUCCAUUAAAUCAAUUUUUUUAAAUAAAGUUUCAGACGCAGUCAAUGCAAAUAUUUCAUGGAAUCAUUUUUGGGGAAAUUUGACCAGGACUUUGUUUUACGCAUAAAAUAAUCGGAAAUUCAUAAAAGAGAUUAAAAAGUUGGUUUGAGAAAAAAUUAUUUGCAACAGAGAAGAAAAAUGAAAGGAAAGGAGAGAGUUGAGAGGUGCGUACCUCCUUGAACAACAAGCUGAGAGAGCGUCGUUUGUUUGCUUGGUCUUCGUCGACGAUUUCGUUGACAUUAAGGUUGUCUUGGGUAGCAGGUUUGGUUUGGAGAGGGUCCUUGGUUGGUUGUUGAGGUUCAGGUUGAGGUUGAGGUGCUUUGGGGUUCCCGUGGGAAUCGUCCUUGGAAACCUUGGGCUUGGUCGCACAUCCUCCCAUUGAAAGUUUUUGUGGAUUCCGUAGGUUUGUGUUUUGGAGUCCGAGAAGAAAGAAUGGGAAAAGGAAGAGGAGAGGAAGGUGCGGGGAAAUCAAUGGCAGUGAGAGAGAAAGAAAAGAGAAGAGAAGAGCAUGCGGUGGCUCAAAAAGCUUAAGCAAUUUAAAACCAUAGUUUGUAGUAGUUUCCCUUCUCUCUCUGUUCCUCUCUUCUCUUAUGUUCUCCUCUGACCCCACAGACCAACCACGCACCCAGUCACAAAACCCCCAAAUAUAAUAAUAAUCAUACUUUUAUUAAUAUUAACUCAAAAUAAAAGAUAAAUAAAUUCACAAUUUUAAUUAGUUUUAAAUUUAAAUUCAAAAUCACUUUCUAUCUCUUCUUGCUUUUCUUUUCUUUUCAGUUAAAUAAAAAUAUUCUUCGCUAUAUUUUUUCUUUCAUCCAAAUACAUAAUAUUAGUGAGAAAAGAGAAACUGUAUUAAACACAGUGGCUUAAACAUGAAUACAUUUAUAGAAUAAUUUUUAAUUAUUUAAAUAUAAAUGUCAGAUAAUCAUUAAAUUGUUAAUAUUACGAGACGGUACUUUGAACUUUUUAAUAGCAAACUAUUAUUUUAGUGAAAUUUCACAGUAGUUGUAAAAUAUUAAGAAAUUCCGACAAAGAGAGGUAAGACAAAAGAACAGUUUUUUAUUUAAAUAUAUUUUAAAUUAUUAAUUUUAUAAAUUUAUCUAUUUUAAUUUUUAAUUUUAAUAUUUAAAAAUUGUAAAAAAAAAUGCUUUCAAGUUAUAGACAAUGAUUCAAAUCGUGCUAUAUUGUUAUUAAAUACAAAAGGCAAAAAUAAUUAAAAACAACAUUUGCAAAUAAUAAUAAAACAAAUCGUAUCACAAAUAAUAAUAAUAAUAGCUAGUAAUAUUAAGAAGUUAGUUGAAUGUAUUGUCAGCCUAUAAAUAUCACUUUACAUUAAUUGAUUCACUAUUGAAAAAAAUAUAUAUAUAUAUAUAUAUAAUUUUAAGAUAGAUUUUUGACGAGUUUCUAUACCAUAAUUUUUAUAAAAAAUAAAAAGAAUUAAAAGAAAAUAAGUUUGUAUACAAAGUAAUGUAUAAAGAAAAAUUGGUAUAAUUUUUAUAUUUUAUUAUGAUGUUGGGGGUGUAGAGCAAGAUUUGUAUAUAUUUUGUAGAUAUUGAAAUGGUGAAUCUAGUUGGUGGGAGUUGGAGUGACAGCCAUGAAGUGGAGCCUUUGGUAUAUUUUGUAUAUAUUGUAUUCAUUAGUUGGUGUCACGUUUUGGUAUUUGCUUCCCAUAACUUCAAAUGCACACAUUUUUUUUAGUAUACAAUUCCUUUAAACAUCAUUUCAAAUUGAUAAAUAUCAUGUUUAUAUGUAUUCAAUUCUUAAUUAUUAUAAUGAUAUUGGUCACAUAUGAGUGUUUAAUCUUACUUCUUAUAAUGUGAACUAUAUGAUUGAAAAUAUGAUUACUUUGUGAUGAGACAUACGUUCAACAUCUUAGACAAUUGAAAAUUUCACAACUUAAUUACUUUUAUUAAACGCGUUUUAGUUUUGUUAAUUCAUAUUAGUUUCAAAUUUUAGAGAUUCGGCAAAAUAUAAUUUCCAAUAAUAUUAAAAGAUUCAUUAACAAAUAACAUGCAUACAAACUUCUAAAAGAAAGUUAAUAUUAAUUUUAUUUUUAAUUUUUUAAUUGUUUCCUUAUAAAAAAAUAAAUUAUUAUUUUCUAUCUUACAUUUUUAAAAUCAACAUUUAUAACUUUAAAUAUAUUAAUGAAUACAUUAUUGUUGAUGUAUUGUAUUAUAAUGUUAAUAUAAAUUCAUAAUAUAUUAAUUUUGAUAGUAAUAAUAUUAAUGUGUGAAGGGAAGUUAAUGAGGUGCUAAAGUUUAUGAACUCUGAAUUGUUGUUGUUACAGAAAAAGAAAAAACUUUAAUAAUUGAAGGUUAACAAUAAGUAUUUGGUUCUAUUACCUUAUAAGACUUGUUUCCGUCUUUUUCUUAUUUAGUUGGAGUUAUGAUCAAAUCUUUUCAAACUGUCUCUUCUAAUUUGGAUUUUUCCUUAUUUAUUAUAAGAAGUUGGGUUGUCAAAUCAUUUCAUGCUUUUUAUUUUAUAAAUUUUCUAUCAAAACAGAAUCUUAAUCAAAUUUAUAAAGAAACUCAUUUUACAUUUUCUUCCAUUCAUAGCAUAACAAUUAAACUUUCAACCAUUUUUUAACAUAGCCUUAUUAGUGAUUUUACAAGUAAUAAUUAUCUUUUCAUCAACCCCAAUUAACAAAUUAAUAAAUACUAAAAACAAACAAAUCACUAUCUCGUACAAAAUCAAAAUCAACACGAAUCUGAUUUAUAUUUCUUUUUUUGUCUGACUUAAUUUUUCUGUUGAAUUGCAGUUGCUUGACCCGUUCAAGCCGUCUCUUAUAUUGUUGAAUUUUCUUUUCUAUAACCAAAAAAAAAAAAAUAGACGGCAUAAAAAAAUAUACGCACGAAUCGAGUAUAGUGCUAUUCUUAUAAUAAGUGGUCAUCAUUUGGUUAAGUUUUGUUUCAAUUUAAUUAAGUUGGAUUGAGUUUUAGCUUCUUUCACUGAGUAAAUUCAAAAAAAGUUAUUAAAAAAAUUAAUACAAAUAUUUUAAUAUUUCUUUAAUAAUUAUAAGAUAACGAGAUUACUUAUAAUCCACAUAUAAAAAAUAAUAUUAGUGUUGUUGAAAAUUUCACAUCGAGAGAUGAGAAUAAAUAUGGUACCAGAGUCAUUUAAAGUUUAUACUAACGAGUGUUUGUUGGAUCUAUCGUGUCACCAUCAAGGCGUUAUCGGAUCACCCAUAAUAUGUUAUCUCAAGCACGAGCUGGCUGUUAUGCUCGGCGUGAGGGGUGUGUUGGAGAUCUCACAUCGACUAGAGAUAAGAAUAUUUCAUUGUAUAUAAGUGACUGCAAACCUCAUCUCAUAAGUCAGUUUUAUGGGUUGAGUUAGACUUAAAGUCCACUUUGUAAUAAGGAUGUUUCUAAGUUUAAUUUCUACAUAAUUUAAAAAAUAUAUAAAGAAAAACUAAUAAAAUCACAUUAUUAUAAAAAGAAUUAGUCAUUUCACGACAAAUAUAUAAAAAGAAAAGACUUGAAAAUGAUAUUUAAAUAUUUAUUCAAAAGGAGAAUAGAAUCAUUUCCAUAAUAAAAAUAUGAUGUAAUCAUCCUUAUAAUAUAUGUUAAAAAUAGUAAAAUAUUUAUAAAAAAAAUGUCAUUAUUUUAUAUAAACUAUAAUACACAUUGGAAAAUUUAGGGGAGAAAGACCCUACUCACUUAUGUCCUUUUUUAUCUUUGCCUGUUCACAAAAUUAUAACAAAUAUUUUUUCGUGACUAAGUCUCCAAACUCUAUACAAAUCAUACAUAAAUGCUUACAAAGGUAAAGCAAGCUAUAACUAAAGCAUCUCGAUGAUAAGAGAGUUUUGUAUAAGAAUUUUGGGCAACAAAAUUCUGAAAUGAAGAGAAUAUGCAAUGAUACAAAAAUGGUGGCAUAGUAUUAAUUUAGAAGAUUAAAGAGGAAGAGAAAAAUAGUUAAGAGUUAUUACUAUCAUCAAAUCUUUCCAGUACAAAGAUAUUGCUUUUGUCGUCCCUUCCUAUUCUCAUCGAAUCAUCAACAUAUCUAUGCCAUAAUAGACUUCAGAAACAACAACAAUCAAUAUUAAUAGCAAGAAAUCAUAGCUAUUUAAUUUUAGAAAAUUGAAAAGGUUAAAUUUUCUAUAAAAAUCGAAAUUAUUAAAAAUAGCUUUAAACAACAUAAAUCUUGAAAGAAUUAGGAUACGUGAUUUCCAGCCAUCCCUCUGGAUUGAAGAUAUUGAGCAGAAGAUCAUAAUUUUUCCGGAACACAUUCAUCAACUGGGAUGCAAAGAGGAAAAAUAAUUUAACUAUACAAAAAAAAAAAAUACGUACAAAUAAAAUGUAUCAAAUAUUCAAUACAUUAGUUUCAUUUCAAAAUUAUACAAUUAAGGAAAAAAAAGGUCAAAUAAUAAUAUAUGGGUAACAUACCUGAUCAGGAGUGAUAGUUGAAUUUUCGAAAUUAAUGUCAACCCUCUGUGAAUAAUUUGAAGUGGUAACUAAUUAGGAAGUAAUUUGGUAAUGUUUAACAGAGAAAAAAUUGAGGAAAUAAGGAAUGGAGUUUUAACUGUUGUGGAAGCAAUCUUGAAAGAGGCUUCAAUACUAAGUUGUCCAGACAACAAACUCAAUCCUCUUGCACUGAACUUGAUCAUGUUAACUGCUUUGCUCUCCAUUUUCAAAUCACAUUACCAAUGUUCAAACUCAGUACAUUAAAAAGUAAACUUAAAUGUACCAGUUAUAUCAACCAAAAUGUCAAGUUUAAGAAAAAAAAGAGCAACAUAAUACAUUAAUCGAGAACUUCAUUGUCUUUUUACCUUGGAUAUAUCAAUUGUCUGAAAAAAUUCAUCCAGUGAGAUAAAGUCUCUGAGGCCUAACUUUGUCCUCUUUGAUCCCAAAAUUGAUAUUGUACUGUAAACAAGCCUCCAACACCCAGCUACCUGCCCAUAAUGAAAACAUAACAAAUGUUUCAUGACACUCAUACUGGUAGAUACCUGGAGAGAGAGAAAGAUUGAAGAGAAGUGUGCGUGAUAUGAUGAGAUAAGAAGAGAAAUUAGUGGCGUCAAAUGGGGUGUUUGUUCUUCUAAAUAUAGAAAUCUGAAAACAUACUAUUUUAGCUUCUAAAUGUCAAUGAGAAAGGAUUGAUGUUACCGUCUCAAGUUCUUGAGUUGGGUAUGGAGUAGGAUUCAGAGAUUCUAGCUGCUGCACCAGACUUUCAAUUUCGGAUUUCUUGGCAGAUGGCAUUCCGAAGAUUCCCCUAUUGAUUCCUUGAAACACGUUUGUUUGCAACCCGCUUCAAUCAUAUUACUCCUUUUCGAGUCUGAAAUUCACAAUAACAAAGGGAGAUGAAAAUAAUACAAGUGUGUACCUUCCACCGCCUGGUAAAGCUCUCGUUUCUUCUGAGCAAGUGUUUCAAGCUCAAUUAAGCCUGACCCAGAAUUGUGUUCUGCAACUUUAAUGAUUGUAAUGGGUCUAAACCAUAACGGUCUCUCACCGAAUCUUGAGGUGUUUAUUCUGGAAUGAUUUCUGGCUGGGACAAAAUUUUGUAGCUUCAUGGCAUUCAUGGUUCUACAAAUGAGAAGACUUACAUGGGAAUCUGUCAUUGGAGGCUGGAGUAGGUUAGUGACCAUUGAACCUUCAUGUGGAGAUAGUGGCUGUUCUAUCUCUCUUGGUGAUAAGGAGUUAUUAGGCAGAAAUUUUCGGCCGAAGGGAAACUAUGACACGUUUGCAUUCCUGUUGAAUAAAGGCUGUGGAUAGGUCUACCGAGACAUGUGGCUUAGAAGUUCCCAUUCCAAGGACUCAAGAUCCAGUUGAUAUAUACCUUAUUAUACGGUUGUCUUCUACGAGACCCAUGUUCCAAUAGCAAAAAUUUCAGCUGGGGAAGUGGUUUUCAACCAUUAUUUUGCAGAUCGAAAAAAAAAAAGCAUUAUUCUGUGAAGUUUCUGUCUAAAAAAUACAUAACAUUUAGGAAUUGGCUUUGCCUUUCACGCUGCAUACAACAUUUAUGUCCAGAACAUUUAUGGAUUGAUUGAGAUGGCAUACGACUUAGAUAGUUACAAAGAAAGUGCACGUGUGCAAAGACUUCUUUGAAGGUUGUGUGUGUACCUGCUAGUGAGAUAAGCAGACACAAAUGUGAAACAUGGAAAACUGCAACAAAAGACACCCAAUAUAUACCCUCAAGUGUCUCUAAUACACAAGAUCUGCCAACAAUUCGUAAAACCUUGAAGUAAAACUCACGUGGCAAGUCUUUCGAUUGAACUUAAUUUUGUAAGUCGACAUUUUUAUAGAAACAAUGCAGUAAGAAAUAAAAUUUUAUAAGACACAAAAACGAUUGUCAUUAGACACGCAAAAAGUAUCCUUGUUUCAUACUUGUUAAAAUAACAAAAAAGUUAGAAGUCACGAUCACUAGUGGCACGAAAGGUGGGUGUUUUAUGACUAUAAAUGAUUUAAAAGUUUCUACUUGAAGGGGUUCGCCCGAAAAAGUAUAGCUGAUGUAAAAGUAUCUACCCAAAGAGGGCGACAUGACUUAAUAACUAGGGGAAAGAAAGAAAUUUUGUAAACUUAACUUGAGUACUACAAUUACAAAUUUGAGUGUCGAUAAACAUAUAUAGAGCUAGAAUCCAUAAACAAUGUCAACUGUCAGCAACACACUGGAUAUCUUAUUUAUAACUACUACUGUAACCGAAACAUAUGGUCUAGGCAGCAGCAUUUGAUUGGUUGGCUUCUUGCUGUUGUUUCCACUGCUCUGGGGUAACAGUUUUCUUUAUCGAGAGAGCAUGAAUCUCUUUCAUUUCCUCCUCUAAGGCAGCAUUCACCAUUCGAUGCCUCUCCAGUAGCCUUUUGCCUUCAAAUUGUUCUGAUACAAUCUCCACUACAAAACUUGCACCGCACCUAAUGCCACAACACCAAACUUCAGGAUUGUAAGAUAAAAAAGGGAGGAAGUAAACAGUGCUAUAAGUAGAGGACACAAGGUCUGUAAGUGGAUAGAAACUUACCCUCCAGAUGUAUCAACCACUUCCUGAAACACAAAUACAAUAAAAUUAGAACGGAAAAAUUGAAGAAAAGUAAGUGUCAAACUCAGUACACCCCUGAAAUAGGCACAUUUUUAUCUUUGGUGCAUAAAAUUUGUUCUGUUACAUAUAACUCCCAUGAACUUAGACAAACUAUGUCAUUAUUAAAAGGAGCUAGAAUUAACAGAUAAUCCCUAAAUCCUUAUAAAUAACCCCUUGAAGUUUAACAGAUUUUCACAUUAAUGAACAACAAAUUCCAUAUUACAGACCCCAUCUGACACGCAAGGGGGAAGCUCUCCAUUAACAUACUGAAAGAAGUUUUUGUAAUGAAGCAAACCACAAUGUUGACAAAAGUAAAUUUUUUGUAAAGAUUGGACAAAAGCUUCAGGAUCCAACAGUAAAUCCAAGGUCACUGCAUAAGUCAUUCAGACUGUCAAGUGUCAAAGGAAAUUCCAAAACUGUUAUAUGGAUUUCCGAUAGUCAUAGAUAAUAAUAACAGCUAGCCUAUGGAACAUGAAAUUUUUAGAUUGCAUAAAAUUUCAAUAACAACCAAGAUCCAACAGAUAAGCAGAAAGCACCACGAACCAUGUAUUCUUACGAAAUUAAAAUAAAUAUCAAACGUAAUAAACUUGGUAGGAGACGAAAGUUUAUAUGUCAGUGACUCUUUGAUAUCUAGAAAAGGUUGCAGUCGACAGAUAACUGACUACCCUGCAUGGGCCAGCCUAGUUGGCGAGAGAGAUAGUUUGCACAAGAUCAUUCCACCUUUGGGCAACAAGAAAAUGGAAUAUGGAUAUAACUCGGGGAAAAAAAUUACUCAUGUUCAUUAAAAGGAGCAUAGAACAAGAACAAAGCAAUAUAACCCAGUGGAAAAGAAAUCAGACAGCCAAAGAUAUAAAUUCGGGUGGUACAUGUUACAGAUUUAUUUAGAUAUGAUGUAUGCCACUUUGCCAAGUACGUGGGCAUAUAUACUUGUCCGUUGUGGUAUGCUUUUGUACUUGCCUUGAGAUGCAAGGGUUUCUUUCUCUCCCACACCCGUCAAAGAGAAAUACACAAAGAUACAAAGAAAUUGAAGAACAAUUAGAGACACAGACAUAACCAUCCACAAUCAUCAUCAUUUGCAGUGCAAUAGGAGUUCUUUGGGCAUUCUCAUUCUCCCUCCCUCCCAAUAGUGCUGCAAGCUCAUUCUCCAGUAGGGCUGCUACAUCCCUCCACUUCCCAUUCCAUCUUCAUCAACUCCAAGUUCACCCAUUACCCAACUUGACUCUACCUUUAGUACCCUUUCUGUCUAUCUCAUCUCCCGCUAUCAUUUUCUUGACUCUACAAGAAUGGAAGUGACACAAUUCGCAACUUAACCAUGAAUUGCUACCCACAAACCAAUUCUUACGGUAUUUAUUGCUAGAAGUAAGAACCUGAUUGGAGAAAUUUCUCCACAACCAUUUUUAAGAGAAGAGAAAUAAAAUUAGUUUCUCCAUACGCUUACAAAAUGUUUAGAAAUCAACUUAAACCUAUACUAAUUUUAACUUUUCAAAACUUAUUUUAAUUUUCUUUUUUAUUUCUUGUUCUAGCAGUGCUUAUAGAGAAGCUGAUCCAAACAAGUCUUCAAAUUUCUAGGUUCUCUACCAAUACUACGAAAGAAGCAAUUUUCAAAGAGCGAAACCACUUGUGGGAUUUGGGUAAAAACAAAAAAAAAAUGCAGAACUUGGAUAGCGAUGAAUUUGACCAACUCUUGACAAACAGGGUGAAAUGCUUGUGAAAUUGAUAAAUAAAAAGAACAAACAAAUUUGAGAAGAUAAGAAAAGAAGUGCAAGAUAAGAAAAGAAAAGAGAAGGAAAGGCUUACAAGAUGAGAAGGGUUGAGUUUGGCCUUCAAGGAUGCUUCAAGGUUUUCCUUCGUGACGCCCAUGCCUCUUCUCUUCUUUUUCGCCCUUCAGUUCUGUUUCUUCUUUCUCGCUUUCUCCUUCACCAAUUUUCUCUCUCUUAUUGUAUAUAUGUACACACCUUCUCAUUUUGCGUUCUCUACACGCUCAUAAAAUGAAAGCAGUCACUAAAGUAAUACUUUUUUUAAAAUGUUCCUAAAAGAAGUAAUUUUUUUAAAAUGUUCCUAAAAAAGGUAAUAAUUUUGUGUUUUAGGCUUUUAGGUUUCUUCUUAAAGGCAAUCAUUUUAAUUUCUUUUUCUUCUCUGAAAAACAUUUUUAAAUUAUUUUUUUUGAGUAUAUAAUAAUAAAUUAAUUUUGUCCUUGAUAUUUUUUUUGGCGCACCUUUAUAUUAUUUAGAUUCAUUUCUUUCCUUCCUGCACGAGAGUUACAUUUUCCCAAUUGUUGUUUUAAUGUUUUCUCAUCCAUAAAAAAAUAGAUAAUUUGUAGUAAAUAGGAUUUACGUGUGUUCAUUUGCUUCUCCUUCUUUUAGGAAUUAUAUAUUUACUUGUAUAGAUUAAAAUGAAUUUAAAUAAAACUUAAAAUUGAAAGUAAUAAAUUCCGUUGAUGUGUAGGUUGUUUUUUCUUAUUUUCCUCGUAUCUUUUUCUUACUUAGUCACUCAGAGUUAAUUUGUAAAAGGUUAUUUGACGAUCAAGUAAGUUCUUUGUAUUAAGAGUGUAUGAUGUAAUUAAUCAAAGUGUAUCUUACUAUUUUGUAAAGGGUUUACUUAUACUACUUGGUCAUGAACCAUCUAUUAUGAUGACUUUAUGAGUGUUAACUUAUUAUUUAUAGAGCACUUUCUUUGUUGUGUAUUAAAUGAUCUUUUUGUACAGCAUAAUCGAUUAUGUAUAUAUAGACUGAAUUGUAAUAUCUUCAUCUUUAGUUAUGAUUAUGAUUAUGUUUUAAUUGAGUGAUUAAGACUAAUUGAUUGAGAUCUCUUAACUUGUGUGUUUGACUUGUGCACUUGACUUGUGCUCCCUCAUAACUUUAAAUACAUAAGUCCAUGAUCAACUAUCGAGUCAAGCUCGUGACCUAACAUGCCUCUAGUCUUAGACGUAGACCAAUAAGAUGGUGAGUUUAAAAUUCGAAAGAUGAGUCAUUUGUUACAUUAAGAUCCAUCACUUAACAAUUUUGUGAUGUGCAACAAAAAUCAUAUUAGCAUAAGUGCUUGAUGAACCAUGCUCACGCAAGUGAAUUUUCCUUUUUCAGAAACCAAAGGAGAUACAAACUGAGAAACAGACACAUUAAAAAUUAAAAACAGAAAAAGAAACGAAAACAACAGAUGUGUAUGAAAAUAAGUGGUAUCUGUUCUCAAAACGACAGAACAAACAAGAAACAUAUAAGGACAACUUUCAUGGAAAAAAAAAACAUAGAUGAACCUGAACUGAAGUGAUUUCAGAACGGUUCAUAGUGGCAAUGGAUGCAAGGUCUUUGGGCUUCGGUGUGUCUGUGAGUCACCUCCUCGGUUACAAGUCGCCACCCAAUACUUGCCUCUUUACUAUCAGAUGCUUUGCUAGUAAUCCCUUCUUCUUCUUCCCUUCUCUUCCAUUUUCUUUACCAAUAAACCAAUUUCAUGUGCCAUGAUUUUUAUUCUAAGCUAUUUUUCCUUGUGUUAGUUUAUAAUUUGGUUGGCACUUGAUGUGAACACAUUCUUUGCUUCUACAUGGAGCUUGACUGAUCAAGUUUUUUUUUUUGGAUUGAAAUGUAGGCAAUGGUGAAAGGCCUUGGAAAACUUCGGAUGUUAGGCUUGUGUUAGAAGAUCGAUCAAUCUGGAAAGCAAAGUUGUUGGGUGCUUCAGGAACCCAAAUGGGUGAAGUUGUUUUUAAUACAUUAUUGACUGGGUGAGAAGAGAUGAACUACAGAUCAUAAAUGCACUAGGUCUGAAUAUGUUUAGUGUUAACUUUUUUAAAUACCUGCUCAUUGCAGGUAUCAAGAAAUUCUAACAGAUCCUAGUUAUGCUGGUCAGUUUGUGCUGAUGACAAACCCGCAUAUUAGUAACACUGGUGUAAAUUUUGGUAAGUAUUUAAAUUCUAAGUCUCUUGAAUCUCUGUUCUUGGAAGUUGUCUAAUCUUCCCUUUCGAUGCUCUUACUGGCAGAUGAUGAGGAAUCAAGACAGUGCUUCUUUACAGGUCUAGUAAUUAGAAGUUUGAGAAUCAGGUUAAUUUACAUGCUCCACAAAAGCUUUUCACUGAUUGAACUUCACUUUUUGCUAUGCUUCCUUCUUCUUUGUCCUUGUAAUAAAUCUAUGCAGUACCUCAAGCUGGAGAUGUGUAGAAACACUAGGUGAUUACUUAUAAGAAAAGAAUAUCAUGGGAAUUUGUAAGUAAUUUAAUAGAAUGUAUAAACCACCCUGCAAGGGAUCGUGUAGGGACAUAAAUGGCUGUACACAGAGUUAAGAUGUUUAAUUCAAUAUGCUCAGAUGUUUUGUAGGGUAAGAAUGGGUUAAAUUGUUAUGAGUAAAUGAAAACUAGUUCAACCUCCCCAUUAAUCUGUAUCUAAAUCUUGUAACAACCAUUAUCCCAGGUAAGUACAAAUCCAAAGAUGGGAGACAAACAUUUGAAAAAUUAAAAUCAGCUGAGAUGAUUAAGUACAUAAGGGUGCAUUGGAAGAAGUCUUAACAACACCCACUUCAGAUGCUAAGAUUCACAAGGAGCAACUAUCAAGAACUGAUUAAAAACACGCAAACCUAAAAGCAAAAGAUCAAAAGAAAACUAAGCCCUUUCGCCUCUGAUUCUUCGGGCAAGUUGAAUGUCCUUGGGCAUAAUGGUGACCCUCUUAGCAUGAAUGGCGCAGAGGUUAGUGUCUUCAAAGAGUCCAACUAGGUAAGCCUCAGCGGCUUCCUGAAGAGCCGAAACGGCACUGCUCUGGAACCUCAGAUCCGUUUUGAAGUCCUGUGCGAUUUCACGAACCAACCGUUGAAAGGGGAGCUUUCGGAUCAGAAGCUCUGUGCUCUUCUGGUACUUCCUGAUUUCCCUCAGAGCCACGGUUCCAGGCCUGAACCUGUGGGGCUUCUUCACUCCGCCGGUUGCCGGAGCAGACUUCCGAGCAGCCUUCGUGGCCAGCUGCUUCCGGGGAGCCUUGCCUCCGGUUGAUUUGCGGGCCGUUUGCUUUGUACGGGCCAUUAGGAAGCUUCUAGAAAAUUCUGGACUUGUUGUUAGAAGAGCUCAAAGACUUGCAAAUGACUACGAUAUGAUGAGAAGAAAAGCAAUGGGGGUUUAAUUAUAUAGGUGAGAGCUCCGAAUUUUGGAGGGAGGGAGUUUUGCAUUUGAGAGCUUUGGAUUUGUAGUGAUCCGUGUGUGACAGGAUCCAACGGUUAAGAUUCGGUUUCGAUGUAUCACGCGGAUUCAUCUUUUCCAUUUUUUAGCUUUUCUUUUUGGCUUUAUUUCGGGAAAUACUCUAAAGUUUUUAGGUUUCUUGGGAAUAUUGGUCCCCUUGUAUGCAUGGUAACAAGGAUUUUAGUUUAGUUUGUAAAAUUAUUAAAGUCAUAAAUUUAAGCUGUUUAUUUAAAGUUCCCAAGUAUUUUAAUUUGUCUAUUGUAUUUUUUAACAUAGUGAAUAGAUAUUUUAAAUAUAUAAACUUUAUCUUAAGUAUAUAUUAUAAAUAAUUUCGAUUACAGUAUAGAGUUUUUUUAUUUCUUAAUAAUUUAAUAAAAAAUAUUUUAUUUAGUUUAAAGUUUUCAAAUAAAAUAAAAUGUUAAAAAGGAUAAAUGGUUAAGAAACGAAAUAUAGAUAAUAAUAAAAAUUUGAUUUCAAAUGAUUGAAGGAAGACAAAAACUAGUGAGUUUCAAAAGAAAAUUAAAGAGAUAAUAAAAAAAAUCAUCUUCAUAAAUAAUGAAAAGGAAUUUUUGAUAAAAGAGAAAACGAACCAUAUUCCAAAACAAUUCUUGAAAAUCAUGAUAUAAUUAUAAUACUUAGGUAUUAAUACAAAAAAAAAUUCUAAAAAUAUUUAUAUUUAAAUACUCAAAUAAUGUCAUUUUCGUUACAAAAUUUAAUUCGUUGUUAAUUUCAAUUAUUUAAUGAAAGUAAUAUUGUAUUUCUUUCUUGGAAUUUCUUCAAAUAUUUCAUCAAAGUAGAAUUGUAUUUUUUUUCUUGGAAAAUCUUCAAUUAUUUAAUCAAAAUAAUAUUACAUUUUUUCUCGGAAAUUGUUAUUUGGACAAAAGAAAUUAAUUAUCAAUUAUAAAGUGUUUUGUGGGAAUUCAACAACUUUAUUUUAGGGUAAAAGUUGAUAUUGAAAAAAUGUUUAUACUAUACAUUAAUCUAUAUGUUUAGAUAAUACUUUUUGUGGUGAAUAUUUUCAUUAAAGUUUUGUAUUUGAAAGAUAUUUUGUAAUUUACGGGAAAAGAUAAUUUAGAAUGCAGGAACUUGAAAUCUACAUUAACAAAAAUAUUAUUUUAAAUUUUUUGUUAAUAUUGAAACAUGAAGAUUGAUUAGAAAUUACAGAGGCUUAGAGUUCUGACAGUUUUGUUAUUAGUAGCUUGUUUGUAUUAAACAGGGAAAUCUUGAGAAGUACACACAGAGGAACAAUUACCAGAAAUCAAAACAUCAUAUACUAAAUCUAUAAGACCCAAGAACGAACCUAAUACCAGCUACAUAGAGAUGAGGUAAACCCUAACCCCAAAUACAAGAAAACCAAGAAACAAACAAACUAAGCCCUUUCGCCUCUGAUUCUUCUGGCGAGUUGAAUAUCCUUGGGCAUAAUUGUGACCCUUUUAGCAUGAAUGGCACAGAGGUUAGUAUCUUCAAAGAGUCCAACCAAGUAGGCCUCAGCGGCUUCCUGAAGAGCCGAAACGGCACUGCUCUGGAAUCUCAGAUCCGUUUUAAAGUCCUGUGCGAUUUCACGAACCAAACGCUGAAAGGGGAGUUUUCGGAUCAGAAGCUCUGUGCUCUUCUGGUACUUCCUGAUUUCCCUCAGAGCCACAGUUCCAGGCCUGAACCUGUGGGGCUUCUUCACUCCACCGGUGGCCGGAGCAGACUUACGAGCAGCCUUCGUCGCCAGUUGCUUCCGGGGAGCCUUGCCGCCGGUAGACUUACGGGCUGUUUGCUUAGUACGGGCCAUUGAAGGGUUGUAGAAGAUUUGAAAGAAACAAUUCAAAUGAGAGAAUGAUUUGGGGUUCGAUGAGUGAAGGAUGAGAGCAAAGGGAUUUUGUUAUAUAGGUGAGAGCUUGAAAUUUGGGAGGGAAGGAAAUCUACGUUUUGGAGCUUUGGAUUUAGAGCGAUCCGUGUGUGGCUUCAUCGAACGGUCGCGAUUUCGUUUGAGAUAUCACGCGGAUUCAUCUUUUUCCAUUUUAGUUUUCGUUUGGUUUGGCGCCAGCGAAAGAGUUGGUGCAUUUUUUUUUUUUCCCUCUUCUAAAUUUUCCCAAUUUUUCAGUUUCCCUUUAUAGAAUAAAUGUUUUUUUAUUAAGUAUUAUUUGUUUUAAAAGUUUACUUUUUAAGUUUAUUAUAUAUAUAUUAGUUUAAAUACUUACAAAAAAAAAAAUCCAUUAAUUUUUUUCUCUACUAUAUACAUAUUUUUAUAGAAAAAUCAAUAAUUGAAUAUAAAAUAUUUUACUUUGUCAGUACGUUUUUAAAAUUUUAUUUGUAUAUAAUUUACUUGCAUAAAGUUAGCAAGAAUAAAGUAUAUAUAUAACGAUAAAAAAAAAAUAGACUAAGUAUAUAUACAAAGAUACGCCACUUGAUUCCCUCCGAAACAAAUUGGUCUAAGUCACACAAAAUUUUAAAAAAUUAACAAAAAUUUGUUGGUAAAUUAAUUCAAAAAUAUUUACUCAAAUAUUGAGAAAAUAUUAUAUCAAUAUAAUUCAAUGCUGAUUUCGAAUUUGAACAACAAAAUGGCUUUAAUUUUAUUACAUAAUAUCUUAUUACUUUUUUAAAACUUAAUUCAAAAGGGAUUUGAUUAUUUUACUUUAAAUUUGAUUAAAUAAAAAUUUAAUAAAUUUGACUUGUUAAAACUUUUGUUUCUUGAUUUAUUUUAGUAUAUUUAAUUCUUAUAUAUAUAAUGCAUUUUAUUGUAAUAUACAAUAUAUAAAAUUAAAUAUUACAUAAAUUUAUUUAAUAAUUUGAAAAUUAUUUAAUUAUAUUAUUAAUAAAAUAUAUAAUUAUAAAUAAUGAAAAUAAUAAAAUAAAUUAUAAUAUCAACAAACUAGAUAUAGUUAUAUAAAAUAACAAAUGUAUAUGAUAAUAAAUAUUAUUUUAAUUCAACACACAAAUAUUUUUUAUUGUAUUUUUUAAUUUUUUAUUGAAAAAUACAAGUGAUUAUGAUAUUAUAUAUUAUAAAAUUUUAAUUAAUUUAAAUCUAUAUAAUAAUUUAUUAUUCAAAUAUUUUUUAAGAAGAAGGAUAAAAUUAUAAAGUUACAUUUGAUAUCUUUAAAAUAAUUUAUAAAUUCCUUGUGAACUAUGGCAUAUCACUUACAAAUUUCAAUAAAUCAUUAUCACAAAUCUACUUUAUCAUUUUUCAAUCCAAAUAACUUUACAUGUACUUACACAUCCUUUCUAAUCCUCACAAAUUCAUUAUCUCCCCUCCUCCUCAAUCCAACACAACAAUUAUGCAACACCUCAAGUUUUAAACUCCACCUGGACUUAUUUUUCUAUAUUCUUUAUCGUUCAUAUAAACAUUAAGUAUACACAAUUAUAUAAAAAUGUUACAAUAAUAAAUAAAAUAAUUAAUUUGAAUUUAGGUAUUUUGUGAAGUAAUUUAUUAUUUGGAAAUAUAUUUUUAUGUACUAAAUAUAUUUUUUUUUAAAUCUUCUUUCUAUUUGAAAUUUAUUUCAAAUUCAAUUUGUAUUUAUAAAAUUAUUUUUAUAUUGAUUUAUUUUAUAAAUUAUGAACAUUAGUGGGUAUUAAUAAUUCAUGGCUGUUUUAUAAAUAAGUAUAUUGUUUAUAAUGGGAUAAAUUAUCUAUUGACGUGGGUGUAAGAUAUUGUUAGAUGAAAUUUCAAAAGAUCUUUUAAUUUAGUUUUGAUUAUAUAUUUAAAUAAAAAAUUAUGAAACAUAAUUUUACAAAGCAUAAAGUCUCGUAUGUAAGUGUUUUAUCUAGUCUAAUAGAUGCAAGUGUAAUGCUUUUCAUGUUUAACAAAAAUGUUUGUAUAUUUUGUUUGGAAAAAUUUACUUGAACAAGUACAAUUGCAUAUACUUCGUCUGAUAAUGUUUUACUUUGAAAAGCAAUAAGUAUAAUGUGUCUACCAGAUGAAAGUAUUGAACAUUUCAUGAUACACAUCAAACUUACAAAUAUUUAUUUUAUGCGUGUAAGAAAUAUUCGUUUCUCCUUUCUUUCAGAAGGAUAUCAUAAUACUUUUCAUCAUCAAGAUUCCUUAAAUUAUGUGAUGAAAUUUGAUUAAUGCAAAUAAUCUUUUGAAAAAAAUAUGAAAUGUUAUUGUUACGUAAUCAAUCCACUAUCAUUAGAUUUUGUGUUUUACUCAAAGGUGAAAAACAAUGCAUAUCUCAGGUAAGAUAAGUUAUGUCGCAUAUUGAAAGAGUUGUGUAAAAAAGUAACAAAUUAAUGUGUCUUUAAGUUUCAAAUGUGAAGGUUAAACAAUUAAAAAAAAAACUUUAUUUUAUCUCACAGCGAUCUCAAAAUAGUUACAUUCUAAAUAAUACUUACAUUAUUCUAGUUAAGGUCAAAAAAAUAUCUACUAGUAUUUUUGUAAGAUUAUCUUGUUUACCAACACUCAUUCAAAAACUUAAUGUAAUUUGCAUGUUAGAGAUAAAAACAUAAAGAAUAAUUCCUUCUUCUUUGUAAUAUUUUUAUAUUACAUAUUUUUUAUUUGCAACUAAAAAAAAGGUAAUACUUUUAAAAAGCUUUUUAGAUAAUGUGUCGGUUUUGUCAAAAUUAUGUUUGACAAGACAGAGUUUUAAACAAACUUCCUUGACAACACGUUUCUUCAAUAUUAAACCUCGUAUGUUUACAUUUAUUAGACAAUAACUUUAUCAAAAGUUUUUAAAAUUUAUAAAACACAAUUCAACAUUUUUUUUGUGUUCUUGACAUGUUUUUACACAUUUAAUCAUUUCUUAACAUUUAAUCAUAUUUAUUUUUAACAUGAAAUAUUUUAAUAAUUUUCUAAAUAUAUCAAUUAAAAAAUACUUUAUCCCAUCAAUCAAAUAAAUCAUAAAUGAUUGAAUUGUCAAAGAAAGAAACAUAUUAGCAUUUUUUUUCUUAUAUUUAUUCUAUCUCGUAUUAAUAAAUAAAUCAUAUAAUAGUACACUAAAAUACUAUCAUAUAUAUUUGGAAAACUAUAAAAAUAUUGUAAGUGCAACACAAUCAAAUUCUAAAAUACUUGUAUUAAAUAUAUUUACACAUGUUUAUUAAUUAUUAAUUAAUUCUAAAUACAUAAUUGUUUUUAAUACAAUAAGUCGUUUAACUCAUUUCGGUAAGAAUAUUUUCAAUCCGAAAUCAGAAAUGAUCCAAUUCAGUAUGAAUAUUUUUAAUCCAAAAUCCAGACUAAAUUCACCAAGGGAAAAAAAAUUAAAAGUUCCAAAAGAUAAUAAUUUUAAUUGUUUUUUUUUUAAUUUUCAUUUUUUUCGGAAUUGUCUGUGUUUAAUGCAAGAAGUUUAUCUUAACAUAACAAGAAAGAGUAAAGAAAUUAAUUAAUGUUUGAUACUUAUUUGAUCCACAUGCGUUAUAAUAAUAUAAUAUCUUAAUUAAAAAGGUUAUUAAAUACAAAUAUAAGAAAGGAGUUGAGGAGAUAAAUGUAUUCCUCAUAAAUAUUGUAAAUAUACAAUUCUCUUCUUAGGAUAUACUUGUCUUACGCUUUCCACGUUAACUCUUGCAUCAUGCAUCAUCAAAGGCAAAAUUACGAAUUUUCAGACAUGAAUGUAACUUAUUUUUUAAUCGGAAGUUUUAACGUAUGAUUCAGUAAAAUGUAUACUUUUAAACUCUAUAAAAAAUCACAAGGGUGUUCUCGAGUUCUGAGUAGGAAACAAGAUAACAAAAUAAUGAGUAAAGUUGUGAAUUUCAAAAGAAGAAACAAGGCAUUUGGAGUGGCUUCAUGUAAACGAAAGAGGCGAGUAAGAUUUAGUUUCUAAUGUUUUUACAACCAACACAGAUUAUCAUAAACUGCAGCAAUAAUGAUAAUAAGAAUAAUACAGAGAAUUAUGGCACAUUAUCAAGGAGAACUUUGACACGGGAAAAUGUUGUCCAUUUCACCAUUUCCAGAAAACAUUAGAACCACACUUGUAUUUGUCCUUUCCUUCACAUUCUAGAUCCAAAUCAUCAGAAAGAAAAGGCACUUUCUGCGUUCAUUAAAAGAAACCAAAGUAAAGAUUUUGAAUCAGUGUUACGCAAGUUUGAUAAACACUACAGUUGAAAAGAAUCAAUAACAUUACAUAAAUUAUUUAAAAACUUAUAAAAACAUAAUUAAGUUAAAAACUACUAUAGCAUAUAUACCUUUUGCUUAGCUAGAUCCUGGCAACCAGUGAAGUUUUCAGGGAACUUGCAACUGCCAAAUUCCACAGUGUAUGCUCUUGCAAAAUUGGCUCCAGUUGUGGCUAACCUUUUCUUGUCAUUAAGUUCCUGUAGCAAUGAUCCAUUAUGGAGAAGUUAAAUUACGAUGGCAUGAAAGAGUGAAAUUGAAACUAAAAUUAAGGGUAACCGUGAUUGUAUGGUAAAGAGAGAAGGGUUUGAAGAAACCUUGUUGGUCUUGCUCUUUUCAAGGUAUUCUUCAAUGACUCCUGCAUUGGCUGAAGAGUUGGAAGCAGCAGCUGCAGCAGUGAAAAGGGUAGCUGCUAAGUAGACAAGGGCACUUCUCCUUCCUUGGUCUGAUUUAGAUUCAGUAACUUUUGCUUGGUGAGCCUUGAUGAGAGGCAACUUGAGAGCAGAGAGUUGUGGAGAUGCAACCGAAGGCAUGGAAGUGAGCUUGGCAUUGAGGUCGGAGCAUCCUGAUCUGGCAUAGUUACAAGCCAAGACAGUAGAGUUCAUGGCAGACAUGGUGGUGGAUGCAAGUUUUGUGGUUUUGAUCCAAGCUGAAAAGAAAACUAGCUUGUUUUGCAAGGACCAAAGGCCAACUCAGAUUGUGUGCUUCUUAAUCCCAGUGGUUCUAUUUUGUGUUUUGUUUUUUAUUGUAUUUUUCUUGUGUUGUUUGAGGCUGUGAUAAGGAGUGGAUACGAUAAGUGUAACGUAAUUGAAGGUUGUGGUUGGAGUGUGGAUAAGGUGGGAUUGCCUCACUCCUUAUUGGCAUAUCUUGCAAACAUGUUGCUUUUGCCACACUUCACCCUCUUCUGGUUCGUAUCAUAGGUCCCACAUCAAAAUCCCCACUUCUUAUCUACUCUACAUAUAUUUCAAUAACCUUUUUUAUAUGUAAAUUAACUCUUACAUUAAUUAAUUUUAAAAUCUUAAUGUAUUUUAAAAAGCGUGUAUGGGGAAGAUUGUAUAGCAGAUGUAUCAAGAAUGGUGUUACUUCCUCCGUUCCUCAUUCCAGAAUUUAUUUUUUUUAUUUCUAGAAUGAUAAAUCUAGAAUUUAUAAAUUAUAGUUCAAAAAUUAUGUUUCAGAAAUACUCUAAAAAAAAUAAUCCAAAAAUCAUUUUUAAAAAGGGUAAAACAGUCUUUUCAAAAAUAAUGGGUGCAUAGAGAAAUUUGUUGGAUGCAGGAAGAAAUACCCAUAAAGAACGGGUUCCUUUUCAUUUUUAGACAGCGUGGGGCUUAAAAUCCUGCUUAGAAGCCCAAGAUGAGUCCAAAGCAAUUCAUGAUGUGGACAAACAAAAAAGAUUCCCGACCCAUUUUUGGGAAAUUGCUUUUUGCACUCCUGUGAUAGUAUUUUUAUAUGUACCCCAUUUUUAAAGGGCAUUUUCGUCUUUUAACACUGAAAUUGAAUCAUAUAUUCCAUGAUAACAAUUAAUAAGGAUUUCAUUUUCAAUAUAUUUUUUAUCUAUACACUUUUUUUUUACCUCUAUCGAUACUUGUUAAUAAAAUUUGUAGCUGCCCGAUAUAAAAAAAUAUCUACAAUAAACAGUUGUGAGAAAAGAUGGGAAGUAUUCUUAUUGUAUAAUUAAAAACUAAAAUAUUUCAAAACUAUUUUUAUACAUAUUUUAUUAUAACUUUACUUAUUAGUUGGAUGGAAAUUUACAAUAAACAUAUUACACAAUUAUAACAUUAUCAAAAUUAACAAAAAAUAUUUAAUUUUAUGAUUAUUUUGUAUAACUUCAAUAUAUAUAUUUUUUAUUUUAAUAAUUACUUUUUAAUUAUAUUUUUUAAUUAUAAUUUUUUAUUUGUCGUAAAAAAUAAAAAAAAAUAUGUGCUAGUAAAAUCAUAAAAUUAUAAUUUAAAAUUAUGAAAUAAAAGUAAAACAUAUACUUUUUUACUUUUAAUAAAUUCAAACUAAUAAUAAAGAACAUGUUUAAAAAAUAUAUACAGUAGUGUAAAAAUUCUUUUUUACGUUUAAAAGUAUAUUCUACGUUUACUAAAUUAUAUCAUGGGUAGCUAUCUUAUAAACUAUUUUUUUAUAAUUAAAAUAAUUUUAAACCUAGAUUAUAAGAAGUGCCAAGUUUGAUCUAUUUUUAACGUAGUUUUUUUAAAAUUUGAAUUGAAUUUGUUUAUUUGUCGGUUAAAAUAAAAACUUAUUUAUUAAAAUUAUAUUUUAUAUUAUGAUUUUUGAAAUUGACAAAUAAAUCUAAAUAUAUAAAUGAACUUAAAAUAUAAAAAAAGUAAUAGAAAAACGAUACUAUUAUAUUGUUUAUAUUUAUUUACAUAAAUCCUUGUUAACCAAAGACAGAUAAUAUUUUUUAAAGAUUAAAAAGAGAUAGUAUAAAACUUAACCUUUUUAUUUAAAUGAAUUUUAAAAAGCUUGAUCUAAUAUUUUUAAUAAACAACUUUACAUCAGCGUAAUCCAAAUCAGGCAAUAAAUAAAAUAUGUUCGGCCAUAAUAAUAAUUACUAUUUCUCCUAUAAAGUGAAAUAGAACAAGGUUAAAGGAAACAUAAUCCUAAACUAUAUCUAUUUUAAAAACUACUUUAAACCCAUUUUUCAAAAAAGCAAAAAGUUAAAGUAACUAUAAUUUAAAUUAAACGCACUGUGAUCUUAACCAAUUAAUUUGAUCUGGUCCUAAUUACUUUGGACAACCUCACUUAGAUAACAAAUUGGAUAUAAACAUACCUUAAGAAAUUAAAUCUAAUAACAUUAUCUAUUUUAAUUUGACUCAUUAUCAUAUUAUCUGACGCAUUAUAAAGAUUUUACAUCGAUUAAUAUAUAUCUUCACAUUCACAUCAAGACGUACACAUCUUAUUCGUAAAAUUAAAUAUUUAUAAAUAAUUUAAUAACAAUAAAAUAAAAUAUAUCUAAAAAAAAUCUUUAAGUAAAUUUAAAUAUAACUUAUCCUUAAUUUUCUCAAACUAACGAAGGUUGGUGAGAUGUUGAAUAAUAACAUAUAUCAUGCAUUGAAGUUUUAGCAAAUCAAAGUUGAGCCACUUAGAUGCGUGGUAUUUGUAUGUGUGAGUUCUAUGAUACACCAUUUCCAUUUUAGUGCAUUUAUUUGAUUGAAAGUUGAUGAGUGGUUUCUGCAUCAGCUUCCAUUUAUUAUUAUAUGCAUGCUCCAUGAACUGGAUAAAGUAUGCAACUUUCUAUUUUUCUUUUCUUUUUAAUCAUGGAGUAUAGUUGUUAACAGCAACGAUCAGGGGGCGUUUUAUUAUUCACUUGUACCAUUUUGCGAUCAAAUGUUUUAAAAUCUGAAAACAAAGUGAUGUGUAUCUUAAUUUUGGUUUAUCAGCAAAUUGUGAUAUCUAUGUUUGUGUGUACAAAGUUAAUAAUCUGAAUUCUUUGUCCAAAUUAAUGUGAUGUUGAAGCACGGUUUUAUAUUAAUUUCAAAUUUAACCCUUUGAUAAAAUAAUGGGACAAGAAAUAUUUGGGAGGUUCUCUUAUCUCUCACACGAAGAUAGAUUAAAAAUAUACAAUUGGCGAGUUGGAUUACUCUCCCGUUAUCAAGCAAAGUUAUAUUAAUUUACAUGUUAAAAUAUUGAUACCUAUUACGCUUUUCGACUUAAAAAAAUAAAAUAAUAAAAGUGAAGGUUAUUAAUUUUUAAAACAGAGUUUUAAGCUACGAUUCCGUUACAAAGUUACCGUUUUUUACUUUGUCUCUAUAUAACUGUUUAAUCCUCAUUUGUUUUUACUCUUAACAUUUUUCAAGAACUUUCUUCAAAAUCUUCGCGCCUCACUUUUUACGCCGAGUAGGAAGAGGUGUAUAGUGGAACAAACACUCUUGGGAAGCCAUUAUAUGGUGACAAGUUUUUUUUUUUUUGAAAAACUUAUGGGUUACAAGGUAGACUACAACUUGUGUUAGAGGGAAGAUUUGGCAACAAGUGUGCAACAAGAGUUCUUUCCCAAACAUGGUUCGGAAAAUAAAAAUAAUGUGAUUGAAUUACUAUACUGAUGAAUCUGUAUGUAAUAGUGUUUUUAAUUGAAUUUUUAAUACAUUACCUGCAGAUAUAAUUUAUUUCUAACAUUUUCUAUUAUUUUUUAAUUAAAUUUUAAAUAUAUUACGUAUGAAUUAUAUCCGUAUGUAAUAAUUUUUAUUUUUUGAAUUAAAUUUUAAAUAUCUUACCUACAAAUUACUUUACUUACGGAUUUUAUCCGUAUAUAAUAAUGGUAUUAUACACAUAAAAAAAAUUUCUUUCGUUUGGAAACAUUUUAUUAUACUGUUUGUUAUCAUUAAAAUUUCAUAAAGUACUUGUAUAUAUAAGAUUGUCCAGUGGAGUGUUAGACUUUUCAAAAGUUACUAGAUUAUCUAGUAUCUAAUAAUAAAAUAAUAAAAUAUGUAUUUUUUUAUGGUAUAAAAAUUAAGUGGUAGAUGUCUCUCCAACAUAUUAUUAAAUUACUCGUUCUCUACAUUUCGAUCUUAGCUUAAUUGGAUUUGACAAUUCUUAGUGAACUUUUGGAUUGAGAAAUAGUGCUGAACAGUUUGUUUCAUUCAAAAUGAUCACCUUGGUUUUAGUAUUAAAAAUAUUAGUUAAGUGGAAAUAAUAAUGAUAAACGACCAUACAAAAUACACACUUGUGUUUUCCUUUAUCUUUUCUUGCUCCAUAAUAAUUCACUUUCAUCUUCUUCCGUAGAAAGAUAUCUUUAAAUUAAAUUUCAUGAAAGCACGACAAAUCUGUGGUCUAAUUAAGAACUUCAUAAUAUCAUUGAAAAGAAUGCUGUAACAAAAAAUUAACUAGUAUAUCUUACACUUGAGGUCAAAACAAAGCAACUAAAAGUUUCAAAACAUUACUUCCCCAGUAACAGCCGCAUUGAUUAUGGUUGAUUGGUUCAGCUAUAACGAAAACCGAAGGGAUUCAUUGUAAUUAGCUAGCAUACUUCCCUAUAGUUACGCUCCAAACCUUCAGGUUCAAGUGGUUGGAUCCUUAUAAUGGUUUCUGGAACUAGUGGUUGGGAUCCAACAAUUUUCUUGCAUUCAAUGAGGCACUGUCUGCACUUGGGGCAUGAUGAGUGUGAACUCAGCCAUUUGUCAAUGCAACGAACGUGGAAACCAUGGUUGCAUUUUGGCAAAAUGCGUACCUUAUCACCAUUGACAAACUCUGAGAGGCAUAUCACACACUCUGUGUCCAAACCUGGGAGUUUCAACUCGGUUGAGUAGCUCACAGUAGGAAAAGUCUUGAGGGCUUUCUUCUUGAUUCCUGUGUUGGCCAAUCGUGGUGAAGGGCUGUAGCUCACACUAGGGCUGUUGCUCAUAAUUGAAGGGUCGUUGAUGACUAUGUUUGAGCAUCUCAGGACACACUUUAUGAUGGAGUUCAAGCCGAGUGAGCAAAUAACAGCACACAGAAGGACUGCGAGGAUCAUGACAACAUUUGCGUUGAAGUCAUGAGCUUUGAAAUACGAGUCGGUUGAGUUGUAACUAAUGGAAUCUGGGGAUUUGGUCAAGUCUUGUUGAUGAAGAGGUUCUUGAAGGAGUAGCUUUCUUGAGCUUGAGUCCAUGAGAAGGUCACGGAGCAAUUGCGUAGUGAAGGAAGUUGAAGCAUACAUGUCUGAUGGGAUCUUGAAGAAGAGUUAGUUGGUUGGAGCUUUAGGUUGGUUAUCUUAGGUCUUAGGCAAUUAUGUAUAUAUAUAGGGGAAGUUAGCACAGUAGGGUAUAACAUAUGAUUAUGAUAUCUAGCUUGGUAGCUUUUCUUUUAUUAGAAAAUGAAACAUUAUUGUUGUUUGGUGAGUGGUGUUUUAGAAUAUUCCUAAGGGGUUUUUGGCAAGGAAUGAAAAUCAAACUUUUUAUCUUUCUUGCUAGAGAUAGAUUAGAAGCAUAAUAUAAACAUCCACUGACUAUGGCUAUCAUGAGUCUAUUUUAUUUCCACUUUACACGAAGUAGGAUAUGCCAAGUGGCACAGUGAGGCCAUGAAGGAGUAGUGAAGCUUCGUGAGGAUUAGUUGAAAUAUGGUUUCAUUCAAGAUUGAUUCAGUGUCCCAUCUUUUGGGUCCCUGUGAUAAAAAGUUGAACUAAGUGGCCUCCGGAAAUGGUUUUUGUUUUUAUUGCUGCAAAUUUCUGCCUCAAUCAUAUGUGUUUUUGCUUUAAAAAUUUAACAGAAAAAAUAUAUUAUAAACGACUUUUAAUAAUCUUAUUAUACAUGGGUUUGGCUUAGCUAAAAUAAGAAUGGUGGGAAUGAUUUUGAGUGUUUCAAAUGGGUUUGGUUCAACCCUUCAAUCUUCCAUGUGUAGCUGACAACUAAUUCAAUGGUGCCAUUGUGAAUGUGGCAGAUGCUGGAAAAACCUCGAGUUUGGCUCGUCCUUGCAUAUGUGCUCCCAUGUACACUAUAACAAAAAAAAGUGCAAUAUCAAAAAGAAGAUUCUUUUUAGAUAUGAUUAUGAUACAGAACAUUUGUAUACACUCCUCCACUAUUUUUGGCAAACAUGAAUGUCGGGUUUCUGUCUACAUUAGACUCAAUUACGGACACGUGGAAAGGAAGAAAGAGGAGAUUUUACACAAUUCACUAAUGUCUGAGAAGCCAAAAUUGAUUUCAAACAUGAAAAGUACUUGUAGGUCAACCAAACUUACUGUUUCUUUUGAGAAUUAAUUUUAGGUUAGGUAGAAGAUAUGAAGAAAAGUGAAAGUAAAAUGAUAUAUUUCUUUAAAUUUUUGAAAUACACUGUUUUAUAGUUUCUUAAAUGAUAUAUUGUGCAUUUUUUUUCUUCAAAUUUUUUAAAUAGAGAAAACGUUGUCAGAACAUCUUUUUGGUAUCCGACUAAAUCACUUAACGAUAACUUUUUUAGAGAAUUGAUAUUGAACUUUAAAUAGUUGAUAUAAUAUUAUAAAAUUUAGUUAAAUCAGUAUCUAAAUCUAGAUAAAAUGACAAAAAAUUUAAGUAUCUAAAUGAUGUAAUAAUUAGAAACUAAAAAAAUAUUUUUUAAUUUUAUUAUUUUCAUUGGCAAAAAAUUAGUCUCUAUAAUAAAUCAAAAUUAACUAAAUAAAUAGUUUUUAGUUAGAUUUUAAUAAGAGGAUAGACUUUGCCCACAUCUUAGGUUACCACUCGAAUGGUGUUAGGAAAUAAGAUUGUCAUUAAGACUAAUUUACAUAGAUGCGGAUUGCAGUAAAAAAACGUUGUGUUGUUUUUGUGGGAUAAAAUAGUAGGAGUUAAAUCAUUUAUUUUUUUACUUCGGGAUAAGUUGGUUGGUGUGGAAUCAUGCAUUUCGUCGGUUACCCCCAUUCAUGUUUACUCCCAUUUUUUGUUGUUCAAGAUGUGUAAUGCUCCGGAGUCAGUCAUUUUAGGAAUGAAGAAUAUAUGGAUUGCAGUGGUUAGUGAGAUUUGGAGUCAUAGGAAUAAUUUAUUUUUAAAGGUGGAGUUUUGAAUUAUUCUGAGAUAUUUUCUUUGGCUCAAUUGAAAGUUUGGUCUUGGUUCACUUCUAAAUUUUUCUCUGCUUGUUUUUUCUUUUUCUAAUUGAUGUCUUGAUCCUUUAGUCUGUCUUUAUUCACAUUAGUUUGGUGACAGAGUUUGUUUUUAACAGGAUUAGUAUUUUGAGUAGAGUAGUUGUUUGGAAGGUGUCGUAUUGUUAGGUUGUCCUUGUUUAUUUGUAUAUCAGUUGGAUCAUCCCUGAAGUGAUUCAUAUGUAUAUAUUAUUUAUUGCUGAUAAAAAAAACAUUUUAACAAGAGACUAAACAAAUUGUCUUUAAAUAAACAAAUACUUUUUUAUAAUAUGGUAGCUAGUUAUAAGUAUAGUAUAUAAUUAAACUAUAAAUUAUUAAUAAUAAUAAAAACUCUUUUAAAUAUCAAUAAUUUUUAAUUUAUUAAAUAGUUUAUAAUUUAGUCAAUAUAAUGAUUAAUUACUCUUUGUUUUGCAACAUUGGUCUUCCAUGUGUAAUGAUUGUUUCAACCUUACUCAAAUUUGACAUGUCAUUCAUCUGGUGAUGACGAUAAAGAGAUCUUCGUCAAAGAUAAGAGGGUUGAAUGGUUUGGAUCAUUGUCAUCGAAUUCAUUGACAAAAAUGUGCUACUCAUAGAUCUCAUCAAUGAGUGAGACUCAAGCACGAGACCACAUAUGGUAUUGCUAAGAGAGUGGUUGAACACAAAAUCCUAAACCCUAAACAUAAAACUCUGAAGAGUAUGUUAUACACACGACAAGACUGAUAAUGUUUUAAUUUAGAGAAAAAAUUGAAAUUGUGUUUAACGAGCAAGACACAUUGUUCUCACUAACAAAUCCCUUGAAUUAGUUUGGUAAAAAUCAACUAUUUAAUUUAGCAACCAACAUCAAAUUUAUCACUAAAAUAAAAUUAUUUUUGGAUGCUCAUAGUAUAACUUUUAUUUUACUUCAUACAAGUAGAAAUCAACUAUUUAAUUUAGCAACCAAUAUCAAAUUUAUCACUAAAAUAAAAUUCUUUUUGGAUGCAUUGAUAGUAUGACUUUUAUUUUACUUCAUAACUGUCGAUUUAACAACUAAAAUUUAAGUUUAACCAUUUUGUAUGGUUGUAUAAACUGAUAUCAUUAACAAAUUAUUUUAUUGAUGUUUUGGUGACAGAUUUAUGAUAAAUAUUAAUUAAUCAUUGUUUUGAUCACAAUUUACAAUUAAUUUAUUUCGAUAACCUCCGUUACAUUUUUUUACAGUGAACAAAAUUGUAAUUAAAUUAUUAUAUAACCUCUUUCCUCCACAAGCAAAUCUAUUUGUUACAGCAUUAAACGAGUUCUGCUAGCUGCUGUAAUAUUGUUUUCUCAAGCCUCUUUACCCGACAGAUAGUUUCUUUUAAUAUUUUUUUAAAAAUUAAAGAAAACCGACAGAUAGUUAGUGACAUUUACAUUUUAUCAAAGAAUAGUGCUACUUUACCCCAACAUUUACAAUCAUAACGAUAGCUGGUUACUUGCUUGUGUUUGUGUUUGAAUGAGACUCUGAUACAUAUAAAAUAUCUAAUAUAGUAAUUAGCCAUUAAAUCAUGUCUCUUGUUAAUUUAAAGUGGUCACUGGCUUUGAACCAAGAUAAAAAAAAAUCGGGUUAUAUUAUAAUAAAAGUUUCCAAUUCGAAUCAAUAAUUAAAAAAUUUGGUCCUGCAACUUGUUGAAGCUCUGUUUUAUUGGUUAUUAAAAUUCCAAAAAAAAUUUAGUAUAUAUAUAACUCCACCUCUACAUGUAUGCCACAACGUAUACCCUCGUACAGCUCUGAUCUCAUGUAUGUCUGAUGUGUCAUUCCUUGUACAUAAUUAUACGAUGUUUGCAAUAUGUUAAUAGUUAUAUUCGUCUGGCAUGUCACAUAUGAUAUAUGUUUGGAUAGAAAAAUGGUUCCAAAUCCUUUCCGCUAUACGUGAAAUUGUUUUACAAUCUUCACAAUAUGCAAGUAGACAUAGAUCACAAUCUCGUGGAUCUAACAAGUUGUGGCUCCUAACUAAAGAACAGUGAUCGAUUAAUGAUAAGAAACGAUCAAAUUGCAACAUGUUUAAGCUAAAUUUGAUCUCCAAUCUGAUUUUAUUUGUCUAGAGCUUACUUUUUACGAGGAAAGUGGUUGAUUCAGGGGUGGAGGUAUUAUUAUAAAUUUAACGAGGUACGGUAGAAGACAAGUGGUUUAUUUUUGUUUUUUUUAUGAACUUGAUUUGUUUAGUUUGUAGUGAUUAAGAAACUAGAGUCGUGCACAGUAAUUAAGCAGGGAAGAGAGAGCAGUGUGGUUGGGCAUUUUUAAAGAAAAUGCUUUUGCUUUUUGCUCUGGCAGUACUACAAGUACCACUACUUUGAUCCGUAUCUUGGUGGGUUGGAUCUCACUACUACUGUUAUUGUUUCUCUGGUCCCACAUCCAGAGAGAUAAGGGAAUUGCCGACACAGGAAAUGGUCUUUUGAAGACCACAUAUGUAUAACCACUAUGCAUAACAUAGUUAAUAUAUAGGAUGUUAGAUUAUGUAGUCUCCAUUUUAUGAACACAUGCUAUGUCUUCACCAAGGAUUACAACUAGAUUUCUGCUAGGGUUGCAUCCACUCUCCCGUGACCCAACUAUAUAUAAUGUGUUUAAAAUUAAUUUUUUUCUUACAAGGUCGAAUACCUCUUAGAAUGACUCAUGUACCUUCCGUUUUUUCAUCUUUGCAGCUUCUGUAUUCGGCGUCUCCGUCUGACAAGUCCUCCAAGAACAGCGGAGUGAGGUACAUGCGAAGGUAUUCCGACGCUCAAGUCAGUCUGAGUAUAAUAUGUGGAUAAACUAGGGAUCAGAAGAUUACCUCUGGCACAGGAUCCCUUAUAAUAUUUAUAGUCUUGUGUUGAACUUCAGCUGUUAUGGGCCUUCUUUUGGACCGCGCCAAAGGUCCAUUUGUGCUUUAAUCAUGGUUUAUGGUUAAACUGAUUUAUUAUGAUUAAUCACGGUUUAUCAUCUGCUUUCAUAUUCGUUUGGUCUUGUCGACUAUUCGACCUUUCGGUCUUCCAGUAGUAAAAAAUCCAUUCAUAUAAGAUAGAUAAUUAUUUUAAUUUAUUAUAUUAAGUAUGAAUAGAGCAAUAUAAAAAGAUGGAAUGUUCCAUAGAAAGUUGAAAAAGAAAAACAUGGUGUGUUUUGUUUAUAUGUUAGGGUUGAGAUAUAUUUGUGAAGAUCUUGGUGAUUUUCAUCCUAUCCAUGAGGAUUCAGUUACACUCAGAAGCCACAAGUGGUUAAUUUAACAAGUGAAAGAGUGAAAAGUUGGUUAAGUUGUGUAUAUAUAAUAUAUAGCCACAUGCAUUAAUCUAGGGUUUUGCAAUUGCGGCUACCAGCUCCAGAAUCGCAAUGGAUAAUCCUUGACCAGUUAUCGUCUUUAUUUUUCUCCCACUUAUCUGUGGUGCUUCACACGCCAUGACUGGGACUUCCCAGCCACAUCUACUACAUUUUAAACGCCAUUUCUUCAUUCAUACUAAACCCUAACACAGUGUGCCACUAUACACCCUCUAUUCAAAACUUGUUGAUAAUAAAUACUAUUCAGACAAUAAAAUACUACAAAUUAAUAUUAACUGUUGUUCCGGUCCUAGUAGGAUCCCCAUGAUGCUCCAUAAACAGCUUUCAACUAAAUCCAAAAUAGUAGCUUCACUACUUAAAAAAAUAAAAUUAUUAGAUAAAAAUUAAUUUUAAAAAUAAAAAAUAAUUAGUCAUUAGUUAAACUAUAUAUUAUUUUAAAAAAUUAUUAUAUAUAAAAUACUUUCUAAAUUUAUAUUUUUUUUAAAAUUAAUAUUUAAUUAGUAUAUAAUUAGUUGUCAAAGUUUUACUACCAAUUUUACAAUCUAAAUACAGUCCUGUUGUAAUCCCUUUAUGUACUCCAACUGAGUUUUGAAUCCAGUGGAUUGUAUAAAGCUAGUUGUUUAAUGCUUUCUUGAGUAGCUCUGAUUGUUCCUUAUUUAAGUUGGAAGGUGUUUUUGGUUGGAGGUUGAUAAGGCGCUAACUAUUUAUGUAUAAAGGUUGAACCACACCUGAAGUGGUUCCUAUUUAUUUAUUUUUUAUUGUUGAUAAAAAAAAGUGUACUGUUAAACACAAUUCUUUAUGUUAGUAUUUUUGCGAUCAGUCCAUUUGUAUUUUUGACGUAAUUUUCAGAAAUUGAUUAUUUUAAUUUAUCAGAAAAAUCUGGGCCCACAACUGUUCGGAAAAUAGAACGAAAAAAAAAUGGAAAUCUUUACAUAAUCUUGACACUUAUUUGUGUCUGAUUCACGUAUUUGUAGAGACGAUCCAUUACUUUUUUUUAUGCAAUUACCGAAUUUGAAGGAGAAGAUUAAGAAAGAAGAUAAGUGAUAAAAUUGCAAAGUAUGUGCGGUGUUAACAGGAGAUGGGAAAGAGCAAUAUAAUAUCCGUGGCUGUGGUUAAUGCAAACCUCACUUAACUAUCUGCUCCAAAGAUCCCAUGUUUGAUUUUUGUGCAGCUCUUUUCAGUAUUUGAAUGCUCGCUUUUUGGCUUUUCCUCGCUUUCUUUUCUUCUUUUUGUUUCUGUGCUUUGCUCAUCGCUGUUCGCUUUUAUUAGGUCACCCCACUCCAUGUAUCAUAAACCAUGCUACAAGGAUCAAACUUUCAUUUUUUAAAUAUACUAUUCUCAUCUACUGCGGUUUUUUUCCAACCAUGUGUAACUUAUUCACCUACUAAUUUAUGUGCAAGUAAUAACCUAUAGAUUAAUCCAUAAAUAAAAACAUGAAAAAGUUAUGAAACAUUUUACAUAUGAUUCACUCGACAUACAAAAUUAUACUCCUAUGCAUAAUAUGCAAUCAAUAAUAUAUCUGUUUAAUAACAAUACAUAUUAUUAUUUUUGUAUUUACUGUUAAAGGAAAAAAAGGAAAUCGUAUCCCCAGUAAUCACCUUAUCAAAAUUAUUAUAUUAUUAUCAAAAUUUGAGGUAUAAAAGUCACAAUAAAAAGUAAUCAACUUUUUUAUCUCUUUCGUUAGAUUAACUUGAUGGUAUUGUUAAAAAGAUAAUGAUUUAACACACAACACCACAUGACAGAUAAUCUAAGCUAAAUUUUUUAAAUAAAAAAACAAAAAUUAAGGAUCAGGAAAUCAAACCUGAUUAGUACUUUAAAAAGAUACAAUGUAUAUACAUGAUACAUGAUUUAAAAAGAUCUUUUGAUUUAGAUAUUUCUUUAUAAUCAUGACUAGUAUAGUUGAGUCUCUUCCAUCUAGUUAUAUCUUUGGGUUCCUACUAUAAAUUUUAUUAGAUCUUUUUGAGAUUGUAUGUAAGGAAUUUUUUUAUUAAACUAUUUUAUAUAAUCUUUUGAUAUAAGGAUUUUAUUAGAUCUUUUUGAGAUUGUAUGUAAGGAAUUUUUUUAUUAAACUAUUUUAUGUAAACUUUUGAUAUAAGGAUUUUAUUAGAUCUUUUUGAGAUUGUAUGUUAGGAAUUUUUUUAUUAAACUAUUUUAUGUAAUCUUUUGAUAUAAGGAUUGAAAUAUCCUUUCAAUAUUUUUUAUUUAUAAUAAAAAUUAUUGUUAAACAAAAUAAUAUUAAUAAUAUUUACCAAGAUAUAUUAUAUUAGUCUUUAUUACAUCUAAAUUUCUAUUUUUCUUAAUUAAUACAUCGUCAUCCAUUUACAGAAUAAAAUAAAUCUUUAAUAAGCAUGUAAUAUUCAUAUACAAUUUUUGUUCUAUGAUAUCACAAAAAGAUUCCAUUAAUUUUUUUUGUACAAUAUUAAAUCUGGUCAAAAUUGCUUAUAUAUUUUAAUUAUUUAUACUAAUAACUAUUUUUUAUGAAUGAAAUUUACUUUAUAAAACAAAAACUGAAUCUCAAUAUAAAAAACCCGUAAUAUGAUACGAUAUUUAAGUUAGGAUAAUAAAAGCUACACUAUAAAAAAAACAAUUAAAUAUUAAUUAAUUUUAAAAUAAUAAAAUUAAUAUUUUUUUAGAAUGUUUAUUAUUUUAUGCGUUUUGAUCCAUAUAAAUUUAAAGUUACUUACAUAUUUUAAUCAUGGAUAUUUAUGGAUGAAAAAUCAAUAAAUUUAUUAUAAUAUGAGUUUAUGUAAAUUUACAUGUCUUUUCUAACUUGAAUAGAUGACAUGGGUUACACGUAAUCGUGAAGUUAAUAUAUGUGCAAGUAGUAUAGAAUCGUAAUCUCGUACUCAGAUUCCAAUAGCAAACCAAUCUCCUUCGUAAGAAUAUCUCUUUCAACAAAGUGCUCAAAUCAAAUCUUCUUCUCACCAUCUCUUGAUAAGAAUUAUCAUGGCAGAGACUCCUGCAAACCACUUUCUGCUUUUCUUAUUGAGAUUCGUGGUCUCAAUUUUUAUUUCUUUUUAAACAGAAAAAAUAAAAACCUAUUGUGUUUCACUAUUUUAAUGUAAAGUGUAAAAUUUAGGUUUAAUUGACUUUGUCACGAGACUCUUGGGUUUAAAAGUUCUUCAUAAAAGGUAAUUAAGUUCUUCCAUAAAAGAUAAUCCGCAAAUUUAUGGAUAUGAAUUGUUUGGUUCAAAUAAAUGUUUAGUCUUUGAUUAUUUUUAAGUCACACUUUGUUUUAUUAUUUUAUUUUAAUUAGUGUUUGGAUUUUUAUUUUUUUUUAUGAGGUUGUUUUUUUUAUGUUGUACCUUGCGAAUUUUUACUUUUGAUGAUUUUUUAGGUUUUUAAUAGGAGAGUUGUUUUUGUUGUUCUUUGAAGAUGUUUUUUGAAAUUAGAAAAAAUUAAUAUACACUUUUUUUAUAAAGGAUUGAGUACUUUGAAAUUAUUUAUAUUUAUUGAUUUUUUAUUUUUGAUAAAAAAAUAAUAUACGGGUGUGCGGAGUUAUUGUCCACUAAUUCCUAUACAUGAAUUAUUGGUUAUGAUUUUCUGGACUUUUUUUUACUGAUUAUAAAUGUUUUUAACUUAAAUCUUGGAUUAGGGUUAGAUAGGAUUACUGUACUUCUAAAGGUAGAAACAAGUUUGUAAGAAUUUGAAGGUUUCCUUGGAUUAUAUGUUUGAGUUUUAUUAUAAAGUUUUAAACUUCUUUUUAGUAAGUUAUGCUCACAUCAUAAUUUUAUGGUUGAAACAUUUAUAAAAUACUCUAUAUUUGUUUAUUAUUUUUAUUAAUAAAAAAGUUUAAUUGCAUUUUACGCUAACUGUGUCAUGUUCCUCCAUUUACAUACAAAUUAAUGCAUAAACAAGUUAUGUGUAAUUUUGUUUCUCCAAUUAAGAAGAGAAUACUCUUCCAAUGAAGUCCAUUUUUUUUUUUCAUGGAAGUAUUAAGCUACAAGUUCGGCUUCUAUUAAUUUUGUAUGGAAAUUCACUUUUCUACUAAGCUUAAAUCAAUUUUCUAGUGUUUUUAAUUUGUUAUAUUAAUUUAAAUUUGCUUUUAGUCGGAUAAACUCAUUUUUUUCUCCAGAUUUAAAAUUGAUAUUUGUAGUACUUGUAAUUUGAAAAAUAUUUAUUUCACUUUUUCUAUAACAUAUACAAUUAAACAUUUUAGUUGUAUGACUAACGAUUAUAAAUCGUCUACAUGAUAAGUUACUUUAAUUUUAUAUUAUUACUAUAAAAAUACUCAAUCGCAUUUUAUUUUUCUUCUAAAAAUAUUCAUUUUUAAUGUCUGGAUGGAAGACCUAAAGCAAUUUUUUUAAAUUACAAAAAUUUAAAAAUAAAGAAAAAAAAAACAUAUUUAAUUAAAAUGAUCGGAUAGGAUAGUUAAAGUGCCAUUAGAAAUGUGUUAUUUGUAAUAUUGAUUGUUAAUUACCGGCAUAGUACUUAUCAUGUUUUAGUAAAGGCAUCUCCAAUGUAAAUUAUUAAUGACGCUUUUAGACUAAGAGUUAAAUUCUUUUUUAAUUUUUGCAUUAGAGAAAUUACUCUACAAUCACAUUUAGAAUAUAUUAUUGUAAAAGAAAUUGUUUUUAAAUGGAAAAACAACUAAGAAAAUUAUUCCUAUUUUCUUAAGAAAAUACUAUCUAGCAAGAUUCUUCCCGGAUCUUCGUAUCUUCUCCGAAAGGAGUCUGAUGGAGAGCGUCAUGAUGCUUUAUUUAUCAUUUUCAAGUGAUAGUGGUUGCUUGUAGUGACUGGUUGUAAAUAUCGGUGAUUGAGAUAAGUUUUAUAGUAUUUUUACUUGUGGUUGCAGUGUUUUUGUUCACUUAUAUUUUUUUUAUUUUUUUUGGAAGUCACAAAACCUAGAAAAAAAGAGCAAAAGUGCAAAAAUUAAGUACAAAAUAUUUUCGCAUUGGAAAACGUCAAAUACAACGAAUCUUCCCGUCAAAUCUCUCACACUCGCUCAAAUGAUGGAAUUACUUUCUCAAAUACUACGUAAUGAAAGUGUUGCGAUUGAAAAGGUAUGUGGUCGAAGGGUGCGACAGAGAUUAUUUAAAAAUAUAAAAUUAUUCUCCAUUUAAAGUUAUUUAAAUUUUUGAAAAAGGUCAAAACAAACUUUUCAUAUUGAUAUAGAGGUGCAAGGAAAAUUUUCACACAAUCCAUUCAUGACUUAUUCAAGGUAUAUUCUUCCUACACACAAUAUUUUUAAACCUGCACCCAACACAAUUUUCAAUUUCCGUUCUUUAUUUCAAAAAUGAAAAUCCAAAAUUAAUAUAUCCAGAACAGAUUAUUGUGUUACAGAAAUAUAAAUUUGGAAACAUAAAUCAAAAUUUCAUUCCGGAAAAGAAAAUUUGCUAUUCAAAAAAUUCGUUUUGAAAAAAAAAUCCAAAAACAUAUUCUGGAAAAGGGAUUUUGAAUGUAAUUUUAUGUGUACCCAUUUUAUUUAAGGGUCUUUUCGUCUUUUCAUAUUGAAAUUGGGUGGAUUGAUAUGGUUCAGGAAGCAAUUUCCCUUAUUCAAUAAUCCCUCUAAUUCGAAUGAAUAGAAGUUAGGCGGUGAAGAGAAGCCCAUUAAAUAUGAACUACUACAUCACAAGACUGAAAGUAUCACAGCUGGCGUUUUCUUUCUGCACUUCCAAAGUUUUUUUUAGCACCCCAUACUUCUUAAAAUACUAAAAUAAUCCUUAAUUUUAUUAAUAAUUUUUCAUUCCAUAAAUACAUUUAAAUCCUAUAAUAUGAAAUAUUUUUCUUAAAAAUAAUAUAUUCUGAAUUGUAAAAUUUGUAAUUUAUUUUUUGCAAUCCAUAAUAUAUUUUUUAAAGGUUAAAUAAUCUUUUCGCUUAAGAAGAAACUUUAUGAAGGCGCAGGAAGAAAACGUCUUAACAGCUAGAAAAAUUGCAGAUGUCCAUUUCGGGCCCAAACUACCUUCGAAGGCCUGGAAAGUUUUUUUUUUAUUCUUGCUAUUUGUAUCCCCAGUUUUUACUAUGCACACUUUCCUUUUGUUUCUGAGAAGAUGAUGAGGCCAUGAGUCAUGUGGGGCGUCGUGUGCAUUAUUAUUCACACAUUCCCACAAAUGCAAUCAUACCUUCUUCAACUGUUUUACAAUCUUCAUGCGAAAACUACAAAACAUUAUUUCUUUCUAAAACCUCUUUUCUGGUUUUAAAAUAGAAACAUGUUUCUAGACAAAAAAUGAGGAAAAAUACAUGCUUUGUGGCAAGUUGUUCUGUUGUACGCAAAAAUAUGAAAAACUAACCUUUGAAUUAUUCAACUCAACUGUUCCGAUAGCGACAGGAAGGAGAGUCUCGGUCCCUUCACUCUUUUUUUAAUUCAAAAAAAUUAAUAUAGACAAUAUUUUAGUAUUCAUAAAAUUAUUUUUUGUUUACUGGAUUUAGUUAUAAAUACAAUAAUAUUCCAAAUUUAUUAUUUUCUUUUCUUUUAUAAUAUAAUAGUAUUCUCCUUUUGAAUAAAUAUUUCUUUUUCAUUUAUAAUCUAUAAUUCUUCUCUUUUGUAUACACAAAUUCUUACCAUCUCAGUUUUUCAGUAACAGUUUUUCUAGAUUAAAAUAGUAACCUAUAAACUCAACUUCGUUCUAAAUUUCAGAUAACAAAAUCACAAAUUUUGGGACAGAAAAAAAAGAGCAUAAUCAAGCCUUAUUAUUCUUAUAAAUAUUUUGUUUUAAAUUUUAACCGACUUUUUGAAUAUAUUUUAGACUAAGUUGGUCGCUGUAAUUAAUUUUUUUGUGAACACAGUAAUUGAUUGUGCCCGGAGAACUAGAACAAAAAAACAAAUAUACAAUCACAUUAAAAAAUAAUCUUAAUAUUUAGAAAUAUUAAUCUAUAGCUCUCUAUCAAAAGAUAUGCUUGCAAUUCAACUAAAGAAAGAUACAGUGAAGCGGAGAAGGAUAAAAACAUAAAAUACAAAGAUGAAACUUUGUAUAUUUGAUCUUUUAUCCGAUUAUUUAUUUGAGACCAACUCUUGUGUGUAUCUCUCGAAACAAAUUAAUAUUUUCAUUUUUGUAUAUAAAUUAGAAUAUUUGAAUGAUGGUGUUUUAAAUAAUAGUUAAAAACAAUCAUAUCAUGUAUUAUUAAUAUGGAUCUAAAUAUAUUAUUCUUUAAUUUGUUUUAAUAUAAUUUUUAAUCAUAUAAAAUAAUUCAUCCUGUAAUAUUCCCACGUGUUAGAAUACCAAACUUGUCUAAUAAAGAAAACAAGUUCUGGUGAAAACAAAAACCAAUAUUAAAAGAUAAAAAAGUAAUAAAGUAGAGUAAUCUAGUCUUAAUAAUAAUAACAUUCUGGAGUCAAAGAAUCUAGUCUUAACAUAAUCAAUAAUAAAAUGUUUAAAUUAUUACUAAAUAUAAAAAUAUUUAUAUACAAAUAUUAAAUAAUAUAAAAAAUAUAUUUUCUAAUUACAAAUUAUUUUUAAAAUAUUAUUCAAAUUAAUAAAAUUAUCAUACAUAAUAGCUUAUCAGAUAAUAAAACAAAAAUGUUAUACGUUGUCAAGGUUUAGUAUUUUUUUCUAACCAUAUUUAUAAAAAUUUAUUAUGAUUUUUAAAAUUUAUAUUAUCAUCAUUAGAUAUUAUUUGAUCAGUUAAAUUAAUUUUAAGUAUUACUUCUUUUUUCAAAUUUUCACAAUACACCCGUACAGUCGUCCAUAUAUUUUUUAAAAUUAACUCUACAUAUUUUAUAAUUUAUUUUAUAAUCCGUGUAUUCUUAAUUUUAUCUUAAUCAGUUAUAGUGCAUUAAUUUUAAAAUUUAUAUAUUUUCAUCAAAGUUUGGCUUAAAUAUGCCUUUUAAAUCUAAAUUUCAGGAUGACUCUAUUUUAAAUUAAAAAAAAUCAAUUUUUUUAGUCUGGGGAUAAAAGUAGUUUGAAUUUUCUUUUUAGUUUUUCAAAUUUAAUAUUUAGGUGAAGAGAAAGUAUGCUGGGUUACGUCAAACUCUGGUAGGAUUGAGUUUGACAUUCUUGGAAAAAAAAGUUUGAAUUUGACUUAUUUGGCUUUUAUGUUAAAAUAGAGUAAUUUUAUCCUAUAUUUAUCAGAAUGUGGAAAAAAAAUUUAAUUACGGUUUUAGGUAAGUCAUCUUAAGAAACUUUAUAUAACAGAAAUCGCGAUUUCAGUUUCGAUUUUUUUUAAACCCUUUUGUGUUGAAUUAAAUUAUUAAAAGUUACGAGAGUUUAUAACGAUUUUAAUUAAUAAUAAAAUCAUAAUUGUAAAAAACAAAAUAUGUGUAAAAUAUGUAAAGUUAAAGUUGUGAAGCGUGAAGUCACAACUUCAAUCGAAUAAUACACUGAAAUUAUUUUCUGUGUAUAACUUUAACUUUGCAUAUUUUACACUAAAUUCGUUCCCCGCAAUAAUAAUUUUAUUAUUAAUUAAAAUUGUUUUUAAGCUUCACGUUACAAUUCAAUACUAAAGUCACAAUGUAGAAAUACGACUUCAAUUUAAACUAUUAUAUGAAGUCAUUCCACGAGAACAUGACUUACCAAAGAAAAUGUACUUAAAAACAAUUUGGUCAUUUUAGUAAAUACAUGAAUUACAUUAUUUUAACGAGAAACUAACUUAUUUAUUUGUUAUGUGACUUUUUAAUAGUAUAACUUAUUUUAUGAAUAUAUUUACAAUAUUAUUUUGUAGUAAAAAAAUUAGAAAAAGAGAACAAAUAGGAGGUUACCACAUUAUAGGUAAUAUUCUUCUAAUAUAAUAACAAUACUAAAGAUUUAUAGUUUUAAAAAAUUGAGGAAGUAAAAUAUUAUAUUUAUUUUUAUAUAUAUAUAUUGGUAUGUUGUUAUUAAUUAACUAAAAAGAAGGGAAUUAUAGGUGAAAGAGAAACAGAGAGAAAGAAUAGAAGCGUAUAGCGAACAACGGCCACUCCCAAAGGGACCCACAUUUCCACUCCUGAACCAGUCCUACUUUCUUUGCUUCCCUCAACACUCUUCUCUUCAUUAUAUUUCUUUAGUUUCCUUUGUUUUUGUGUAAACUCACACAACACAGCGCAACAGAAUCAAAGAUAAGACCCUGCAUCUCACAUGCACCCCACAGGUAACAGACUAACAAAUCUUUUAUUCUCUCACUCUCUCAUACACAAUUCUCUUCCUUUACCAACACAUGCCUUUCUUCUCAAUUCUCCAAUACGCUGCUGCUCUUUUACUACAAUCGGAUACCCUUUGACAUUGUUGUUGUCGGGUUCUUUUUAGACAACCUAGUAAUAUUAAUAGCAAUAGAGUUCAUGGGUGCUUAUGUUGCAUUUGAAUUUUUCUCAAGUUCUUGUGUCUCAUGUUUGAUGCAGUGAAACGCACUCCAAUCGGUGGUCUAGCUGACGUGGAAAAUUGGACCUUUUGUUCGUUGCCGAGGGUUGUGUUGGGUUGUUGACACCUAAAGGUAAUGGCUUCCUCUCAUGGUAAUGCACACUCUGAUGCUGCAAAGAUGGAACAGAUAAUCACUGAGUUCUUUGCCAAGAGCCUUCAUAUAAUACUCGAAUCAAGGGCACCCUAUGUGUCCUCUCGCAAUUUCUACGGUGAUCAAGUUGUUUUGUCUCCAUGUUCAUCGUCUUCGUCUUCGUCUAGUGUGCGGCCGAGGGAUAAGUGGUUCAAUUUGGCGCUCCGGGAGUGCCCGGCGGCGUUGGAAAACAUUGACAUCUGGCGCCAGAACAAUCUUGAGUGCAUAGUGAUUGAUGUGAUCUUAGUGCAGAGGCCUCUGGAUUGGGACCCUGUGACCGCGAGUUUUUCUCCAAGAAGGGUUUUCCCUAGGAGUUCUUCGCUGAAGGAAAGAUGCCCUUUUGGCUGGAACACUGAUCAGGAAGAAUUGGGGGUUGUGGGAAGAAGUGAAAAGAUUGUGGAGAGGUGGGUUGUGCAGUAUGAGAGUAGGAAGACUAGGGAUUCUAGUUCUGGCAGUAGGAGGUCAAGCAGUGUUUCUCUGCAUAACUUGUAUAAGAAAUCAACUUUGCUUUUGAGGUCUUUGUAUUCCACCCUUAGACUUUUACCUGCCUAUAAAGUUUUCAGAGAGCUUAAUUCUUCUGGACAAAUUAGGGAUUUUACCCUUGCUCACCGUGUGUCUUCUUUUGUUGAGCCCUUCACCCGUAAAGAAGAGGCUGAAAUGACGAAAUUCGGGUUCACCCCUGUGGAUACUUCUUCUGGUAGGCUGUGUCUUAGUGUGAUGUAUUGCCCCUUAGCCUCAGGUGUGAGCUCAGAACCUUCGACUCCAAUGUCCCCACAAGUUAUAGCAGAUUAUGUUGGGAGUCCAUUGGCUGAUCGGUGGAGGAGGGUUUCUCUUCCCGUGGCAGGCUUGCCAACUCAUGUCUCCCCAUCAUCGUUGCCAUCUUCAAGGCAGCGCAGUUUGAGUUUCGAACAUUAUAGAGCCUCACCUCCAUCUUAUUUACCUUCCCCUACUUAUUCGGAAUCAUUCUCAUCUUUGCGGCCUUACCCCCCUGCAAGUUUGCCUCCUCAUCCUACUGAGAUGUCUUUGAUUCAAAAGAAGAAUACAAAUUUUGAUGAUUAUUAUCCCUCUCCAUCACCUUCAACCGAUAAUUCAGGACCACUACCAUGCAAACCACUUUUACGAUCUGGAAGUGCUCCUGUCAGCAUACCUGCUGAAGUUGCUAAUUCCCCUCGCUACUCCAAUCUGUAUAAUGUGCGUCCUUCUCCUCCCUUAAGAGGUUCAAGGGACACUGCUAAGAUUGAUAGAAGUACAAAUGCUAUGCAAACUGGUGCAACAACUGAGAAGGUAUGCUGUGUGCUAACCACGAUGGACUUUUUCCAUUGUUCAAAAUAUAUUUGAUUUGUUAAGGGUGUCUUCUGCUUUUUGCAGUUGUUUUCUCUUGGAAGAGAUGAGUCUCGAAAAUAUUCUGGACUCAAGAUAUCAGCUAACAGCUCGCCACAAAUUUCAAUUUCCAGAAGCUCCAGUAGGUCUUAUCAGGAUGAUUUUGAUGAUACUGAUUUUACUUGUCCAUUUGAUGUGGAUGAUGAUAUUACGGAUCCAGGAAGCAGGUACUGUAUAUUUGCUUAUAUAUUGAUCAUUUGCAUAAGAAAAGAAUAUAAGCUAGAUUUGCUCAUAAGUAGUAACUAAAUGUGCUCAUAAGUAGUAACUAAAUGUUCUCAUAAGUAGUAACUAAAUGUGCUCAUAAGUAGUAACUAAAUGUUGUCAUAAGUAAUAACUAAAUAUGCUCUUCUUGGAGAGAGGACAACAAUCGUUAUGAAUAUGACUAGUGGAUCCUACGAUAUGUUGUGGGGGUCCUUGCAUUAAAAUUUGUCUUUCUCUUUGACCGUAUUUUGUUAUUCACAAAUAGGAUACAAUCUAAUCCGUAAUGGCCUUUAAAGCAGGUAAUUCAGGUUGAACAACAGGAACAGGAGCACUUCCAUCCCACUGGGAUUUCAUGUUUGUGUCUGUAAAAGUCUAGGUUAAUAGACUUGUGGGGUUUUGGGUGGUCUGGUUUAGAUAUUGUCUAAUAAUUUCUCUAGGAAUGGAACAAAAAUUGACUAACUGAUUUAAAAAUAGAAGCAAAAUCAGAAAUAAGCUCUAUUGUUUUAAUUUCAUUAUUUCUAUCUCCAGCUGAGUUUUACCCAGUAGUAUAAGAGUUUAUAACUUUCCUUCUUUUCCGCUUUAGAGAUUAUCAUCUUUACAUUAAUUGGUAAAUACACCUACUUUUGUAAAUUUUUAAGAUAGAAAUGACUAUACUAUUGAAUUGGUUUAGAUUCCUUUACAUUAUUUUUCCCCAUCUUUGAAAGUGUAUUUUAUUGGUAUUUAAUGAUAUACUUUCCAGAAAUAAGUGAUUGAUGUGGCAUAUUUGGAGUGAAUGAAUAUGCUGGCUCUGCCUUUUCUUCUUUAGCGGUUUCUUAAACUAGAACAUUGAAACCCUCAACAUUAAUCUAUUUACUGUUGCACAAGCCCUUCAUGUUCUCCCUUCUAUAGUUCUAUUGAUUCUCUGGCUGACAAAUUUUUUGAUAGUUCUUCAGAUAGUUAUGUCUAAAAUCGUAGUCGAAUAUUAGAGAGGGGUGUAUAGACAGAAAGCCAGGAUCAUAUGUAUCCUUACUGUCAUUUGAUUGUAAAAUUGUUUUAAGGGAUCCGCAAUUCUCUGUAAAAGAAGAAGGGUGAGCUUUUCUUCUGGAACCUCGGUUUUGUCUUGCCAUUGAUUCAAAUAUAAGACCAACCUUUUGUAUAGAAUGACUGAAGAUUUUUCUUGUAUUGGAUAUAGUGAAAACAAUAUUUUGUAGUUUCCAAUGUUUCCUUUCCCAUAUUAGUCUGUCAAGAAAACAAGAAAUAAAAUGAAAAUAAGUUGACAUUUUGGUAAUUACUAAUGAAAUUAAAAUAGAACGUCUUCUCAAACCAAAUAAGUCUUAAAAUAUCCUCCGAGAAAGAUAAAGAAAAUACGCAAAGAAUAUGAAAAACCAAGAGUUUUUCAAUUUUUCCUGAUCUUUGCAUAGUUGAAAUAUAAAUUCCUUUGAAACAUCCAUGGAGAGACUACCAGAGAUAGGCCACAAUCUAUGGUCCAUGACAUGUUAAGAGGCAGAGAGACAGCCUUUAAUAUGGAAGCAUUCUGCACUGGAUUGGAGGCCAUGGUUUUGAGGAUCAUCCUCAUGUCAUCUUGGGAAAUAGCAUCAAUAUUAUUGAUAUUGGACCCAAUAUUGAUAUACGACUUACUGCAGAGUGGAAGUUAGACCUCUCAUGAGAAAGGACCCUGGUUUAUCUGGGGUAAAGUCUUAAUUGGUCUCCUUUAUUGUGUUGGGUGAUCUCCCAUUUGUUGGAAAGGUCCAUGAAUUUCUAAUACUAGUGAUUAAAUUGGAUGUUCCUUCAAAGGGAGUUAUGGAUUCCUUAUGAUAAACACCCAAGUGCAUGGGAAACCACCCCAUAUAAAAAGCUCGGUGUUAAGAGGCAGAACCGUCCUUGAUAAACACUUUAAUUUGCUUAGCCUUCAACAGAUAUAAAAUAGUUUAAGCGCGGUUUGAGAAAUGACUGAAGGCAAAGAUAUUAGGUGGUAUUUGGUAUCAGUAUAGGAAUUACUAUAGUAUUGUAGGAAUUAAUUGGUUGAUUUGGCAUCUAGUGUUGCAUGCAUGAAAAACAAUUUGCUGCAUAAAGUAAGCUGUUGUUUUUUUUGUGGACCAUCUUUCAGAUGUUAUGUAAUUUAGUCACUCUUGUAAAUCUCAAAGUUAAAUAUUUUAUUUAAUUGAGCUUUGACUAGCAGACGUAGUCUUAAGUUUUAUUUUGAAUGACUGUUAACUUGUUAUCCAUCAAGUAGAAGUCUACUUUAAGGUUUGUUAGUCGUUUCACAACUUCACAUGGAUUCUUGUGCUAAUUACAAAAGCUUGUUUUAUUUCUCUAUAUUGAGUCAAACUUCAAAGAAAGCAUACAAUUGGUUAUUUCUUUUAAGCUAUAAAUGCCAUAAAUUUGCUAGACCGUGUUUUAAUUUAGCAAUUUUAACAUGAUUCCUUGUGCAUGACCAGAGCUGAAUCUCUAGAUCAAGGUCUUUUAGCUGAGACUCUUGAAGCUGGAGGAUUCUUUCCCAUUAGAAAGUCUCAUGAUGCUGCUGUUGGUGCGCUUGUGCAAAUGCUGAAGAAAGCACCACCUCUCCGUCAAGAUUUCUCCACUUCACAACACCUGUCACAAGGAGUUACAAAUCUUGAAACCUGGAACAAUAACAUUCAAGGGCCCAGUCAGAUCCUAGAGGCAUCAAGAGCAGCGAGCAUCAUGUCUUCUGGGAUCAUAGCCACUAGAAAAACCACAGCUGAUGCACUGGAAGAGUUCCACGGUUACAAAGAGAUGAAAAACCUGUUGCUUAUGCGAGGUAGUAAGCACCAGAUAUAGUACAUAACCCAUGGUAUAGUACACUUAUGCUUCUUCUGCUAUUAAUGCUAAUGUUAAAUCAGUAAAACACAUGUACAGCUUUAAGCCUUUUUAUUUACUUGAUAAGUUGGUCCAUCCAUUUGAAGAUGUUAUUAAUUUUGAAAAUAGUGUAAAUAUGAUGAUUAAGUCUUUAUGACUGUCGAGUUUUGAUCUAUGAUCAGGUCUGAGCUGGUUAACAUAGUACAGCCUUGUAAUCUGUAAAAUACUUGAAGCUACUAAGUCAUAUAUUGUAUAUAACACCGCAGAAGCAGCAUUUAUAAGCUGUGGAUUAACUACCCUUUUUAUUAUACUAUUAUAUUAUUAUAUACAGAUAGUGAAAGAUUAUAAUUACAAUCAAAUCCUUUUCAGAUUCUAUGUAUCAACAUCAUCUUCUUGAACUCAGGAGGCAUUUAGUUCCUUCAAAGCUGCACACUCGAAGAAGCUUACAGAAUAAGAUUAAAUUGGGCCUUUUUUUCUACUUUUUUUUUUCCAAUGAGCUAAUUCACUUGAAUUCUUUGGUACACUGAACUACUGUCCAAACUCCUUUGUUUUCUAAAUUCACACAAAGAAUAUCAGCAAAAAAAGUCAAUACAGUUUAUUUGAUUGUGAACUAAGGGUCAUUCUAGCCUUUGUUUUAUAGUAAUCGACAAAUAAACACAAGGCAAAUUCUUCCCGCAACAUAUCAAUCUCAACAUGCACUGAUUUAUCACUAAAAUGACAAAAAUGCUUCUGAAAAUGACAAAAAUAAUCUUGAAUAAAAGGAGGGUGUAGAUAAAAAAAUUAUUUUUGAAACUUUUUUCUGGAAUACAUUUUAAAAUUUAGAUUUUUGGAACACAUUUUUUAAUUUUUUUUUUCCAUAAUGUAUUUCUAGAUUUUGUAUUCUGAAUUUUCUUUUCUAAAAUGUAAAUUUUACAUUUUGAAUUUAAUUUUUUUUAAUAAGAUUUUCAUUUUAAAAUUUUCAAAUCUAAAAUAGAUGAUAAUUUUAAAAAAUUUAAAAGAUGAUAAGAUACAUGUUCAAAUUAAUAUGUUGUUGGAAGAAUUUGCCUAACACACAACUCUUUUUUCUGCGUUCAACGCACGAGCUUCCCUGCAUGAUAGUCUUAGUCUCUGGAAUUGCACCUUCUACAAUAAUUAUGAAAUCUAAUUAAUUUAAUUAGUGAUUUAAAAACCGAAUUUGAUUUAAAUGAAUUAUCAAUGGCAAAUUUUCAUUUUAUAAAUAUUAGAACUUUGUUAUAUUAAUUUUAUGUGGUAAAGUUGAACUUUGUCACUAUUAUUACUAAUGGAAAUUACGUAUCAAAUAUUAAAAUUCACAUACUCUUCUUUAAUUACAAUAGAAGUGGAGUUAAACGUGUGAAACGUAUAACUCAUUGAAUAAGUAUGCCUUAGUUGUUUUAAACAUUGUAAUAUGUAUUUGUAGUAGUAAGUGAAAUAUAUAAUCUGAAAUAUAUAUAUUACAUAAUAUAUAACAAAUCCUAAUAUAAAUUAAGGUUUCUUACACAAACCUUCUUCACAAUUGUUUGAUCUGAAUGGAUUAUAUCCUUUAAAAGACUUCUUUCACAAUUGUUACAACAAUUAAUAAUUGGAAAUGUUUUUCCUUUCACAACUGUUAUAAACGGAAUGUUCUUUUUAUUUUAAGGAACAAAAAAAAUAUUUAGUUAAAAUUUGUUCUAUUUUAUUUUCAGAAGUAUAAAUUUAUUAGAGAAUAAUGUUACAUAACCUUUAAAUUAUUCAUUUUAUCCUCUUAUCCGUGUGAAUGUGCAAUUUAAUAUUUUUGUAAUAAUUAUAUGGUUUACAAAAGACAGAUUGACAUAUGUUAGUGAAAAUGACAUGAGAAAUAAAACAAUGUAUAAUAAUGCUUUGAUAGUAAUGGUUUAAAGAAAAUAAAAAACGGCAAUGUAAUUAUAUGUAUUUUUUGAGUUAAGAGAGGUAAAGAAACUAAACAUAAUAUGAAAUUUGGACUGAUUAUGAAGAUCAUUCUUUAAAGUGGGAUAACAAAUACUAUUAUGAGAGAUGGGAGCAACUAAAUUUGUAUAUCAUAUAAAAAAAUAGAUAGUUUAUAUUAAAAUACAAUUUAAAAAUCUAUUAAAGCAUUUUAUGCAUCAUCCAAAUCUAAAUAUUCAUAAAAAUAAAUAAAAAUUUAUUUAUUUAUUUAUUUAUUUAUAAAAUAUAAUUUUUGUCUAAAUUAUAGUUAAUCCAUCACUAUCAUUAAUAACAUUACUAUAAUCUAUAAUUAUUAUUUACCAAAUAGACUUUGUAUCUUAUAAAUUAGGAAAAACGCGGUGUUGCUUAUUUCAACCUGCUGGCCUGUUUAGGCCCGUCCCGCAUAACUCGCAGUCCGCGCGAGCCAAGUGUGGGGUGGGACGGGUUGGCUUGCAUAAUCCGCAUAAUUUUAAAAUGUAUAAUUUUUUUUUCUACACCCCCAUAUUUUCUUCAUGUAGCCUCAUAUUUUAUAUUCUAAAAUUUUUAAUAAUAUCUUAUUACGCAUGUUUCUUGAAAAUAAUAUUAUGAGACAAUUUACCUAAUGCAUCUAAAUAAAUAAAAAAAUCAAAAAUUUUAUUUAAAAAAUUAUUUUUUUAAUAAAUAUGUCUUAUGCAGGCUGGCCCGCAAGCCACGGGCCAAUCCUUAUGCGGGACGAGUUAGAAAAAUCAGCCCGCAAAUUUUAUGCAAGACGGGCCAACCCAGUUCGUUUUUUGCGGACCAAGUGCGGGGCGGGUCUAUGCGGGAUGAGCCAACUUGCAUUGUCACCCCUAUUAUAAAUAGCAUUGACUUUUUUUACGUGAAUGUAUGUAUUCCAUACAUUAAAAUUUAUUUUAUGCCUUUAAGCAUAAAUUAUAUAAUUUAAAAAAAAAAAUUAAAAUCAUUUUAAAAGCCAUAUUAAUGGAUCUUGUGAAUUGCAAAAGUGAUAAAGUGAUGCAUAUACAGUAAUAAACAUUAUUUCAAAAACAAUCCAUUAUCAUAAAUAAUUGAUUAUUUAGAACUUGGUUCAGAUAAAAAUAUGUACAGUUAAUCUACUAUCAAUAAAAAAUAAUUUAUUAGAUUUUUUAAGUUUUCAUAAUCAAUAAAAAAAUUAUUAUAUAUUACGAGAUAAUCAUUUAAGUUUAUUAAGAUUUAGUUUUGUAUAGGUUUCACUAUAAGAAAAUCAUGAAAUAGAAAAUAAUUUUUAGAAUCCAAAAUAAUUAGUUACAAUAGUAAUUAAAUUAAAAAUAUUUUUAAAAAAAUAAUUUUUGAAUUAGUUUCUACUAUUGUUAAAUAAUUUUUAAAUUGAUAUUUAAUGAGUAACCAAAAAAUUUCUACUAAAUUUAUUAACUAAAUAUUUGGUAAUUAAUAUAGUUACAUUUUACUAUUUAUUACAUGCCAAUGUGUAAGGAAGAAGAAUGAUGAUAAACAGAAUAGUUUCUAAUAUUUUAUAUCGGACAUUGACAUUUUUUUAUGUUUUAUUUUAUUUCAUGGAUCCUAUAUAUUUUUUAUGUGAUGAUGAAUUAUGUUAUUUUGUAAACAAGUUUUGAAAUUUCAUCAUAUUUAUUUGUGUUUUCUAAGAAACUAUUAUAACAAUAUAUAAAGAGAGAAUUUUAACAAUAUAUUAAGAGACUAUAAUAUAAUAUAUAUAUAUAUAUUAUAAUGAAUUUUAAAAAUUUUAAAUUAAAUAAAAAUAAUAUAGAAAAGUAUAUUGGUAUAUUUGGAAAAUAUAUUGAUAGAGUAAUAUUUUAUUUUUAAAAAAUCAAUGUUAAUUAAUUUUUUUUUAUAGUGUUACCAGAUUUGGUAGAGACAAAGUGACGGCCCAUACCGUCCGAUACAAUAGGUUUUUAAAGUUUAAAUUGUGUUUUUUUAUGUAAAAAAAUUGUGACAUGUACUUCAAAUAUUGAAAAGAUGGUCCCGAGCAAGUGAGUUAGUUCCUAAACAGUGGGCCCACUGAAGGUGAGCGUGAAGAACAUAAUGCAGCUCAUCACUCACGUGUGUGGGGUAUCAACAAAACAAUUACGAUGCUAGAUUUAUAACAGAUUUAAUGUUAUCAAUUAGAUUAACCAAUUUCUUAAUCACAACCUUCUUUUUAAACUUUAAACAAAACAUUUGUUAUGAAAUCUAUUUAAAUGAUCAAAGGGGUGGUGGCGCAGUUGGCUAGCGCGUAGGUCUCAUAGCUUUAGAGUAAUCCUGAGGUCGAGAGUUCGAGCCUCUCUCACCCCAACUCACUUUUUAACUUUUGCUUUCAACAUAAUUUUGUAUUUAUGUUUAUUUUAAAUAGUUUUAUCACAAUCUAUUUACUUCGUUGAUACUGUUUACUUUUAGUAAGUUUAAAGAAAGUGCAAUACAUAUUUAGAGCAAGAUGUUUUACCACCAAAAAAUGUGGAUAUUCACUUUAAUCAACAUUGUAACAUAUAAACUUAAGAUAUAAACCUGCAUAGCAAUGUAUAGACUCUGUCAUUCAUGGUCUUUGACAAGUCUACCACCAUAUAAGUAAGAGACUGUUGAGGGUUGUUAUAGGUGUACAUCCCCUCAAGAAUCAUGCACUCCAUAAUAGUAUGUGUUUACUAAUAAAGAAAGAAAAAAUGUCUUUUGUAUUAAAAUAGUGAAAUAAUAUAUUAAGAAGGAAAAUGUAAAUUUAACUAAAUCUUAUAAAACCUAUUUAUAAACUGAGGUUUCACUCUUUUAUAUAUUAUAAAAUAUUUUUAUCUUUGAUCGAUGUGGGAUCUCCAACCGAAUAGGUUGGAUGAGAUGAUUGUUUUCAAUAGGAGGUAUUUGAAAGAUUAAAGAGAAUGGAAGAAAUUUGAGAAGAAAGAAUUUGCUGUUUACCCUUUAGCCGUUCCCAGAAUAAUGUUCUAAUAUGAAUAUUUGCUAGAGACAUUAAAGAGGUGACUCGUAACUCGGUUAUAAUAAAUGAAAGAAUGAUGUAAAUUCCAUGUGUAAAUCAGUUAGCAUGUAAAUUCCACUAACACUAACACUAACACGUAGGUUCUAUGUGUAAAUUAGUUAGCAUGUUGGUUUUAAUAUUUUAAAGUAAUACUUUAAUCCUCCAAACAUUGUUUUUCUAGAAUUUACUCUCUUUUUAUUUAAUAUAAAAUUUUAUACUUUAAUUUAUAACUUAUUUAAAUAAAUUAACCUAUCUCAAUUGAAAAUAUUAAAACAUAAUUUAUAUAAUUUAUCUUAUUUUUUUUUAUGAAAACACAUAAUUAUAUUAAUAUAUUAUAUAAAUAUAAAUAUUUAUAAAUAUAGUUAUUUAUGAAAGAGAUAUUCGAAAUUAUUUAUAAUAUUUAAAUUACGUUUUUCCAAUUUUUUAAUAUUUAUAAAUAUAGUUAUAUAUCAAUAUAUAUAUAUAUAUAUUAAUUAUAAAUUAUUAAUAUUUUAAGCUAAAUAAAUACGUUAUAAGAUUUUCUUUAUUAAAAUGAAUUUGAAUUUUGAUUAUUUUUUUUUGACACACGCUUAUUAUAUUAAGCGCUUCCAUUGCAUUGCACUCCAUCAUCUUUCAUUGCCAACGCCCAAGCCUUCCCUCACUCUCACCUUCGCCGCCGAACAAAGGUUCCUUAAAAAAAACUUAACCACUACAACAGUCAAUUUCUUAUAUAUUAUUAUAAUUUUUAUUAUACUUAUUAUUAAUAAUAAUAUUAAUAAUACUAAUAAUAUUUAUAAUACUAAUAAUAUUAAUAAUAAAAAUAAUUAAUAAUACUAAUAAUAUUAAUAAUAUAAAUAUAAUAAUAAUAUGAAAUAUAAUUUUAGUAAUAUGAAUAUAAUAUUAACAAUAUUAUUAAUAACAUUAAAAAUAUUAUUAAUAAUAUGAAUAUAAUAUAAAAAAUAUGAAUAUUUAAUAUAAUAUUAAUAAUAUGAAUAUAAUUUAUAUUAUUAUUAUAAAUUGUAUAAAUUAUAUUAAUAAUAAUAUGUAUAAAUUGUAUUAAUAAUAAUAAGUAUAAUAAAAAUGGUAAUACGACUAAAGAACUUGUCUAAUCUAGUGGUUGACUUCCUUAGUCUCUUAAGGAUCUUAUGUUCGAGUAGAAAAUUAAAUGUCACAGGUUAAAGCCAUCGGCCAAGUACAAAGAACCAACUAACCACCAAUGAGUAAAUGACAACGGCUUAUUUGCAAGUUCAAAAACCUCCCAGUGUUUCUGGAAGCUAGUGGGUGGUCAGUUGCAAAUGAAAGUUGAAGAGCUGGCUAUUGACUACAACAAAUUACCAGUCAUGUUUCGACUAGGAAACUCAGUUUAUAGGGACAAAGUAGACACUGCUCUAAUUCACGAGGACAAUGGAAACUCUUUUGAAAGUAAAGGAGAGGUCAUUGUGGAACAUAUUGACAUUAUUGGACCAACCUUUUGUUGGUUGGAACACCUAAACAUCCUUUAUGAAUAGUUGUAUGUGUAGUGCAUCAUUGAGUUUGCAAAUUAAAUUUUUACUUUAUUUAUUGUAGCUAGAAAUUUUUACUGAUUUGGUUUCUCAUUCGUUCGUAGAUCCCUUUACUCCUUCCCUUCCAAGGAAGGAGUUUAGUUACAUCAUUGCCAAACUCCAUAGAACUCUAAUCUGAUAUGUUUAUAUAAAUUAAAAUAGAUAGGUGCAACAAUGAAUAAUUUGUAUAUGUUAUAGAAAGAUGUAAACUUUUACUUAUCUGCAACAGUAAUCAUUUUAUUCUGAGUUUGCUUUCAAAAAAACAAAUAUCACAUACAAAGAAAGUAAAACAAGCAUCCACAGUUACUACAUUAUAAAAGAAAAGGAAGCAAACUUUGGCAAUAAAACCCUUAUUCUUAUCAUAUUAUGCCAUCUUAUUCUUUCUUUUAUCCAAGCUCAUCAUUCUCAGGUGAUUCAUCACUACUAUAAUCAUAUUCCUCAGUAGAAUACUCACAUAACAUAUUGUCGAGAGGCAGAAUGUCUCUAAACGAUGACCAACCAUCAAUUAUGGGCUUCACACCAUGCACAAGAGUGGCAUCUGGACUACCUGUGAUGAAAUUCAUUAGUGCAUAGUUUUCUCCUUUGAAAAGAUAAGCUUGAUUCUCCUUGUGAGAAGCAAAUGCCGCAUCAAUUCCAUCUUCAAAUAUGGUACCUUUCAAAACAGGAAAUCCAUCAGUGAUAUUACGAAUGGGAUCAACAAGUUGCUUGGAAGCAUAGUCCAUGCAACAAUACUUAUUUCCCUCAAAUAGGUAAACUUCUUUUCCUCUGGAUGACCUGAAUGCAGAGUCUAUGCCAUCCUGAAACACAGUGUCGUCUAAUACGGGAAACAUGUCUCCAAUCCUUCUUUCAAUACCUGUGAGUACCUUGUCAUUAGCAUAGUCUAGGCAGACACCCAUGUUGCCCGAGAAGAUAUAUGCUUCGUUGCCUUCAGUGUCGAAGGCACAACGUAUUCCACAUGAUGCAAAUGGACUAUUCGAUAAUGAUGGAAAGCCAUAACCAGUCCAUCACAAAUCUGUCAAAAACUUAUCAUCUGUCUGUCUCUCCUGUCCAGGAGUGUAAUACACCCGCACGUACUUGUCGAUUAAAAAGAAAUAAACUUCAUUUGUUGUUGAAGAACGAAAUGCAGCAUCUAUAUAUCUUGGUAUCCGAGGAAAAUAACACUCAGGAUAAGGCUCAAUACGAGGCUCCUGAUGAGCAUCCCUUUCUUCUCCGUCGAUUUGCAUACCUGCACAAUAUCAUAACAAUAUAAUAUAACACGCAACCUUAGAAACCACUAAAUUGGAACAUGAAAACAAAUCUUAUCUAAUUUCUGCAUAUGCUGUUUGAAUGGUUGUCAAACUGGCCAGUUCAGUUGGGUUUUCAUAUUAAAACAAAACGGUGUCAUUCUGGAUGGGGGAAAUUAAAUGGAAUAAACUCACUUUAGGUUUCGCGUUGCGUUGUGGUUUCACUCAGAUUCGUUGCGUCUUCUCUGUGCAGAGGUGGUGCGUCUUCUCUGAACGAGUGCGGCGGUGGGGGCGAUCGAGCAGAGCAGGUCGCGCGGUGGUAGCGAUUGGACAGAGGACGUCGCGUGGUGGUGGCGGUUCGUGCGGUGGUCGCGGAUUGCAGGUCUACGGUGGUCGUGGUGGUUCAGUUGGGUGGUGUGGAAUUAAGGUUGCAUUGUGAUUUAG